rnacentral:lncRNA from 1 species
UUAAACGCUUCUACUUCGUUAAAUGCAUGCCUGUACUUGUAUAGUUAUAUAAAUAAUGUUUAAAGGACUUAGGAAGGCUAGUUCGCCCUAUUUCCUUUUCCUCGUUUGGAUGUGGUCUGGUGGGAUCGGAUAUCUGUCCGAAGGUCAGUUAAUCAUUAAUUAUAUAUCAUGUAUACAUGUAUAGACAUAAAGGUUUACAUCGAUCAGUUCAUUUCCCUUGGGUAGCAAGGGCAUCCUCCCACUCGUCACUCAUAGAUCAGAGACACUAGUAACUAUUAUAGGAAUAGUUAGGAAGAUCUAUUCACUCUUUCUAGCACAAGAAUUCCACAGGAGUUAACUCACACGCGAUUCUAUAUCAUUUCUCCAGCGCCUCUAAUAGAAUUCAGAAUCCGAGAUGCAUCUUCAAGACACGGGUCUCCCCGUUGACGAGUUGGUAACCAGAGUCUCCUGUAGGGAGAGCGGGCAUUGUGUGUAUAGAUCUAUACGGGAUUGACACCCCCACACCCUAACUGCUAGCUACAGUCCACGGCCUACCAAGCCAAGGGGUGACAAAUGUCACAGUUAUUCCGACGCUUGCAGGGCGUCAAGUACUCUAGUGUCAAUCAGUAUGGUUACGAGUAUCUCCAUGUUUACCUUAUAAUUCAUGGCCUUAAGGUAACGAGAAUUAACAUUGUAUUUCUAAAACAACACUCUUAGGAUCACUCUUUGUUUUAGACCUUGCUAGUUGUAUCUUUCAUUUGAUACUGUCUGGGGUCUGUGUCUCUUUGUUUUAGACCUUGCUAGCUAUAUCUUUCAUUUGAUACUGUAUGGGGUCUGUGUUUCUUUGUUUUAGACCUUACUAGCUUUGUCUUUCAUUUGAUACUGUCUGGGGUCUGUGUUUCUGUGUUUUAGACCUUGCUAGCCGUAUCGUACAUUUGAUACCGUCUGGGGUCUGUGUUUACUUUUGUUAGACUGAGCCAGGUGUAUCAUUCAUUUGAUACUCUCUUAGAGUCUAUGAUUUCUUUUUCCUUGGUUAGCAGUAUUUUUCUGCUGAGGCAUAUGUUAUUUUCCCCUGGUAUUUUUACUAGUGAUAUUCUCCUACUUCCUUUAAAAUCAAAUACUGUAUUUUGUUAAUGAUAGUAUUUCAGGGAAAAUUUCUCUUUAAAACAUAACAUUGUCGAGUCUUGGUAGAAGACUGCUUUUAAUUAGAAAAUAUAGGAUUUUCUGGAAAGGACUCUAAUACACUGUAGACUCUAAACUACUACUUUUUAUAAAGUUAUUUUGGAUAAAAUGCUUACUUACACAAAUGACACUAAAUACUUAUGAACUCACCAGCAUUUAUAAAAAUGCUGAUACUCGCUUUCAAAAUAACUUGUAUUCUCAGGUCAGCAUUAGACAGGUACAUCCCAGGAGCUUUUGUGGAGACAGCCUAGUACCGAGCUGCACCUAUAUUAUUACUUGUAUUACUUCGAUGUUGCUAUGAAAUGUAACUUAUGUAAAACUAUUACUAUUAAUGCACUGGUUGUUGUACUUUGAUUACUAUACUGCAUAUGUUGUGAUACUUGACAUGACGUCAUCCACCCCAGAACNUUAUAAUUACUCAUAAUUCGUUCCAAUCUAUCUCUAACUUCUCCAACUUUCGAGUUCGGAUUUCUUCCCAAUUGUUAGAAUAGUUUAGUAGAACCUCUGGAGCUCUAGGGGACUGACGAGAAGGAGUAUUCAAUUCGAGAUUUUGUCUGCGUGUUUUCCUGAUUUUCACUAAAAUAUUUGUAAUUAAAUCUACACUUAUUUUAUUUCAAGUGUAACUUAUAUUUAUGUUCAUAGUCGUUAUUAUGAACCUAUAAAUAAGAGUGCUCAACAAUUUUAAUUCAAAAUACUUAUUGAUCUACUUACGGGGAUAAUGUGAAACGUCCAAAAAAUAAGACCAGGAAAAUUCCAUUUUUAAAUUAAUAAAACAAUAAACAAUAUCAUUGUCACAAAACCAAGGUAAUCAAAUUUAUCAAUACUUCAUCAUCAUUAGAGUAAAUUACAACAUGCUGAAACGAAUGGUGUGUGCUUUGCAAUCACCCCGUGCUCUUCCCUUUGAAACCAGAAGUGCAUGAAACAUAAACUAAAAACCGUAAGCACAAAGCUUAGUAAGUUCCCCAAAAUACCACAUAUCAAGCAUAUAAUGGAGCCCCGCCUAAUGAGUGUAACAGGCCCCGCCCACUCGCAUAAAAAGCCCCGCCCAUUGAAUAUAACGGGCCUCGCCCACUGAAUAUAAUGGGCCCUACCCACUGAGUAUAAUGGGCCCCGCCCAAACUCUCAUAACGGGCCCCUCCAAACAUACAAAUCAUAUAAGUAUAACAAGAUAAUAGCAUACAAAAUAACCACCGAGUCCCACCCAAUAAGCAUACAAGCACAUACACAUGCAAGAGUCACAAAGACCUUUAGCAUUGUAACAUAACAAACCAUGGGCCUGCGUUGGUGCCUUCGACCUGCUAAACAUGGUGAGGAAACUCACCUCAAUCUGCAGAUAAUCAAAUAACUGCUCGGACCGCCGAACCGGAUAACCUCGCGCCAACUAACAAUAUAUACAAUCUUAAUCAAUAAUUAACCCGAUAACCUAAAAUACCCUUAGGUCAAACUUGGUCAACCCUUGUCAAAGUCAAAGUUAACAGUCAAAGUCCAAAAGUCAAUAUUUCUUCCCAGUGGAGUAUGCCCUGCGUACCAAGCGAGUACGCCCAACGUACUCUGAUGUUGACCAAAAGAGGGGCACUGACUGCGUACGUGCAACGUACCACCAGAAACUAGCGUACUCAACCAACUCCCAAAACUCCACUAAGAGCUUAUUCCAUUAAGUUCUUACAUCUAAAACUCAGAUCCAGCGCAAAAUGAUGUCCUGAGUCAUAAAGUUUCCAACUUUAUGACUUUGCAUGGCUAUAAAGUGCUUAAUGUCCAAAACCCUAAGUUCUUAACCAAAUAAGACAUCACAACUCUUGCAUGGAAGGGAUAGAAGGGCCAAGAUCACAUUCUCAUAGUUCAUAAUAGCUUUAUAAUGGACAAAGUUUCCAACUUUAUCCAUUAGAAUGGUCCCAACAGACAAGAUCUAGUCUUUAAGUCUCAAAGGACCCAAAAGUUCAUCUUUUUCAACUUAAUCCAUUAAGUACAAGUCUCCAACUUUCAUAUCUGAAUCAAAAUGAUGUUUAGAUGGAUAAAGUUUCCAACAUUAUCCAUAACAAGGUCACAAACUUUCAAGAUCUAUAAUUUUUGCACUAAAGUGACCACAAUCUCAUAACAUCCAAAAUUAGUUAGAUCUAACAAAUUCAUCAUCAAGACUCAAACUUUAUACCUCUAGGAGAUAGAUCAAGGUGAACAAAGUCCAGAUCUACAAGCUCCAAUGCAACCAACACUUCUCCAAAAAGUUCCUUCUUCUCCAAGGUGCACCAUGCAUACUCCAAAGCACUCAAAACACCUUCUUUUAGCAUAAAAGGCUCAACUAGGGUUAGGGUUUCAUGGAAUGGUUGUUGGAGGGGUGGAAGCUGAGAAUAGAGUGGGUUUUGGGAGUUAAGGAGAUUAAAUAGGGGUUAAACCACGAAAAUAGGGUUUGGGAACUGAUUGAGUAUGUCCAACAUACUUCUGGUACACCCAGCAUACUCAGGGUGCCUCGGUACACCCAACGUACUCCCCUCUGUACACCCCAGCAUACUCAGCAUAACCGAAAACCGACCAAACUUCAAACUGGCAUAACUUCUUCGUUCUAACUCCGAUUUUGACAUUCUUUAUAUCCACAGAAAGGUAAAGAGAAUCUCUAAACUUCUAUCAACUCAUCAUUGCCUUAAAAUUUUCUGAACAAAAAUCCAAAAUUCAUAAAAGCCCGAACUAACACUUUACCGAAAUACCCCUUGGCGCCAAAACACAGACCGAACUCCCGAACCAUCCAAAUUACAUUACCUACACCCAAAUGGGUCUAAACUCUUUUCCUAAAAGUCCCUAAGCCUGAUGAUACUCAGUCUUCGGGUCAUCACCCCACAUAGGAAACGAUUCGGAGCAGGUACAUAAUGUCUAGGCUGGAUUUAGUGAAGUGUUUAAAGUGAGAUUUCCAAACAGUAUACUUUAUAUACCAAAUGGAUCCUACCUACGAUAUGAUCCUCCCUAGUUAUUCCUUACUUGACAAAUCUUGAUGUAGACAUUGGGAUUAGUGAGGAAUCUAGACUAUUAUUAGUCACCAGGAAUGACUAAGACUUAGUAAUCAUUAUACUAGGUUACGUCAAAGGAAAAAAAAAUUAAAGUGCUAAGGCGAGGUCCUACCCUAAUUCUGAGGCAUCCACUUUUAUCAAGCAAGUUCAUAUUUACUUUCAACUUACACAUAGAUCCAAGUAUUCUAAUGUGUUGUUGUUGUGUUUAAUAUAUUUGUACAAUAUGAUAUGAUUGUUACUUGAUCUAAUUGUACAUUAUGCUGAAUAUUUUGAUUGGGUAGUAAAAGGUCGUGUGAAAUAAUAAAUGAGAGGUUGUGAUAGGGUUGUGUGAGAUACUCGUUGCGAUAGUUUAGUAAGAGUUAUGCGAAAUAACAAGUUGUGACUUGCCAUGCCUAUCCAAAGUACUAUUGUACCGUCAUGCCUACCCAAACUACUAGAUGAUUACGAAAGGUGUUGGUUUGAAACCACACUUGUGAGAAAAAGAAUAAAAAAUUUAAGUUUAUACUCAUGGUUCGGUAAAGUGGGACAAAAUAUGAGAAAUGGUGCUAAGUAUGCAAGGUGAUUGCAUAAGAGUAUAUAUAUAUAUAUAUAUAUAUAUAUAUAUAUAUAUAUACACAUAUUCUAUCUCUCUAUAUAUAUAAUAUNAUGUCCAAUGACAACCAUUGUGAGUAGAAAGACAAAGAGAGUUUGGUAAUUGCAUUGAAAAUGUAAAGAAAGGGAAACUAGAAUGCCACUUUGGGUUGUAAGGUUAAAUAAGAAAAUAACCUUAGAAAUGAGUCACUAAGUGAGAAAAUAACAAAGAGAGUAAGAAAAGAUUUGAGAAUGAAAUCUCUUUAAGUAAGGGGGAAUAUAAGAACCCAAAAAUUAGAGAGACUUGACUUUUAGUCAAAUAUUGACCAAAAGGGAAAAAUUGACAUCUAUGAGAAUUUUGUAAGUUUAUGAAGUUGUGACUUUAUGAAAUUGCCCAAGAUUAUGUUAUAAGGCAACUUGAUGCGAAGACUACCUCUAGCCACGGUGACUUAGAGGAAUAAAUUUAUGUGGCACGACCUUAAGGUUAUGAGGCAUGAAGCAAAGAGAAUUAAAUUUGCAAACUUCACAAGUAUUUGUAUGGCUUGAAACAAUCAUUGUGACAAUGAUAUAAGAGGUUUGACACUUUUAUUCUUUCAAAUGAGUUUAUUCGUAGUAUAAAGGAUGCAUUCAUAUAUGUAAAGUGUUGAUUACCUCCAAGAAUACUCCACAAAUCAAUAGGCUUAAACAACAGCUUAAGGCCGAUUUGGGAUGAAAUAUCUUGGUGAUGCGAAGAAAGUCGUGGGCAUUUGUAACGUUCGCGUUUCUCGCUUAGCAUAAAAUUAAAAUUUGUAUUUACGUCAAUCGACGAUUAUAAUCUUUUAUUAAUAAAUGAAGGAUAAUUAUUUGAAUUUAUGUGUUUAUAUAUUAUGUACGUGGAAAAUGGAUAAGUAUUAUGUGUAUAUAAUAUUUAUAUAACAGCUUGUUUUAAAAUUUAAUAAAUUGGGCUAAAAAUAAAAUAUUAAUUAGGACAAAUAAUAAAAAUGAAAGUUGUAGAGAUCGUGAUUAUGGAUUUAUGCAUAUAAAGAACGCAUAAAUCUAACUUCGUAUGAGGAAGUUAUGAUUUUUCAAAGCAUCUAUGUGACACAGUACGACAGUGGACGACACAGAAAUCGAAAUAAAAUUGGUUGAUUUUUAGCCAAAAAGAUCUAAAAUGGAAUCGAAUUACUCAUAUAAACCAAUCCUUCGACAUAAAGACAAUCGAGAACGGAGUUUGUAUGAAGAAGUUAUGAAUUGUACACAGUCUUUUUGCAGUGUAAUAUUCAUAGAAUGUAAAUUUAAAAUAGCAUGAGAAUUAGCUUACAUAGUCUUAAUGGAAGUUGUAGUAGUCGUCGAUAGGUAUGUGUGGAUAUAAAGAACGUCAAAAACGGAGCUCGUAUGAAAAAGAUAUAAAUUUUUGAAGUUCGAGAAAUUUACAUGGAAAAUGUGACACGACUCCACUAGUUCUCUGACACAUGUCAGCGUUUCAGAGGAAGAAUGUGCUGCCCAAGCCAGGGUGCAACACGCCUCCCCUACAAAAUCACUAUAAAUAGCAGUUACCAACACUCAAUUCGUCACAUUCAAAUCUAAAUCCUCUUUGCAUUCUUCUAAAAUCUUGAGUUCGAGUUUUUCUAGUUAUUAGAGUAUUUUAGCAAGGCUCAAGGCAUCAAAGACGCCCAACAAAUAGAAGCUUUCGGGUCAAAGUUCUGCAUGCAAACUUUCAAAGCUUUGGUCAUAAACUCUAUAAGUUAAGCUACACCUAUUAUGCUUUAAGUGUAACUUAUAUUUAUAUUCAUAGUCGUUAUUAUAAACCUAUAAAUAUGAUUUAUCAGUGAUUCCAGUCAUAAUACUGAUUAAUCUACUUACACGGGUGAUGUCUAGGCUAGAUUUAGUAAAGUUUUUAAAGUGGAUUUUCCAAACAGUGUAUAUUACAUAUACCAAACGAAUCCUACCUUCGAUAUGAUCUUACCUGGUUAUUCUUUAUCAACUAGAUCUUUAUGUAUUCAUUAGGAUUUUUAAGAAUCUAAACUAUUAUUAUUAUAGUUGCGAAAAUUAUGAAACAAAGACUAAGAGUUAGUAAUAUUUAUAUCUAGGUCUUUGGAAAGGAAAAGCUAAGGUGUUAGAUGAAACACUGGCUUAAUCACCAAUCAUCCACUUUUAACAAGUAAGUGCAUACUACAUAGUUACUUUCAUCUUACACAUAGAUAUAAAGUAGUUAAAUGCUUAAAUGUUAUAUGUGCUCGUUAUUUGACAUGUGUGUUAUAUAAAGUAACAUGUAUAUUUAUUUUAUUGUAUUUAAUUUAUAUUGGAUGUGAAAGGUUGUGGAGAAUAAAAUAAUAGAGAGAGGUCACGACCAGCGUUGUACUAUUGUACUACUGAGACUAGUCAUCUAGAAGAAUAUAGAUGAUAACCACUGACUAUUCUAGACAAUCUUGUGGAACAUUAGCAAACUCGCUAUCUAUAGGUGUUAAUGAAUCAUACCAUCCGAGAGUUUGGAUUGUGUAUUCAUUCGAGUACUCUAUCCCCCUCAUAGUUGUCUUAUUGAAAUAUAUUGCUAAGGAAUCCCCGAAGAGGUAUUGUCUACUCGUUGCUUACAGUGAUCCUUUAUGAUAGAUCCCUUGAGAUCAUCAAUUUAGGUUAGAGAGUGAGAAUAAUGGGAACGAGUAAUCAGAUUAAUUAUUUGUUGUGAAAUAUAUAUGUAAAACAAUUUAAUUAUAUUAUUAUGGGUUGAAACCCUAUUUACUCACCAUGCUUCCUAGUCUAACCCACUCAGUUUCUUUGUAUCACAGGUAACUGUACGAAGGUAUAGGGGUAAUGAUCUUAAAUCAAUUGAGAGAUUUGAGGAGUUUUAGACCAAUAGUAUAAUAAACUGAUGUAAGGCAUAUAAUGAUGAACUUAUGCUUAUGUUACUAUAUCAAUGUUGACAUCCAAAUUUUUAAUACUAAUGAAAAACAUUUCUUUGAAAAUGUUUUAUACAUAUUAUGAGACAAUUGCAUUAAUGAAAUAACACUCUGUUUUAAAUAAGCAUAAAGAAAAUGUCUUUUCAGACUGUAAAAUUGAAAUUGGGGAUGUCACAAUAUGGAGAUUAUUCAGGACCAAAAUCUCAAAACACUGAAUUUGACUAAAUUGAGUUAUAUUAAGAAUAUUUUAUAGAAAUUUUAGAUGGAGAGUGCAAUGGCAUGUAAUACACCCAUGUCGAUGCACACAAAGCUUUCAACUAAAGAUUGUCCAAAUUCUGAGACGGAUAUGAUCUAUAUGAGCAAGGUACCUUAUACAAGUGUGGUUGGGACCAUCAUGCACACUAUGGUUUGUAUGUGACCAAAUUUGGCGGAAGCGGUUAGUGUCGUUAGUCGGUUCAUGUCCAAACCAGGUAACACACGUUGGAAGGUCGUGAAAGGCAUUUUAUUGUACUUGCAUGUAACUCGAGAUAAAAGGAUUGUAUUCAUAUGUGUUGGUCGGGUGUAUGAUUUGGUCAGUUAUUGUGAGUCUGAUUACGCAAGUGAUGAAGAUCGUCUUAAGUCACCUUUUGUUUAUGUAUUUAGCUUUGGUGGGACACCCAUUAGUUAGACCAUGAUUGCUUUGUCAACCACUGAGGUCGAGUUUAUAGCCACAGUUAACGCAAUGAAGGAAGCCUUGUACUUGAAGCAACUUUUCAUUUAUUUUGGUUUUUAUCAUGGAUUUGGUGGUGGUGAAUUGUGAUAGCCAAAGUGCAAUUCAUUUGGCUGGAAAUUUGGAUUUUUGUUCGAGGAUAAAACAUAUUCAUGUUUAAGAAUCUUUUAUAAUUGUUUUGCAUGAAGAAAAGUUGAUUCCGUUCAAGAAGAUUCAUACAUAUAAUAAUGCAUCAAAGUGUUUACCAAGGCUAUUGCCAUUGGAAAGUUUGAGCAUUGCUUGAACAUCAUUCGUUUGGUCAAGUGUUGAUGCCAUAUGGGCAUUUGGGGGAGAGAUUGUUUUUUACGUAUUGGUAUAUCGCUUUAGUACUCAUACGAUAUGUCAUAUUUGCUAACUUUAGUCAUUUAGGUUUUAGGAUAAGUGAUGUCCGGGUGAUAGCCAUGUCAAAGUCGGGUAACAUUUGGACUACUUUAAGUAAUGUCUACCUUUUUUUUAUGGGAUUACGUUGGUGCAUUUUGAGUUGUGGGUACAUUGGUAUCAAGAUGGAGUGUUGUAAUUUUGACAUGCAAUGCAUCUAGACACAGCUGGUUUGAAGAUUUCGGAAGAAAUUAUAGACAGCUCCAAAUUUUCACUUGCUAGCCACUUGUCACCAUUUGAAAUCACCCUUUGGUCGCCACUUGAAGCGGCAAUAUUUGACUUAAAUGGAAGCCAAAUGGCCACUAACCGGUGAUCACUUUUUUAAAAAAGACGGAUUUUAGUCAUUUUAAGUCGAGUUUUACCAUUUCCCCUCAUAGAUGAUUUUUGGUGAUUCUUGCUUUUGAUCAUCAUUUUUAUACUUGGUAAAUGUUGUAAGCCCGAUUUGAUUGCGCCUUAUACAAGAUAUCAUCAUAACCUCUUCGGUUGUGGAGCCACAUUAAAUCUCUUGUCUUAUGGAUGUUAAUUGUUGCCAUAUUGUUUGUUUGUGUUUGUUAGAGAUUGUUAUCUUAGUAUUUACGCAUGAUAUUUGUUUUGUCUGAUUGUUGGGUUAACACACUUUCUAGAGGCUAAGGGUUUUGGGUAAUCGAAAUUAUUUGUAGUUCAUUUUAACAACAGCACAAAAAAAAAAAAAAAAAAAAAAAAAAAAAAAAAAAAAAAAAAAAAAACCACCUAACUGUCUAAAUCGUCGUGUGUAUUCUUAUUAUCAUGCAAUUAUCUCGUUAAUAAUUAUUAAAGACAUAAUAUAGGUUGGUUAGGUUUUCCAAUUAUCCAUGUUUCGUCGUAUACAUAUGUUUGAUGGAUCACCAAUCAAUCAAGAAAAUGAUAAAAACAAGCAUGAUCUUCUUUAAUUUGGUUGGUUGUCGAUAUCAUCACAUUAUUCAAUAUCUUUACUAUCUUAUAAAACAAAUCUCAUUAUUUCUAAAAAUAGAUUGAAUAAAAUAAUAAUAUUUUUUAAGACGACCAAAUCAUUAAGCUAAUUGUACAACUAAUCACUAAUAAAAUAAUAUUAAAAUUUAAACAAACUUCUAUAAAUCUUCUCUUCCAAAGUUUUGACCAAAUCUUUUUUCAUCCAAAUAAAUACUCAACACCCUAUAAUUUGGUCAUUUCAUGAAUUUUUUUUUAUUUUUAAUAUGACAUGUUUAAUAAAACAAACUAAUGAUUGAAUUGAAAAUAAUCAUUCUUCAUCGAAAAGAAAUUAAUUGUCGAAACAAAUUAUUUGUCGUCCGCCGCUUUGCGCGGGUAAACGGCUAGUAUAUACAAUUGGAAUUAUUUUUUAAGCAUUAUGCCAUACAGAAUGUACAGGUUCAUCGAUAAAAAGUUCGUACCCAAACAAAAAGGUCCCAUUAUAAUUUUAUCCGUAGCUUCAUUUAGGCAAUAUUCUCCACAUACCCCACUCAAAAGCAUGUACUGUGGCAUCUUUAUUUCCUUUGUGUGUUUUUGCAGCAAUCGGAUAAAAAAUUCCAAUAAAUCUAAUAAACAUAUUUUUAUUUCCUUUGUGUGUUUUUGCUUCCGGUGGUUUGUAUCUUAUGCAUUGAAUUUUGUACGUUUGAAAAGGGGGUAAAUAACAAAAGGUGAUUUUGAGAAGGUUUUGAGUUGGUUUUGUUUGCCCGUUAGUGAAGUAAAAGGCAGAAUUAUUAGAUUUUGAAAUUAUACGGGGCAAACUAGGCAUGGUGCAAGUAGCCCACUUGCUAUGGGAGUCUUUAUUAUCACUUCAUAAUUUCACCGCCUGAAAAGUUUACAUUAUAGACCCUUAUACUUUCUCUCAAUUAAAUUUAAGCCCACACGUUUUAGUAUCUUACAAACCACGACAUAUUUCUAUUUUCAGAUUUCAUAAAUCAAAUUCUGCAUCCGAUAAUGGUAUUGACAUUUUUUUGUCAGAUCAGACACUCGUGGCGUGUUUUUGUCUAACACAACAUGCCAUGACAAAGUUUUGUGUAACACGAAUACAACACGACACGAUGUCGUGUUUUUCUUUUCAUUAACAUGAACAUGAAUCAAUUAAAACACAACAACAUGAUACGGUACGACACCACAAAGAUAAAAUUACAUAACCAUUAAUUUAUUUAAUUUAUACUUAAUCAUAUAUAACACGACAAAAACGAAAAACACGAAAAACGCAACAAACACAUGCUCAAUCGUGUCCAUUUUUUCUCGAUUGGUAAACACGAACACAACACGACACGACAUCAUGUUUUCUAAACUUGAUAUGAACACGAAUUCGAAUCUUGAUUUCGUCUCGAUUUUCAUUCCAUGUCAUGUAUUUUUGUCGCAUCGUGUAAUAUAUUGACACCCUUAGGCUUCAGGGUGUGGGUGCGGUUGCACCUACGAUUCGCCAGGUCAUCAAGAGAGAAUAUCGCUCCCACCCUGCGGUCUUCCUCGUGGUUUGGCCGUAUGUAGCUAGAAUGUGUCGCACUACCUCUCUCUUCUUUACUCUUCUUUCUCAUCUCCCAAUGCUUUGAGUGGUCAAAAAAUUAAAAAUCAUUUUUUCCUUUUUUUACCUAUAAAUAAAACCUCACAACCAUUAUUUUACCACAACUAAAUCCAAUUCUUCUAUCUUUCUAAAUCUACUUCUCUCAAAAUCACUAAAAUAUGUUGUCAUCUUUUUUUUUUUGGAAAGGGAACUUCCCUAACGAGGGUUUUCCGGGCCAGCUUUCGCGCACCGACUAAUCCCCCGCUGCAAACAUAAAGUUUUGCUUCAUGCACUGGAGUCACUGCAGGCGAACCUCCAUGGCCACAAGGGCUUAGUGGUAUGUUGUCAUCUUCAUCUUUUGAAAAAAUUUAAGUUAUGCCUGAAGCUGUUUUUAGGGUUGUUAAAAUAGUGCAACAAACAUAUAACGCUUUAUGUAAUGACGAAAUCGAAAGUUCACAAUGGAGAUCAUAAAGAUAUAUUCAGAGAGAUCGUAAAUCUGCCACCAACGUUAAAUGCAAGAUUACUUUGACGAGCAUGUCACUUUUCAAGGCUACUAUUUUCGAAUGUGGUUCAGAAUGUUCAAAGCUUUAUAUGAACGUAUAAUCGAAGAUUUGACGAAUGAGUGUAGUUAUUAAAGAUGGAUGAGGGAAAACUUCAAGAGGUCAUGUAUGCAUGUGCAAUAUGAUUAUUGAAGAUAAAUGAAGAGCAAUAUGUGCGUACGACAAGUAUAAAACCAUCCCCGAGACACAACCAAUGGAGAUUGGUGGCGAUAAGUACAUGGAGAAGAGAAUGGAGAUACGUAGCAUUGAAACACAUCACAAUCUUCGCAUGGACUUGGUGGAACACAUUUACAGGAUUCAACACAUUGAUCUCAAUUUGGAUUCCAUGGAUACCUCAAAAGACGAGUUCUCGAAUGAAGACUUCAUGUAUUAUGCUUUAGUUAUUUUAUUUGUGAACUUUUUUUAUUAUGUUUUUUGUGUAUUUCACUUUUUAACCUUUUUUUUAAUUCUACUAUGUACUUUUUUAAUUUGAAAUAACGAAAUUGUAAGUUUUUAUAUAAAUUAAAGUGUUAAAAAAAAGUGGCACUACAUCUAAUGUGUGGCAAAGAACCACACUUUUGUAGUAAAAAAUGACAUGGCGCCUAUAUGGCAGAGAAGGAAAUAUGGUAAGAGUGACACCACACCCUUCAACCUCAUAUGUUAGACUUUUUGUGUGCCCAAACUCAAGUUAGACAAGCCCGAACUUCAUCCGUCGAGUUCGAUUAGACUCGCGAGUCUAAUCAAGUCUAUAUNNNNNNNNNNNNNNNNNNNNNNNNNNNNNNNNAUAUAUAUAUAUAUAUAUAACUAAAUAAUUAAAUAUCAAAUAAUAAAUAAUGAUAAAUAUGCUUUCCACCAAACUUAAAAACAUAAACGAACUUGAUAUUUGACUAUUAACUCGUGCACGCUAGGUCGAGCUUAGGCUCGAGUAGGCUUGCUUGACAAACAAAACGAGUCGAGCUGGAACAUGUUAAAAUUCUCCAUGAGCUGACCUUCGAAAUUAAGCUCAAAACAAGUCGAACAUGAGUUCGAACCCUAUGAAUUUAAACAAGCCAAUCUCGAGCCUACCCGAACUUGAGCUUGGUUUGGCUUAUUUACCUCUAGUUGAACUAAAUCUAGUAAGAACAUCAUUCGAUUUAAGAUGUUCAUACAAAAUAUUGUAUCUGAACUAUAAAAUAUCUUAAACCGUAUGCUUUUAGGUGUUGUUUGGUUUGCAGAAUGUUUCUAUAAGAAAUUGUAAUUGGAAUUGCAUAAGGAAUCUGUCAGGAAUUUGAAUCCAAUUCUAUAUAAUUUUUGGUUGAAAAUAAAUGAAAUUGGAAUUAAUUUUAUAGAACCGUAUGUUUUUAGGUGUUGUUUGGUUUGCAGAAUGUUUCUAUAAAAAAUUGUAAUUGGAAUUGCAUAAGGAAUCUGUCAGGAAUUUGAAUCCAAUUCUAUGUAAUUUUUGGUUGAAAAUAAAUGAAAUUGGAAUUAAUUUCAUAUUUUGUUUGGUUGAUAAGAAAUGGAAAUGUAAUCCAUAUUGAAUGACAGAAUUUCCCUCUUUGUCAGUUUUGCUUAAUUUUACUUUGCUUUCUAUCUUACAUGUAAAGAUAUGUUAUACAAAUUAUAAAAAUAAUAAUUUUUCAUUUUAAUAAUUGAGCAUUCAUGUCGGUGGUGGUGGUAGGUGGUGGUGGAGGGUGGUGGGUGGUGGUGGCGGUGGUGGUAGGUGGUGGUGUCAAUGGUGGCAGUUGUAGGUGGUGGUGGUGGCGAUGGUGGUGGCAGUUGUAGGUGGUGGUGGUGGUGAUGGUGGUGGUGAUGGUGGUGGCAGUUGUAGGUGGUGGUGACGNNNNNNNNNNNNNNNNNNNNNNNNNNNNNNNNNNNNNNNNNNNNNNNNNNNNNNNNNNNNNNNNNNNNNNNNNNNNNNNNNNNNNNNNNNNNNNNNNNNNNNNNNNNNNNNNNNNNNNNNNNNNNNNNNNNNNNNNNNNNNNNNNNNNNNNNNNNNNNNNNNNNNNNNNNNNNNNNNNNNNNNNNNNNNNNNNNNNNNNNNNNNNNNNNNNNNNNNNNNNNNNNNNNNNNNNNNNNNNNNNNNNNNNNNNNNNNNNNNNNNNNNNNNNNNNNNNNNNNNNNNNNNNNNNNNNNNNNNNNNNNNNNNNNNNNNNNNNNNNNNNNNNNNNNNNNNNNNNNNNNNNNNNNNNNNNNNNNNNNNNNNNNGUGGGGGUGGGUAGUGGCGGUGACAAUGGUGAAGGUGGUGGUGGGUGAUGGUGGUAGAUGUUUUGUUGUGAAAUAAAACAAAUGUAAUAAUGUAAAAUAUCACUUUCCUUCAUAGUAGAGAAUUAAUUUCAUCUUCUUCUUGAGGGAGAGUAUUUAUGAUUCCAAUUCUAUCAUACAAAGUUGAACCAAACACUAAAAUGUGAUGGAAUUGGAUUCAUUUUCCUUCAAAUUCCAUUCCAUUCCAACGAACAAAACACGUCAUUUUAGUUUUAGAAAAUACCAAUAUAUCAAAUAGUUGUUACAUUAUUCAGAUUAGACCAAAAUACCAAACUUUGUAGCUCUGUUGUUUACGCGAAUGAUAAAUUUUUAAUAAAAAGAUUAAUUUACACAAAACACAAAUAUAAUUGCAAAAUCUUAGUUAAAACAUAAGUCCAAUAUUAAAUACAGCGAAAAAAAUUGCGAAUAUGAACAUUAGGAUAUAUCAGUUUUAUUCAAGCAAAUUUUAUAACAUAAAAUAUAAUCAGAAAUCAUAUAAUAAUUGAAUGCAUAUCAUACGUUAUUUAUCAUUUACAUAAAAGAAAAUGCCUUCGAAUAUGAUUUUUUUAGUAGUGUUUGAUUGAGGUGGAAACAAAUCGGUAGUAAUCUCAUUUUUAUAUUUUAAAUAGUAGGUUUUGAUAUGAUCUUCUACAAUAGUAAUUAAAAUCUUCACAUUCAAAACGUGUGGAUCUCAAAAUCUUAUUAUUAUAAUUAUUAUUAUUAUUAUUUGGUCUAUAAAUUUUUGAAAGGGAUUAUAUCAGUCAUCGUGGCAUUCCCGUAAAGAUAAAAGAAAGCGAUAUUUUUAAUUUUUUGUAUCUAAAAUAAAAUAAUUUUUUAUUUAAUUCUUUUUGUUGGGUCCAUAAUGAGCUGCCGACCGGAUCCGGUCCACUUCCAUCGUUUUCGAUUCCAUGCUAAUCAUAUUCAUGGCUCUAUCCACCCAACUUGGGUUGCGUUGGAUAAAAAUCAUGAUCGAGUCAUCCAGCUUCCAAGAUUGGUUUGCAUUAAAUUUAGAAAACUGAUUAGUAAUUAUCAUACAAAACUAAUGAUUUGACAUGUGAAUCGGUUUAACAGUAAAUUGAUAUAUAUGUAAAAAAAUCUUGUUACGUAAGUUACCAUGAUGAUAUUCAUUUUGGUACUCGAUGUUUACCUCUUUUCAAAGUUAACUGUUAGACCGUGUAUUUUUACUUUUAUUUUGUCAUGGUGGAUGGAUAUCAUGAAAUACGGUUAUAUACAUUAACAAAUAACGAGUUUAACUAUAAAGCGAUAAAGACCUAAUUUAUUACUAUAAUAUUUUGAAUUUUGAAUAUAAAUAUUAGGUUUGUUAAUCCUUUAAAUAGACGAUAAUCCUUUAAAGCGACAAAGUAAACUGUUCUCUCCAUUCCUAGGUGGUUAAUAGGAAUUAUGGGUAAAGUUAUCCACUUGUCUACCGUAAUAAAUGAAUUCAAUUUUUGCUACAUGUCAUCUUCGUAUUUAAUUCUUCAUAUGCCAUUUUUUGUUAUAAUUUUAAGAUAUAUAUUUUUCACGUUAUUUAUUUUAAUUUUUAUUUUUCAAUAUAUCAUUAAUUUAGUUUUUGACAAAUUAAACCUAUCAUAAUGACUAUAUUAAGUUCAAUUUCAAUAUCAAUUUCAUUUAUAGUUUAAACAUAUAUAUUUAAUAUUUUAUUAUAAUUAAUGGGUUUAGUAUAUAGGUCUGCCAACUAAACAUAUAAUUUUAGUUUAUUUUUUUCGUUUGUUUUUUUUUUCUCAGUAGUUGAACUUAUUUCAAAUUUCAAAUUCAAAUAAACUUUUUAUUUAAUCCUUCGUAUUUAUUUUUGUUUUAAUCAAUUUGUAUAGUAUAUGGGUCUCACAACUUGUGAUUGAAUAUGUAUCAUAAAUAAAACACGAAUUAGGGUUAUAUUGAUGCUAAUCCAGUUAGAAAGGGAGACUCGGUCCUCAAUCAGAAAUUAUUGUGUUUGAUUUGGGUGGUUUAUCGUCAGACUUGGUCUAAAGAAAUCUGAGGAUUUGGUCUUCAUCUCAAAACCUUCUGACUGAGUUUUGGCUUUUAGUCGGCCCCAAAUGACACGCCUUGUCCCCGUCUCCUUUAAUCGAUCAUAUGCUUUCUUUCAUCUUUCUUCGUUCUUGGUUCGGUAGGGAAAUCGAUUUUAGGUAUCUUAAAUCAGUUUUGGAUUUGAAGAUUGAUUUCAGGUAUCUUAAAUCAGUUUUCAAUUUUAGACUCCACAGAAAACCAGAAACGGAGAAAAAUAUCUAUAUGGUUAAUGUUGAAACUUAAAUUUGUUUUGGAUUUGAAAGUCAACGAGUUAAGAUUUUGCAGGUGAGUCCGAAAUUAAGAAAUCAUGAGUCCGAAAUUAACAAAUCAUGAAUGAAUUGGUGUUUGUUCCUGCUUAGUUAUGUCGAUUGAAUUAAAAAAAAUCCUUGUUUUUAUUCCUUUUCAUUCAUUGAAUCGGUUUUUGUUGAUUGUUGAUUGUCUUUAUUAUAAAUCAUUUAAGUGGGUUUCAUCUAAAGCACAUGACGGCCAAUCAAUUACUUCAUCAACAUUUAUGGCCUAUUUUUCGGUUUUUGUUUGUUCUUGGAUCAUUUAUUGUGUUUAUUAUAAGUUGUGAUUGUGUUUUUUAUGCAGCAUUGAUUCAUAGGCAAUUAGUCAUCCCUUUUCAAGCAUGUUAUUUGGACUAUGUGAAAUCUGGUUCAACAAGCCUUGAAGAACAACUUGCAGCUUUGUAGGGUAAGAUAAAAGAAUGAAGGCAAAAGCUUAGGACUUUAAAUGUAGUUUUAGGGUGUUUUGUAUGUUUUUAUUUUUAUUUUUUUUAUGUAUCAAAAUGAUAGUUUUAGGGUGAAUUUGAUUAGUAAAGAUUGUGCUCUAAAAAAAUGUAAUGUUAUAAAUAAAAUGGUAAAAAUGUUAUUUGAUGGUAAUAUAGUCAUUUUGCACAUUCAGUCGAAUGCAAAAUUAAACAACAAGUUUCAGUCAGAAGUUAAAUCGGUUAGAACUUCUAACCCAAUCAGUUUUAACUCAGUUAGCAACUAUCAAACGACCUCUUACAAACUAUAUCAUAUUUAAUUAGUAUAAUGAAUAGAACAUAAUAUACAACAUUUCAAAUCUAUCAAAUUUGAAUAAAUUUUUGACAAGAGGAGUAGAAUAAAACCACCCGUGUUUUCAAUUCUCCAUAUUAUCUGACGUUAUAUAUAUANNNNNNNNNNNNNNNNNNNNNNNNNNNNNNNNNNNNNNNNNNNNNNNNNNNNNNNNNNNNNNNNNNNNNNNNNNNNNNNNNNNNNNNNNNNNNNNNNNNNNNNNNNNNNNNNNNNNNNNNNNNNNNNNNNNNNNNNNNNNNNNNNNNNNNNNNNNNNNNNNNNNNNNNNNNNNNNNNNNNNNNNNNNNNNNNNNNNNNNNNNNNNNNNNNNNNNNNNNNNNNNNNNNNNNNNNNNNNNNNNNNNNNNNNNNNNNNNNNNNNNNNNNNNNNNNNNNNNNNNNNNNNNNNNNNNNNNNNNNNNNNNNNNNNNNNNNNNNNNNNNNNNNNNNNNNNNNNNNNNNNNNNNNNNNNNNNNNNNNNNNNNNNNNNNNNNNNNNNNNNNNNNNNNNNNNNNNNNNNNNNNNNNNNNNNNNNNNNNNNNNNNNNNNNNNNNNNNNNNNNNNNNNNNNNNNNNNNNNNNNNNNNNNNNNNNNNNNNNNNNNNNNNNNNNNNNNNNNNNNNNNNNNNNNNNNNNNNNNNNNNNNNNNNNNNNNNNNNNNNNNNNNNNNNNNNNNNNNNNNNNNNUAAUGUGGAGAACCGAAGAUACUGGUGCUUGGUGGUUUUAUUCUACUCCUCUUAUCAACUAUGGACAAACUUGAAUUUAAACCAACACUGCAUAAAAAAACCAGUUUAAAAAAAACAAAGAACAAAAUUUCUAAAUUACAUUGAAUUUGUCGAAACAUUUACCAUCUUGAAUUUAUACCGACAUAUACAUAAAAAUAAGUAUGUAGGAAAAUUAUUUUCUUUAAGUUAACGAACAAAAGUUAUUAUAUAUGACACAACUCAUGUAUAGAAAAUGUAUAUAAAAUUACGUAUAAAAACGGUAACAUCCUAUUUUCUUUAAGUUAACGAACGAAAGUUAUUAUAUAUGACACAAUUCAUGCAUAGAAAACGUAUAUAAAAUUUCGUAUAAAAACUGUAACAUCCAUAUAAUUCGAGCCAAUUUAAAACUUUUUAAAUCAUUUAAAACCAUUCAAUUAUUACAAUUUGUUUUUCAAAAUAGUUUGACAUCAGACUUUCCAGAAAUCAUAAUCAUCAAUCGAGCAAGUGUACGGUCACGCCUUCGCCUUCUCGCGGCCAUCCGCUGAACCUGAAACAAUAAAGUAAAACUGUAAGCCCGAAAACUUAGUGAGUUACACCCAAAAUACCAAUUCCAUACAGAUCACCAUAUCAUAUAACAUAUAAUUAACAGAACAACCAUGCAUCACGACUCUAUAGUGUGAUUGGUCCUCCCGCACCGGGCCUUCAGUCCACCUGGUCCACUCUCUAAGUCUAUAGUAUGAUUGGACCGUCUGUACUGGGCCUUCAAUCUAUCUGGCCCACUCUUCGAACCUCGGCACGUCUGGACCGCCCUCUCGGGGCCUUCAGCUUUUCCGGACCCCUCGUCGGGCCUUCGGCCUGACUAUGCGCUCUCCUGGGUCUACAGUCUAUCCGGUCCGCCCUGGGUAUGUUGGCCUACAACACAAAGCAAGACCCGCCUCAACCCAACCCCAAUCAAACAACCAUGUGCACAUAUAACAGAUAAUCACAUAACAGUCCAUAAACAACCAAACCGAUCUAAUAGAUCAUAUAGCAUAGCAACAUCCUAACCGGGAUACCGACCUGACCGGUCACUAACAUAGCAUUAUCCUAUAUACCAGGACACCGACCUAAACCAGGUCACUAACAUAACAUACUACCAUCCUAACUACCAGGAUGUAAUCAAUAAACACAUCAUGCCACAAUCCAGAUACAAAUAUAUAGAGGGCCGAACUUGGUGCCUUAGACCCCGUUGAUAUAGUGAGGAUAACACACCUCGUAAGUAGCUCGGAAGGUAGUGUCAAACUCUUCCAGAUGUUGCUCCAACUCCAACACCUAUAUUCACCAAUGCCCCUUUGCUAUCAAAAUCCAAUUUACCAAAAUACCCUCAGAAGUCCAAUAGUCAACCCUUGGUCAAAGUCAAAGUCAACUGCCCAAGUCAACAGUCCAUGUUGACCUCAACUCGUCGAGUACAACCAGCCACUCGCUGAGUUCCUUGUAUAACUCGCCAACUUGCCGAGUCACAUGAGCGACUCGUCGAGUUCCUAGUGUCAGUGGUCGUAAACCCCUUGGCCAACUCGUAGAGUUUCCCUAUACAACUCGUCGGGUUCAUACGUGUCCAAAGGUUAGGAAAAUCCUAGCCGACUCGUCGGGUGCAUGCAAUGUGCUAAUGACCUAAAUCAGGCUAAAGAAGAGGUUCUAGGCCAAAGAGCUUCACCAACAUGCUGAGGACUGAGACUUUAUGAUGAUAAGAGCUAAGAUGAGCCUAGAUCUGAAGUUGCAACUUUAGAUCUUGGUUCAUCACUCGAAAUGCAACACCAAUUGCCCAAGAUGGCCCCAAAACUCAAAUAUAAAAGGGAUCUAGCUAGAAGAAGCCCAAGGUGGUGACUUGAUACCUCCAAAUGAUGAUAAACUGAGGUAGACUUCAGAUCCCCAACUGUUCCUUGCUUAAAGCUUCUUGAUCUUCAAGCCUUUCCUCAACAAGAUCCACCUUUCAAGCUUAAACAUACAAGUAUGGAGAGAAAAUGGUGAUUUAGGGUUUCUGGACUCACAAGGGCUGCAAGGGAAAGCUAAGGGGGGAAAGUAUCCUUUAAAUAGGGUGCAAAACCCCGAAAUUUAGGGUUGCAUCUGCUAGCUCCUACUCGUCGAGUCCCUUCUUGGACUCGGCGAGUAGGUCACUUAAACACGCGGAGCAACCUGCUGCUACUCAGCGAGUCAGGCAACCGACUCGUUGAGUAGACCUUGAAAUCAUGAGAAAUUAUAACCACAAAUUGAUACACGGGAAUCGGGGCGUUAUAAUUCUACCCCACUUGAGCUAGACUUCGUCCUCGAAGUCUGCUGCGGUGAACAACCUUGGAUAGUGCUCCCACAUCUCUGCCUCUGGCUCCCACGUCCACUCGGACCUUCAUUGGGGCUCCCACUGUAUCUUUUCCAAAGGUACCUCCUUGUUCCGCAGAACCUUCACCCUUUCUCUCCAGAAUGGCCACAUGCCUCUCAACAUAACAAAGGCGCUCACCGACCUAAAUGUCAUCCAACGAUACUACCGCCUCCUGAUCCAUGAUGCACUUUCGCAACUGCAAAACGUGAAAGAUGAUGUGAAACCCAACCGAACCUUUUAAAAAGGUCUAUCCUACAAGCCACUUUGCCAACUGACAAAAUCCUAAUGAUCCAACGUAUCGGAAACCCAACUUUCUCUCUUCCUAAGGCAAAUCCUUUGUGCUGACAGGACAAUUGUCCCACAACAUCAUACAAAAAUCAAUCCACUGAAACACGAACACUCAUGUCUGGCCCAAUCAGCCUCAAUUUGUAAUACCAGUCAUGCCUACGAUGGGUCCAAUCAUCCCUAAGAUGGAAUACCCUCGCAGCCUACACACGAAUCCCAAGUCAUACACCUACUUCAACUCUUCCAGCUACCAUAUGAUAUUUCCUAAAAAAUUCGAAACCUCCCUAGUCCCACUUGUCUUUCCACCAACACCAGACACCUCACCGAUUAGUGAACCAAAAGACCCACAUAAACGGCAGUCCUACGCGUCUCCCGAAAAGGAAACUGACUGGCUGGACUUGCUUCCACACUCUGCUAUCAGCCUCUACUAACACAAUGAAUGCUACAUGACCCACGACAACCUCGCCUCCUACCUGAUCUCCAACGACCCAUCUCCUCCUCACUUCGGACACACUAUGGCUCUUCCACAGAUGAAAUCAACCCAAGACACGCCACAAUAAUUCGAACCAUCAUCACAUACCUACCACACAUGGUCCACCAGUACGCUACUUAUAUCUAGCCCAUACCGCCCUUCGAGCGUGAAUACCAAUAUGCCAAGCCUAAUUGAUCAUAGGGUUCGGUCAUCCUCGGGAUGGAAUACACUAGAUUAGAAUGCCGACAUAUCGAAUCAAUUCAACCAUCGAUUCGAAACUCUCAGAGUUUGUUAGCCCACCGCCUCAACCCUACCGCUCCUCUUGAGCCUCCAUGCCUACGACUUUUAGUCGGCCCGUACUGGGUAUCUUGGCCUACUGCAUAGAGCAAGACCGCGCUCAACCCUACCCACAUGCAAUGCGUCCCUAAACGAUCAAGAGAAAGAUCUAACCCGGUUCCCAAAACCUGACUGACAGGACAUUCCAAUUCCAAACCUUCCUAAAGCUGAUGAAUACCCAUCCGGAUCUACUCCCAGUCCCCAACUGGAGUAUUACCCAAUCCAAUAAGAUUAGUCCUUCUAGACACUCCAAACUGAUGAGAUCACCGAGAUCCUAUGCACUCCUUCUGAUCUCCAAUAACAACUUCUGAUCAAACCAAAAUACCCUGGAGUCUUCAGCCUACUCCAACAUCAUGUUUAAUAUUUGGGGACAGACCUACUGAAUGCUAUAGCAUAGCAACAUACUCAAUACCCGCACAUAGAUCUACAACACAUACAGAUUCUGCAACAUGACUGGACCGCCUCACCAGGCCUUCAACCUAUCUGGACCACUUUCAGAACCUUCAGCAUGUCUAGACCGCCCCUCCGAGCCUCCAUCCUGUCUGGACCGUUCUCCGAGCCUUCGACCUGACUGGUACGCCCCACCGACCUUCAGUUUAUCUGGACCGCUCUAAAGUGUUGAGCAUCCUGGACCGCCCCUCCUGGUGGUUCUUCCCAUGCAGACUGUUCUCACUCACUUAAGGUUUCGAACUCCUGAUCCAUUUCGUGGACUCUAACCCCGACCUAACCCUAGGUCUCAUGUUGAUCGUCCAUCCUCUCGGAAAUCCAUGGUCUAUUUCCUGAUUCGCGUGUCUACCACUUAUGCUAAAUAACCCGCAUACUCAUGCUGAAUGUACCGCCAAGCCCUGGCAGCUAACAAAGUCCUCAACGACUGAUGCUCCAUCUGAAAAUUUCUAAUUCUCCCCCACUUGGGACAUUAACCACUACCUACUAGUGGUGAAAUCAAAACACUACUUAACCGUCCUGACCAAGCAUUUCCACACUUUCACCAUAGAACGGUGAAUCCUGGAAUGAAUAAUCUCUGCAAAACAACCCUCCUGGCAUGGAGAAACCGAACUUCAUAAGGAACCCGAAUCCCGAUGACACUUCUGUAUCUCCAAUUCACAGUUUCUGGCCCUGGAAUGGUGAUCCUAUAUCCUAACUUCUGAUCACCAACACCCCUGGAUACUAGCCGUCUACAACCCUUGUUACUAAAUUCCUCAAGCUAUCCUAUGCCAUAUGGAGAAGGGAUGGAAAAUUCACAAUAUAAUUAUAAACGAUAAAAUACAGAUAGAAACAUACUAGCAGUUGUAUCUGGUGUUGUACUUGCCUCCUCUACAGUAAGCUGGAAGGCACGUCCCUGAGCCCUCAGGGGCUUUGCUCUACCCUCACCCCUGUCAGUAAUCCUCAAUGUAGCCGACGUUGGAGCUUGCACCAACCUAGCAACCAGCUAUGGAUAGUUGGUCUUCACAUGACCAACCUGAUGGCACUGAUAACAAAUCAUUAUGUCCUGAACUAGGGCCAACUGGCAACAAUCCCUCGCAUAAUGCCCCUCCUUUCCGAACUUGCGGCACGCACCACCGGACCUACAUACUCCGGUAUGACCCUUUCGGCACUUCGCACAAGUACGACUGCUCUGUUCUCCAACCCUAUAAUCAGCGGUCUUGGACCGCUUCGACGCCGGCUGAGACUGCACCGGGGCCUGCCUCUGGUCUCGCAAUUACAAAUCAAUCUCCAGCUCCCGCCGCCUACCAGCCUCUUGAAAAUCCUGUAACGUAUAACAUCGUUGGGUAGCAACAAACUGUCUAAUGUCAGUCUUGAGCAUGCUCAUAUAACGCGUCAUCUGAGCCUGAUCAGAAGCAAACUUUGGGCUACACAUCACCCUCUCAGUGAACAUACGGGUGAUCUCUGUCACCGACUCUAUACCCUAUCUUAACUCCAAGAACUCCUGAGCUAGCCGCUCAUGCUCGAAUCGCGGAAUGUAACGGGAGUAUAACAUCUUCCUAAACCGAUCCCAAGAAACCGCAACUCUUUGCACAUCUGAAUAAGACCCUGUCAUCAACCUCUACCUGUCCUUCGCCCCGGACCUCAACAUGUUCAGGGCACACCUAACCUUCUGGUCAGCCGGGCAGGAACAUGUGAAAAAGCAUCCCUCGAUGUUUGAUAGCCACCUCAAGGCUAUGAUAGGGUCCUGAAUCCCAUCGAAAGUUGGGGGCUUCGUGUUAUCAAAGUAUCGAUACUGAAAAGUCUGACUGGCUCCUACCCCUGUCACUGAUACAACUAUACUAGCUGUCGCGGCAGCCGCCUCCGCAAGGGCUGCAUAACGCUCGUCAAAGUACUCGAGCAUGGCGGUAUUGAUAGACCCAAAGAUCUCCGGUAACUGAGCCCGAAACAUAGCAGCAACCUUAUCAUGCAGGAUCUCCCGGAUCCUAUCAUCUAUCUCGUCUGCCCUCAUCUGGCCGAUAGUCUCGGGCGUUGCCGGCACCUCCUGUCCGUCCUCUCCUGACCCUGACCCGGAUCCAUCCACGAGUCAUCGUGUAACCUCCAUACUGAAAACAUAUCGAAAGGAUAUCAGAUACUCCUCACAACAACCCGAGAACUAACUCUCAACCAAAACCUUAGGGGUUGUGACUUUCUUGAUAUGCGUAUGGGUCCUGUGCUUUCUGUAGUACGGGCCCAUACUACCUUCCACACCUACCCAUAUUUGUCCCAAGUAUCAUCACAAAGCACUAUCAAUACACACAAAUAUAGCGAGCGCUCAAUCCUCACUCCUAGAGGAAAUGCUAAAUAUUUCAUAACUGGCUUACUAGCCUCACACAACCCACCCAUCCAUGAAACUUCCACCAACCCUGCAGCACUAGUGUAUGUAUAACAUAAGGCCAAAUCAAACAUUCUCAGGCUAUAAGGUCUUAAUUAUGUAUAACCAUGAUGCAUACACUAAGCAACUACAGUAAUGAUGUCAAUUUCAUAUAAAGGAAUCCUUAGGCUAGUAGGCAUCAUGUAAUCAGACAAUUCUAUCAUGCAAUUCCUGAAGAUCCCUAACCUAGUACUAGCAUGUUGUUCUAACAUAUCACAUAAUCAAAUAACUGUAUGGUAUUUUGGAGUCUACUUACUGGCUUCGGCUGAUUGUACACUUCACAUCCUCUUUUACUUAUUUUGCAAACCAUUUUAAAAAUCAUUUUGAAAAUCUUUCCUUGAUUUGAGACUGGAUUCACACGAUUGUUCCUCCAAUUCACUCAACCCAAGGCUCUGAUACCAACUUGUAACAUCUAUAAAAUUCGAGCCAAUUUAAAACUUUUUAAAUCAUUUAAAACCAUUCAAUUAUUACAAUUUGUUUUCAAAAUAUUUUAGACAUCAGAGUUCCCAUAAAUCAUAAUCAUCAAUCGAGGAAGUGUACGGUCACGCCUUCGUCUUCCUGCGGCCAUCCGUUGAACCUGAAACAAUAAACUAAAACUGUAAGCCUGGAAGCUUAGUGAGUUACCCCCAAAAUACCAAUGACAUACAGAUCACCAUAUCAUAUAACAUAUAAUUUGCAGAACAACCAUGCAUCAUGAGUCUACAGUGUGACUGGUCCGCUCGCACCGGGCCUUCAGUCCACCUGGUCCACUCUCUAAGUCUAUAAUAUGAUUGGACCGUCCGUACUGGGCCUUCAUUCUAUCUGGCCCACUCUCCGAGCCUUGGCAUGUCUGGACCGCCCUCUCAGGGCCUUCAACCUAUCCGGACUGCUCGUUGGGCCUUCGUCCUGUCUAUGCGCCCUCUCGGGUCUACAGUCUAUCCAGUCCACCCUGGGUAUGUUGGCCUACAACACAAAGCAGGACCCGCCUCAACCCAACCCCCAUCAAGCAACCAUGUGCACAUAUAACAGAUAAUCACAUAACAGUCCACAGACAACCAAACCGAUCAAGCAGAUCAUAUAACAUAGCAACAUCCUAACCGGGAUACCGACCUGACAGAUCACUAACAUAGCAUUAUCCUAUAUAGCAGGACAACGACCUAAACUAGGUCACUAACAUAACAUACCACCAUCCUAACUACCAGGAUGUAAUCAAUAAACACAUCAUGCAACAAUCCAGAUACAAAUAUAUAGAGGGUCAGCCUUGGUGCCUUAUGUUGGAUUAGUGUCUAAGUCCAUAACUAUUUUGGUAUGUACUUGACCCGAUGGUGCAUGGUCCUUUUGGGUUGCCUUCACCAAAGCAACUUGAUAGGAUGAAUUAUGGAGAGAAAGGAUUAAAUAUGAUUUAUUAAUAUAUUAUGGGAAUAAUAUAUUAAAGGAGAAAUCAUAUUGUUUAAUUAAUAUUAGUCAAUAAUUAAUUGGUAAUUAGUUUUGUGACUAAAAGAGAUUAAUUAAACUUAAGGGACUGGAAUUGUAAUUAUAAGAUAAUUGCAAUUAGCGCCAUGGAUUGCCUUUUAUUAUAAGGUGGACGAAUUCUAAUGGGGAAGCCCAUAUGAAGUCGUCCAAGGCUUUAAGAAAAGGGCUCCAUGGGUUGCUUAGGGCUUAAGCAACCAAAUUAGGGUUUCCUUGUUAGAUAACCCUAAUAGCCUUACUAUAUAAAGACCCCUUAUGCCUCAAAAACGUGGACAAGCAACCUUCUAGGGUUUNNNNNNNNNNNNNNNNNNNNNNNNNNNUGGGCCAGCCUAACCUCUCUCCUCUUCAUCCUCUUGCUUUUGGUGUUUGUGAACCAUUAAAGGAGUGACACUUGUGACUCUAAGCCUUCCAAAGUCAAUUCAAGGAGAUUUGGGAUUGUUAUUGCUACAUAACAAUCAAGCAUGUACAAUAGAGAAACUUAGAUCCAAGCAUUAGGGUUUGUAUGAGCACAUAGGAUGUCUUAUGACCAAAACCCAUCACCUUAGACCCUGUUGAUAUAGUGAGGAUAACUCACCUCGCAAGUAUCUCAGAAGGUAGUGUCAAACUCUUCCAUAUAUUGCUCCAACUCCAAAACCUAUAUUCACCAAUGCCCCUUUGAUAUCAAAAUCCAAUUUACCAAAAUACCCUCAGAAGUCCAAUAGUCAACCCUUGGUCAAAGUCAAAGUCAACAGUAGAUGUUGACCUCAACUCGUCGAGUACAAGCAGCCACUCGUCGAGUUCCUUGCAUAACUCGCGGAGUCACAUGAGCGACUCAUCGAGUUCCUAGUGUCAGUGGCCAUAAACCCCUUGUCCAACUCGUCAAGUUUCCCUAUACAACUCGUCGGGUUCAUACGUUUCCAAAGGUUGGGAAAAACCUAGCCGACUCACCGAUUUACUAGACCGACAUCUUCAUCAGACUCGCCGACUCGUUCAUCCGACUCGUCGAGCCUACAACUAUCUUCAUUGGACUUGCCGAGUUUUCCCGACACUCGCCGAUUCCAUUAAGUCCUUCAUCCAUACAGAGGCUUUUUAAGCCAUGCCAAGGCUCCAUAUUGUAGAUCCAGUCCCCCAAGGCAUGUUUAUCACGUAAAGUUGUAAACUUCACGUGCAUGCAAGGUGCUAAUGACCUAAAUCAAGCUAAAGAAGAGGUUCUAGGCCAAAGAUCUUCACCAACAUGCUAAGGACUGAGACUUUAUGAUGAUAAGAGCCAAGAUGAGCCUAGAUCUGAAGUUGCAACUUCAGAUCUUGGUUCAUCACUCGAAAUGCAACACCAAUUGCCCAAGAUGGCCCCGAAACUCAAAUAUAAAGGGAUCUAGCUAGAAGAAGCUCUAGGUGGUGACUUGAUACCUCCAAAUGAUGAUAAAUUGAGGUAGACUUCAGAUCCCCAAUUGUUCCUUGCUUAAAGCUUCUUGAUCUUUAAGCCUUUCCUCAACAAGAUCCACCUUUCAAGCUUAAACAUACAAGUAUGGAGAGAAAAUGAAGAUUUAGGGUUUCUGGACUCACAGGGGCUGCAAGGGAAAGCUAAGGGGGGUCAAAGGAUCCUUUAAAUAGGGUGCAAAACCCCAAAAUUUAGGGUUUCAUCUGCCAGCUCCUACUCGUCGAGUCCCUUCUUCGACUUGACGAGUAGGUUACUUAAACACGCGGACCAACCCGCUGCUACUCGGUGAGUCAGGCAACCGACUUGUCGAGUAGACCUUGAAAUAAUGAGAAAUCAUAACCACAAAUUGAUACAGGGGAAUCGGGGAGUCACAAAAACGAAAAAAAAAGUUAUGAGGAAACACAGACAAACUCAAAUACAAUACGUUUUUUUAAAGUUAGCGAACGAAAAUUAUUAUAUGUGGUCCGAAUUAUAUGUAGGAAACAUAAAUAAAAUUAAGCACGAAAACGUAAAAAAUAUGUCGAAACAUGGACAAACUCGAAUAUAUACCGACACGUGUAUAAAAUAACAAGUAAAUUAAAAAAAUUAACAAGCAGAAGUUCUAAAAUCAUGUUGAAACGUUGAUCACCUUGAAUUUAUACCAACGCAUAAAGAAUAAUGAGAACGUAUAAAAAUAGUUUUAUAGGUUAAUGAACAUUUAUUUUAGAAAAUCAAAUUGUGAUCAGAAAUAUACAUGAAAGUUUAAAAAAUAAAGCAGUGAAAAUAACAAGUUCAAAGUGAAUGAUCAAAAUGAAAUUUUAAAAAGUAAAGGGGCGAAAAAUACACAAAUUCUAAAACAUAAAAUAUAGAAAAAUUACAUAAAUGGUCCCUAUGGUUUACCCAUUGUGACAGACUCAAUCCCUCUACCUAAAAAGACUAAAUUACUCUCACACCAAUAGACUAAAACUAACGGUGUUAGCAAAAAUGAACAUUCUUGCAAAUUUUGGAAACCACAUGGACCAUGAUCGUUAAAAAAAUAUGCAAUGACUUAAUUUAUGAUAUUUGGUAAACCACAUAGACCAUUUAUGUAAUUUUGUAAAGACAUAACUGCAAAAAUGGUCCUUGUGGUAUGAAUUUUUUCUAAGGUUUAGUCCAAACCUCAAUUGUUUUUGGCUCCGUGGUCAUUUUGAGCUAGUUUCGUUGCAGAUUUGGUCCCUCAGUAAACUGAAAUGACUUUAAUACCCUUGGGGUAUUUAUUUUCUAUUUUUCUUUCAUUUUUUAAAAUUUAAUAUCUUUUUUAUUUAUUUAAACAAUAAAAAAAUAAAAAUAUCCACCUCUCUUUCAUUUUUUUUAAAUCUAUUUUUCUUUCAUCUCUACCUUCUUCUGUGUUUUCGACCAGAAGAAGGUAGAGAUGAAGUCGGCGUCUGAACAAAAUCCCUCGUUCUGACCUAAUCAUCACCAUCAGACCACCCAAACUUUUCACCUUCUCAUCCCUUUUUCUCCGUUUCUGGUUUUCGUUUGUCGAAAAAAACCAAAGAGUGGUUGCAUCGAGGGCUAUGGUUUGUUUUGUUCUAAAUGAUUUUUACGUAAGGGGAUAAAUGAGCGAUAUGUGAGAGGAGAUUGGUGACUUUAGAUUGUAGACCAUCGAUAGUUUUUUGAAUGUCGAUUUCUUGCUUCAUAAAUUGAUUAGGGACUUCUAAUUUAUGAAGUGUGUAUUCAUGGAUUCUUCAGUUUCUUAAUAAUUCAACAUAUGAUACAACAUAUGAUUUCUAAAGUGGGUGCAUGUUAAUAGAUCUUAGGAUGAAAAAUCGGUUGGUGAAAAUCAACACAGACCAUUCUUCGACAUAUGAUCCAUGAAUAUACGACCAAUUUACUUUUUUCCCAAAUUCUUUCCCUAGUCUCAAUUUUAGGAUACCUGGAGAGAGAGAGAGAGAGAGAGAGAGAGAGAGAGAGAGAGAGGCCCUCUAAUAUUAUUAAUUGAUAAAAUGAAAAAAUAAUUAUUAAACUUUAAAAAAAUGAAUUUAAAAAUAGAAAAUAAAUAUCCAACCGUAUUAAAGUCAUUUCAGUUUACUGAGGGACCAAAUAUUCAAAGAAACUAGCUAAAAAGACCCAUGAAGCCAAAAAUAUUGAGCUUUGAACUAAACUUCAGAAAAAAAAAAAUGCAUAGCACAUGGACCAUUUUUAAAAAUUUGUCUUUUGUCAAAAAUAUAAAAAACAAACUGUANNNNNNNNNNNNNNNNNNNNNNNNNNNNNNNNNNNNNNNNNNNNNNNNNNNNNNNNNNNNNNNNNNNNNNNNNNNNNNNNNNNNNNNNNNNNNNNNNNNNNNNNNNNNNNNNNNNNNNNNNNNNNNNNNNNNNNNNNNNNNNNNNNNNNNNNNNNNNNNNNNNNNNNNNNNNNNNNNNNNNNNNNNNNNNNNNNNNNNNNNNNNNNNNNNNNNNNNNNNNNNNNNNNNNNNNNNNNNNNNNNNNNNNNNNNNNNNNNNNNNNNNNNNNNNNNNNNNNNNNNNNNNNNNNNNNNNNNNNNNNNNNNNNNNNNNNNNNNNNNNNNNNNNNNNNNNNNNNNNNNNNNNNNNNNNNNNNNNNNNNNNNNNNNNNNNNNNNNNNNNNNNNNNNNNNNNNNNNNNNNNNNNNNNNNNNNNNNNNNNNNNNNNNNNNAUAUAUAUAUAUAUAUAUAUAUAUAUAGAGAGAGAGAGAGGUCAAAAAGACUUCUACCAAAAUUCAUUUAAAAUAUAAUAUUUUAAAUGCUUUUUAAUAAUAAUUGUAAAACUUUCAACAUGUGUUACUUAAUUGAUUGAUUAAUAAAAAAUAUUAAUGUUUUGAAACUCCUAACUCUUAAACUUAUAUUAUUUAAUUUGUUAGUUAACUAAAAUAUUUUUCCUACAUAAAGAUAACAUUUUUAUGUUUGGUUACUCAUAUUUGUUUAUGUAAUUAGAAAACAAUGUGUACAUAGAAUGAGUACUUCAAUUUCACAUAUUAAUCGAUACCACUAGAGAGGUAUGUUGUCUUUAACCGGUGUUAGGAGAUCCACAUACCCUUUUUAAUUAUUCAUAUUAAUGCUUAGUAAUAUCUAUUUUAUAUUCCUAUUCACCUUAAUUUUUUAGGUACAAAUUAAGGAAGAGGAUUCUUGGCGCACCAACAUAAAGUCAAACGUAUGCCUUGCAAAAUAUAUAAUUUAAAUUAAAUAUCAUAAUUACUAAUCGACUUAUUUUAAAAAUUUUGAUGACAUUUAUGUAUAAUGAUAUAUUUUGUAUGACUUUAUUUUUAAUUUCAAUGUUUAAUAUUUGAAAGUUCAUAUAUGAAACAUUGGAUGUUUUAGUGUAAUAUAAAUAGUGUAAUAGAAAGUUUAUUAGUUCAAUAUUGUUUAUUAAUAGCUCAUUCAAAACAACUUAUUUCUUAUUUUAUCCAAAAAAAUAUUAUCGGACUUAAUAAAAUGAGAUUAUAUUAAUGUUAUACAAAAACUUAUAAUAUAUAUUGUGUAACAACCCAAAAACGCAGUCUAAAAUUUCAUUUAAAUAACAUUACUUAAACCCUGAUUGUCAACCAUAACAUAAUUCUUAACAUAAAAUCAGAGUAUUAAUUCAAAACAUAAUCUUUUAUCGGAGUGAAACAUCCUAGGCUGACUAAAUAUGGUGUGUGUCAUACUAUCAUCCAGAGCUCUUCCCUCCGCUACCGGAAUUACCUGAAAGCAAAACUGAAACUGUAAGCACAAAGCUUAGUGAGCUCCCCCAAACUACCACAUACCAUACAGUAACAUAUAAUGCACAUACUGGGCCUUGCCCACUGCAUCAGACCGAAGUCCGGAAACUGCAUCGGACCGAAGUCCGGAAACUAACCAGGGCCUUGCCCUCUACAUCGGACCAAAGUCCGGAAACUGCAUCGGACCAAAGUCUGGAACAAACUACAUAGCACCAAAGUCCGGAACUGACUACAUCGGACCGAAGUCCGAAACUGACUGGGACCUUGUCCCCUGCAUCGGACCGAAGUCCGGAACUAACUGCAUCAGACCGAAAUCCAGAUCUGACUGAAUCAUAACAUAGCAUAGACGUAUCAACUAGCAUGAACACAUAAACUGCAUACUGCAUCGGACCAGAGCCCGGAACACAUAACACAAAACAUGCUUGAAUCACAAAGACAUCAAGCAAUCUAACUACUGCCUCGGACCGAGGUCCGAAACUACUGCUAACUAAAUGGGCCGACAUUAUGGCCGUAGACCCGUUCCUACUAGAAGGAAACUCACCUCUACUGCUGAACUUUGCUGAUAGCCCUCUGCUGCUAACUGAAACUUUCCCGAUUGCUGCUUCUUUGGCUCCUCGAGCUACCAAGAUCAUAAUAUCACUUAGCCCAAUAUCAUAACCACUCUUAGGGUAAAAUGACCAUUUUACCCCUACUCCAUAAUGAUCCACAACCAGGGCCCAAAACAUACUAUAAAAAGCUCCAACAUUAAGUAGGCUUCCCAAGCCUACUAUUGACCCAUAAAUGGCCCAACUUGCUACACUGGGCCCAGUCCCCUUACUGGGCCUACCUUAAGCCCAAUACAAAUACUUGGCCCAUAAACACUGACUCCUGAUGGCCCACCAAGGCCCAAGGACCUAUAGUCCAAAACACAGCCCACACCGAGGCCCAAAUGCUCAAAACCCUUCUGGCAGAAUUACGCGGGGCGUACUCCAAUGUACGCUUAGCGUACCGGCUUGACUACGCGUACGCUGGGUGUACCUGCAUGUACGCUCAGCGUAAUACCCUAAUAAGCCAACUUUCUAUUAAGUGCUUAAUACCUCGAUCCAGAAGCUACAAACAUAGAUCCAAGUCUUAUUUCAUGUCUUCAGCCGUAAAGUCACUGACUUUGUGACUUUAUAUGGCCCAAACCAACCCAAACUCUCAAAACACUCUUCUACUUCCAUAAAGGGGGCUAGAUCUCAUGCAUGGACUUAAUAGGGCCAUAAAGGUUGGAACUUUACUGCUUCUGGGACUCAUAUGACUCUAAGGGAGGCAACUCUGGUCUUAGAAACGAGCUUGAGUCAUAAAGUCCCAAUCUUGGGACCAAAAAGGUCCAUAAACUUUCACUAAGGAGAUCUAAGAGGUUAAUCAUCAAGCUCAAGACUUUUUACCUUGCAGAGGUCCGAAAUGAAGCACUUAUCCCAGAUCUACAAGCUCUAGCUUCCAAGGUUCCUCCUUGCUUCCAAGCUUUAAACCACCAAAAUGGGUUUUCCAAGGUCAAGAUCUCAUAAAAUGAAGGUAAGGACGUUCUAGGGUUUCUUCUGAGGUUGGGGAGGCUGAUAUGGGGGCUAGGGUUGGAACCAUAAUGUCCUUUAUAUAGUGCUUAACCCAAAAAUAGGGUUUUAUUAUCUUUAGCGUACGCUGGGCGUACCUCCACNAGGGGCGUACUCCACGUACGUUGGGCGUACGCCUUGAACACCCGCGACCAAAUUGCCCCAUUACGCUGGGCGUACCCACGCGUGCCCCAACAUGCAUGCAUGGCCUUCCAUGCAAACAUUUCUCUGUAAGGGUCAUUCUUGCCAAAUCUUCAAAGUGUCAUAACUCCUUCAUUCUAGAUCCGUUUCUGAUGAACUUUAUAUCCACGGAAAGGUGGCGAGAAAUCCUACGCUUAUAACAACACACUCUGGCCCGAAAACUUCUCGAAUAUUACCUCUAAAUUUAAUAAAGGACUAAAACACCCCUUGCCUUGGCCUCUAAAAUUCCAUAAAUAAAUAUUUUAGAACGGGGCGUUACAACUCUCCCCCACUUAAACUAGACUUCGUCCUCGAAGUCCGCUACGACCAACUAUCUCACAACACCUUGCAGCUUGCCACUGACUAUGAACUUCUCCUAUCCGAUCGAAUUCUUGAAAAUGUCUUUUCCCGAAUAAUCUGAUCAUUACCAUUCUCCAGCACAACACUUUUACCUAACCGGAAAUCCCACCGGUACUCCUAGUACACUUACAGCUGGUACACAAGGGGUCUACCCCUUUACCCUGAACCACCACUGGCCUUUCCAAGGCAACUUUCCCCAAGCAACAAACCUUUCCAAUAUCCUUCUAUUCUCUGCUGAGCUGCAAUUCCGGCCACUCCCAGCGCUGGCCAUCACAUCACUACUCAAAAUAGUUCCACAUACGAUGCUCCAGUACUGAAACCUCCACUCUGCGUGAGAAGUCAGACAAUCCGACGAGAAGCAGAUCUCACUCUACCAUGGACAAGACUCUACAAGAAAUACGCAACAUAGACAACGCAACUACUCCAAGAUUACCUAAUUCCGUGAUGAUCCACUUAGCAUCACCCGACAACUUGAACGACGUGGUCGCCUCCACGUGCAUACCCAUCACAAAACUAAUACUGACUAUAACACUGAAACUAUCCGAAACAUUGAACUACCUGAAACACUGAACUGCCUGAAACACUAAACUGUCUCCCAAAGUAUCUCGAGACCUUCCUGGUUCCAACCAUUCGUCGGUUAUAUGCAACACCGAGUUCCAACUCAACUGUGGAGCUCCAAGGACUCCUUACUCACACAACUUCUGAACGAAAUCCUUUUCUGGAACUAGUUUCCCACUAGUCAUCUUGUCACUAUGACCCUAACAACCUCCCGACCCAACUGACCAGGUCCAUACAUCGAAUCCUGACAUCAUCAAACCAAGACUAGAAGCGAUGGUUCCAAAACUAACGGUAGCCCUUAACAUACACGAACCUAAGCGGUCCACUGCUUCCCUGACCUCAUAACUGUGGUGACGAUCCAACUGUUGAAUCGUUGGUUCAACAAAACCACUUGGGCAUUCCGAAAUCCAACCUGUGGAUUCCCAUAUCCUCAUUGCUGCACCCAAGCUGGUGGGUAUUACUGUUCCUCCCGCGUCCAAACGACGCACUCAUGCUACCAACCAACCUGAAGAAUGCUAUGGCUACCCACGCAGACUUACAACACUUUACUACUAUCUGACUGCUAGUGAAUGCUACGGCUACCCCCGCAGACUUACAACACUCUACUACUAUCUGACUACUAGUGAAUCCUACGGCUACCCCCGCAGACUUACAAUACUCUACUACUAUAUGGCUGCUUACUAACUACUAUACCGAGGACAUCCUGACUACCACUACUCCUGCUAGCGAUUCCUCACCCUGAUUGCCCAAAACCAGCCCUCAUUCAUCAAAUGUUGCACCAACCUCGACGCCUUAUAUCAUUGAUAUACUAGCGUUCCGUCGAGGAAUUCUUCGGCUUGGAUCCCAACCAACCUUCUAUUAAUCCAUGUUCAUGAAACCAUCGAUUGGGAGUUUCCAAACCCCCAUCUCCUAAACCCACUCAACCCAUCGACUUAUUUUCCUUACCAUUCGAAGAUUACCAACCCUUUCUAAAUUUAACAUGUUGCCAAUUCUGAAUGCUUGAAGGCUUCUCCCCCACUUUGAUCCGGCUAGCUCCCUAAAGCUCUCAUAUUAAAAAGGAUUCCCCCUCCUUCCAAUCAUCAAAAGGAGAUCUGCUGACCGCCAACGUUCAUCUCUGCUGGCGCUCCUACUAACCUUUACUAGAUCUGAACCAUUCUUGCUAACUAGUCGAGCACCCCUCAAUCCUUAACUGCAUUUGCUUUAACAACCACAUCCUGAGAACCUUUACUUAGGGUGAACAUUUCCAACCCACUUCCCUGCCGUCCACUAGCAACCCCACUAGAAGCUCUAGAUUGUCACUACUGAGGAUAUAACUGAUCAAUACCCGAAUGAAACCUCCCGAAAAUAGUGAGGCACUACUAAAUCUUACACAUACAUGCUACACUUACUGCAUCUGAAGUACCAUGCUCUAGAGGGGACGACCUCUAAUUACCAUUCUAAUUCCAAGGUAUGCAGAUGGCAUAAGACUCAAUCGCAAGUAGGCAAUAUAAUACAUUCCAAUAUGUGAUCCUACUAAAAUUGAUGCAGUAACAUAACAACAACAUCAUAACAUAAGCUGACAGAGAGAGAAAAAUAUAUACCCGCAACCUGCUCUGAAGGACCCUCGGAUCCCCUUGUCUUUCGAAGCCUACUAUGACACCGAGGCUGUCCCAACCGCUGAACGGGACAGUUCUCCCUAACAUGGCCAGGCUGAUGACAACGAUGACAUAACUCUACUUCUACUGUGCAUUCUUGAUGUUUGUGAGCCUUCCACCCGCAUCUACCACACUUGGACCUACUGCGCACUUCACCCCGUGUCCCUUCCCUCCUUGAGCAACCAACCCGACUCCUCGGGUCCUCGGCACUAUCCAUGGUAGCGUCUGACUGUCCAGCUUGCUGAGCCAGACCGAAAACUUGUUUCCUCUUUCUCAACUGACUAUCAGAUUUAGGAGUGAGCAUUUGGACCGGACCGGACCGGACCGGCUCUUGGACCGGACCGGUUAUGGAUAAUAUUGUGGACCGUGACCGGACCGGAUGAGUCGUGUCCGUGUCCGUGUCCGGGUCCGGGUCCAGGUCCGGGUUUUCCGGUUCUUGGACCCGUUUGGACCGGUACAACUUUAAUUGCAUAGAGUACAAGUCGUUAAAAUAUGUUUUUGGGUUUGAUAGAACUCAUUAAAACGAAUAUGUUAUUGGGUUUGAUACGAUAUAACUUGUAAAAAUGAUUACAUUUCCCUUUCAUGCAUAGAGUACAACCCGUUAGAAUAUGUUUUUGGGUUUGAUAGAACUCGUUAAAACGAAUAUGUUAUUGGGUUUGAUACGAUAUAACUUGUAAAAAUGAUUACGUUUCCGUUUCAUGCAUAACUAAUCUACCUUGAGAAUAUUAUAACUUGCAAAAUUAAUUUUCCAAAUAAAAACAACUAACAUAUAAAUCAAGUUCACCAUGAUCCCUUUCAUAUGAUUUAUCUUUCAAAGAUACAUAAAAUUCAUAAUUAUAGUCUAAAAUAAUAGUUAAAAAGUUGAAAUAUUUCAAUCUUGAUAACUUAACUUUGAAGGAUUGUAACUCGCUGAAUAUAAUACCAAAAUCAACAAAAUUAUAGUCUAAAUUCAUCUACAAAUUGUAAACUAAACGUUGGAAAAAAGCGCAGGUCAAUCCGACUUAAAACGAAUGAGUUAUGACUGUUUAAAAAGUUUCACAGAUUACAAAAUUUUAAAUAUCUUGUUGAAAAACUAAAAUUUUUUAGUUUUGAUAGCUCAACUUUGAAAGACUGCAACUCAUUGAAUAUAAUACCAAAAUCAACAAAAUUAUAGUCUAAAUUCAUCUACAAAUUGUAAACUAAACGUUGGAAAAAAGCGCAGGUCAAUCCGACUUAAAACGAAUGAGUUAUGACUGUUUAAAAAGUUUCACAGAUUACAAAAUUUUAAAUAUCUUGUUGAAAAACUAAAAUUUUUUAGUUUUGAUAGCUCAACUUUGAAAGACUGCAACUCAUUGAAUAUAAUACCAAAAUCAACAAAAUUAUAGUCUAAAUUCAUCUACAAGUUGUAAAUUAAACAUUGGAAAAAACCGCGUAUCAAUCCGACUUAAAACGAAUGUGUUAUGGUUGUUUAAAAAAAUUCACAAAUUACAAAUUUUUUUAAACCGGGUCCAACCGGUUCUAAACCCGGUAAAAACCGGAUCGGACCGGGAAAAAAACCGGACCGGACCGGGAUGGAUUCCUAGAACCAGAACCGGCCCGGGAGACCAAAAAAACGAUCCGGUCCGGUUCGGUCCAAAUGCUCACCCAUAAUCAGAUUCCAUCUCCUGCUCUCGGGUCACCCUGAUUAUUUCACCUGCUGCCCGGAUAGCUGAGGUCCGCCUCUCUGUCCCGUUGAUCACUCUAUCAGUGAUACGUCCGAUCGUGUCGGGUAACUCCUGGCGGAGGGCCCACGAAACCUCCGCAGCAAUCCAAUCCUGUAGGGAACUCUCCUGGGGGUAAGGCGUACCACCCACUCCUGACCCCUGAUGGAAAGUGCUAAAAAUGGAACUUCCCUCCCUGAUGGAUCCCUGGGAUCCACAAGAAUCAUGCUCUAGACGAGCCCCAAACUGUCCUGAAAUUGCCUCGGCCCUAAAGGCCUUAAGUCGACUGUCCAAAAGCUCCAUGAUGGCCUCCUUAACCGAACCGAAUAUCAUAGGAGUCUGAUCAAUGAUGUUGCACAUAAUCUCUGCGGAAAUGACGUCUCUUAUCUGAUCAUCAAGCUGUCCGGCUCUAGAGCCUGAGCCAGAUCCUUCCUCGGUACCUGAACUUCCUACUGGUAUCUCGCGCAACGUCACCAUGCUGAAAGCAUAUCACAAUAACUGUCAGAAUACUCAUUUCCACUAAGGGAUCUCGCAUACACUCUACAAUUUCCCUGGUUUUGUCUUGGCCCUUCUUGAAUCGAGUACGGAUCCUCUGCUUUCAGUAGUACGGGCCCAUACUACCUUCCACAUCUAUCCAUACUUUCUUCAAGAACUGCCUUGAAUCUACCACGUCCCUUCUACUGCUACUGAUCUAUGUUUCUCUCAUCCUAGGCUUGCCCUAGGGAAAUCCCUGACUUCACUCAAACCAGUCCUCAGCUACUGAAGGCCUCCUUGUAAUGCCGAUUAGUCAUCACCUGAAUACCAUCACAUGUGACAAGGCUCGGAUAAUCCUUCGAGUACAAGACUCGUCCCUACAACGGUUAGACUCAAACGAGAGCUGCGCAGCAGGGCCAAAUCCAGCACUUUGAGAUUAUUUAACUCUGAUCACAUGCGAUGUGACGUAUUCACCUAAUGGCUAACUCCCAUUACUCGGAGUCCCACAAGCACAAAGCAAGCAACAUUCGAACACAGGAAACUACUCUAGCAAUUCUACCCUCAUAACGAGAAACUGUUCUAGCAUACAAUGCUAAGCUCAUACUAUCAGGCAUAACCUAAAUAGGCUAUCCUACUGCUAUCUACUCAAUACUAGCAUGCAAUUCUCAUAAAGCUGGAACACAUAUAGCAGGCACAUAAGACAUCCUCCUAGAUCCUUAGUCCUAAUCUAUCAUGAUGUUCUACUAAUUGAUAAUCAUAACAUAAAGCUGUAUGGGUAUUUUGGGGUACUUACUUGAGCUCGACUGAUUGCAUGCACCAUACACUUGUCUCUUAUCAAAAUUCUUUUCUUUCUGAAUUCUUUUUGCUUUUCUAAAACUGUUUUCUUUCUCAAAACUCUUUUUACCAUAUUAUAUUUUGAAAACUUUUAUACCAAUCCCUUAGUUUGAGUCCAGAUACACCCGAGGGUAUGUCUGAAUCCCUCAAACCAAGGCUUUGAUACCAAUUUGUAACAACCCAAAAACGCAGUAUAAAAUUUCAUUUAAAUAACAUUACUUAAACCCUGAUUGUCAACCAUGACAUAAUUCUUAACAUAAAAUCAGAGUAUUAAUUCAAAACAUAAUCUUUUAUCAGAGUGAAACAUCCCAGACUGACUUAAUAUGGUGUGUGCCAUGCGAUCAUCCCGAGCUCUUCCCUCCGCUACCGGAAGUACCUGAAACCAAAACUGAAACUGUAAGCACAAAGCUUAGUGAGCUCCCCCAAACUACCACAUACCAUAUAGUAACAUAUAAUGCACAUACUGGGCCUUGCCCACUGCAUCGGACCGAAGUCCAGAAACUAACCAGGGCCUUGCCCUCUGCAUCGGAAUGAAGUCCGGAAACUGCAUCGGACCAAAGUCCGGAACUAACUACAUCGGACCGAAGUUCGGAACUGACUGGGACCUUGUCCCCUACAUCGGACCGAAGUCUGAAACUAACUGCAUCAGACCGAAGUCCGGAACUCACUAAAUCAUAACAUAGCAUAGACGUAUCAACUAGCAUGAACACAUAAACUGCAUACUGCAUCGGACCAGAGCCCAGAACACAUAACACAAAACAUGCUUGAAUCACAAAGACAUCAAGCAAUCUAACUACUGCCUCGGACCGAGGUCCGAAACUACUGCUAACUAAACGGGCCGACAUUAUGGCCGUAGACCCGUUCCUACUAGAAGGAAACUCACAUCUACUGCUGAACUUUGCUGAUAGCCCUCUGCUGCUAACUGGAACUUUCCCGAUUGCUGCUUCUUCGGCUCCUCGAGCUACCAAGAUCAUAAUAUCACUUAGCCCAAUAUCAUAACCACUCUUAGGGUAAAAUGACCAUUUUACCCCUACUCCAUAAUGAUCCACAACCAGGGCCCAAAACAUACUAUAAAAAGGUCCAACAUUAAGUAGGCUUUCCAAGCCCACUAUUGACCCAUAAAUGGCCCAAUUUGCUACACUUGGCCCAGACCCCUUAUUGGGCCUACCUUAAUCCCAAUACAAAUACUUGGCCCAUAAACACUGACUUCUAAUGGCCCACCAAGGCCCAAGGACUUAUAGUCCAAAACACAGCCCACACCAAGGCCCAAAUGCUCAAAACCCUUAUGGCAGAAUUAUGCAGGGCGUACUCCAAUGUACGCCUAGCGUACCAGCUUGACUACGCGUAUGCUGGGUGUACCUGCACGUACGCUCAACGUAAUACCCUGAUAAGCCAACUUUCUAUUAAGUUCUUAAUACCUCGAUUCAGAAGCUACAAACUCCUAUCUAAGUCUUAUUUCAUGUCUUAAGUCGUAAACUCACUGACUUGGUGACUUUAUAUGGCCCAAACCAACCCAAACUCUCAAAACACUCUUCUACUUCCAUAAAGGGGGAUAGAUCUCAUGCAUGAACUUAAUAGGUCCAUAAAGGUUGGAACUUUACUGCUUCUGGGACUCAUAUGACUCUAAAGGAGGCAACUCUGGUCUUAGAAACGAGCUUGAGUCAUAAAGUCCCAAUCUUGGGACCAAAAAGGUCCAUAAACUUUCACUAAGGAGAUCUAAGAGGUUAAUCAUCAAGCUCAAGACUUUUUACCUUGCAGAGGUCUGAAAUGAAGCACUUAUCCCAGAUCUACAAGCUCUAGCUUCCAAGGUUCCUCCUUGCCAACCUUCUUCUCCUUGCUUCCAAGCUUUAAACCACCAAAAUGGAUUUUCCAAGGUCAAGGUCUCAUAAAAUGAAGGUAAGGACGUUCUAGGGUUUCUUCUGAGGUUGGGGAGGCUGAUAUGGGGGCUAGGGUUGGAACCAUAAUGUCCUUUAUAUAGUGCUUAACCCAAAAAUAGGGUUUUAUUAUCUUUAGCGUACGCUGGGCGUACCUCCACGUACGUUGGGCGUACGCCUUGAACACCCGCGACCAAAUUGCCCCAUUACGUUGGGCGUACCCAUGCGUGCCCCAACAUGCAUGCAUGGCCUUCCAUGCAAACAUUUCUCUAUAAGGGUCAUUCUUGCCAAAUCUUCAAAGUGUCAUAACUUCUUCAUUCUAGAUCCGUUUCUGAUGAAAUUUUUAUCCACGGAAAAGGUGGCGAGAAAUCCUACACUUCUAACAACACAAUCCGGCCCGAAAACUUCUCAAAUAUUACCUCUAAAUUUAAUAAAUGACUAAAACGCCCCUGGCCUUGGCCUCUGAAAUUCCAUAAAUGAAUAUUUCAGAACAGGGCGUUACAUAUCGGAUAUUAUAAAAGUAAAAGUAAAGUGUAUAAGGUAUGAACUAUAUUCGAUAGUAUCAAAAUAUAAAUUGAUGGAUUUUCAUGUUAUUUGAUUAUUCGGUUAAUGCCCAAAACAUUACUAAAAAUGUAAAUUUCAACAUAUUUCUAUUUUUUCCCAUAAUUAUUUUAACCAGUUAAAUGCAUUCAUGCGCAACGCACGGGGUUACACCUAAUACUAUAUUCUAAAGGAAUCAUUUUUUCUUUCACCACAUUCAUUUGAAACUCCCAUGAUUUUUCAAUUUCUUUCUAAUAAUAAUUAUAAAUUGGUUAAUAAGGUUAAAUAAAUAUCAAACUUAAAGUGUAGUCACAUAUAAACUAAAUUUCUAUAUUAAAAUAAUAUCAUUACUUCUACUUAUAAAGUUAUUUUUUGUACUUUUAACAUAUUAUACUUAAUUUAUUAGUUUUAUUACAUUGUUGGAUGUAAACCAUUAUCAUUUUAAAAGUACAAUUUUGGAACAAUUUAUAUAAAAUACUUCAAUUAUUAAUUUAAAUAUAACAUUACAUGAUCAAUGUAAAAUAAAUUUUAGUUUAAGUUAAGCAACCCAAAAAAUAUUUUAUAAAUAGUUAAAAGUGAUAAAUUGUUGUGUCUUUCUAAUAAUAAUUAUAAGUUGAUUAAUAAGGUUAAAUAAAUAGCAAAACCUAAAAUAUAAUUAUAAAUAAGCAAAAUUUCAAUUUUAAAAUAAUAUCUUUACUUCUACUUAUAAAGUUUUGUCUUUAACUUUUAACAUAUUAUACUUAAUUUAUUAGAUUUAAUAUGUUGUUAUAUGUAAAUCAUUAUCAGUUUAAAGAUACAACUUUUGAACAGUUUGGACGAAAUACUUAAAUUGUUAAUUUAAAUAUAACAUUACAGUGUCAACUUAAAUAUAAAUUUUAGUUCCACUAAAAACCACAUAAUAUUUUGUAAAUAGUUAAAAGUGAUAAAUUUUAGUGACUAAUAAAAAAACUAAAUUGUAAUCUCAAUUUAACUAAAAUAUUUCUUAAAUAUAUUUUUAUCAUCAUUAAAAGUUUACAAAUAAAUAAUAACUUACAAUAACAAUAGUUAAAAAUAACUCUAUAUAAAUUAUUAUAUUGUUACCUUUAAAAUAAAAAACAAAGUUUGAUGUUUUAAAUAAUUAUAAUGAUAGAAAUUAAAACAUUAAGCAAAUAAUUUUUUAAAAUUUAAUUAACAAUAACAACAACUAUAAAUAACAUUAAACCAUAUAUUAUAUUUAAUUUUAUUCAUGUGUAACUCACGGGUAGAAGUCAUUCAAGCGAUUGAGAUUAUACAAUUAUAUUAAAUGUAUAUAUAUUAUAAUAUAAUUCAAAAUAAUGAAUAUAUUAUAUCAAUUUAGUAUAGGAAUUAUUAUAUUAUAUUUAACAACAACGCUAUUAUUAUAUAUUUUUUUUAAAAACAUAUAUUUGUAAAGAUUUCAACUAUAUAGGUUUUUCUGUGCAACGCAGGGGGCAUUCUUCUAGUACUAUAUUAUAAAGGAAACAUUUUUCCUUUCACCACAUUCAUUUGAAACUCCCAUGACUUUUCAAUUUCUUUCUAAUAAUAAUUAUAAGUUGGUUAAUAAGGUUAAAUAAAUAUCAAACCUAAAGUGUAAUCAUAUAUAAACUAAAUUUUAANAAAUAACUUACAAUCACAAUAGUUAACUCUAUAUAAAUGAUUAUAUUAUCACCUUUAAAAUUUAAAAACAAUGUUUCAUGUUUUAAAAAAUUAUAAUGAUAGAAAUUAAAACAUUAAGCAAAUAAAUCUUAAAAAAUUAAUUAACAAUAACAACAACUAUAAAUAACAUUAAACCAUAUAUUAUAUUUAAUUUAUUUACGUGUAACUCGCAGAUAGAAGUCAUUUAAAUGAUUGACUAAACUACAAUAUUAAAAUAUCAUAUUAUAUUUCUAUUUAAAAAUUAUGACUUUAGCUUUUUAACAUAUUAUAGUUCACUUAUUAGUUUAAAUAUGUUGUCGUAUGUGAGCAAUUAUCAUUUUAAAGUCACAACAUUUGUAUAAUUUAUGAGUUGCUGCAAAAUAGUUAAAUUAUUAAUUUCAAUAUAAUAUUAACCAAUUAACUUCAAUCAAAAUUUCAGUUAAACUUGAAAAAAAUCAAGACACUAUUUUAUAAAUAGUUAAAGAUUGUAAAUUAUAGUGUUAAACCUAAAUUGUAAUCCUAAAUUAACAAAAAAAAUAAUCAUUAACAAUUUUCAAAUAAAUAACUUAAAAAUAACUUACAAUAAGAAUAGUUAAAAAUAAUAUUAUAUAAAAAAAACUAUAAUAUUUUCUUUAAAAACAAAUUCAAUGUUUUUUGUUUUAAAUAACUACAAUCAUAGAAAUUAACAAUAUUCAUCAAAUAAAUUUUAAAAACAUUAAAUUUCUGAAACCAAAUUAAAAUAAUUAAGAGUUUUGAAAUACGUUAUUUUAAACAACUUAUAACAACAAUAGUUAAAAGUAAAAUUAUAUACAAAAAUUAUAUUGUUGUCUUUAAAAACAAAACCAAUGUUUGAUAUUUUAAAUAAUUACGUUGAUAGAAAUUAAAAUCUUAAGCAAAUAAAUUUUUUAAAAUUAAUUAAUCAUAACAACAGUUAUAAAUAUAAUUAAAUCAUAUAUUAUAUUUAAUUUUAUUUAUAAGUAACNNNNNNNNNNNNNNNNNNNNNNNNNNNNNNNNNNNNNNNNNNNNNNNNNNNNNNNNNNNNNNNNNNNNNNNNNNNNNNNNNNNNNNNNNNNNNNNNNNNNNNNNNNNNNNNNNNNNNNNNNNNNNNNNNNNNNNNNNNNNNNNNNNNNNNNNNNNNNNNNNNNNNNNNNNNNNNUUCAAAUGUUUUAACUAAGUAUUGUGUUAUUGUAUGCAUAAAUGUGGGCCAAUCAAAAUUAAAUAAUUAAAUAAAUAAAUAAGGAUAAUUUAGUAAUUUGCUUAAUAAAUUCCAAAAAUAAUCCCUAUAAUCAUGGUAUCUCUCCAGUUUAAAUCUCGUUCUCCUCUUUAUCUAAAAACCCUAGAACAAAUCGACAUCAGCGACCCUUCAUCGUCUUCUUCAUAGAUUGGGAAAGGGAAGAGUUGAGCAAUCAAGCAUCGAACAGAGGUGGUGUUGGUGGUGGUAUUGGGACCUUCCGUCGGGAUUGUUCGGGAAUUCUGCUUCAAGCCCGGUAUGAAGAUGAGUUCAAUUCCAAUCCCCCCUCGUUUGUGUAAAUGACUGUAUUUUCCAAAACCCUAGAAUUUUACAACCAAGGCCAUCUUCUCUUUGUUGAUCUGCUCACUGUUUCGACCUGCCAUCUCUCUCGCUCGGCUCUUUGAUCUGCCCUCUCGCUCUCCUCCUCAUAGCAUCAGGUAAACAACACCUCCUUUCUGUAGCUCCUCCUUUCGUAAACUGUCUGUUCGGACACUCUAGAUUGUAGUUUUGGAGCCAUGGAAUUAUUCGGGGUUAAUCUAGGUAAUUAUUUGUUUGGUGAUGGUGAGUUAUGCGUCUUUAAGUCUUGCCCACACUCGUCAUUUUCACUCACAAAACACACUACGCAAUUACAGAGCUAGAAGACAAGUACAGACAAAAACACACAUUCUGUAUCAAGUGAUAAGGGUACUAUUCAUGUUUUCAGCAUCACAUUUGUCGAUAAUCCAGUCCUCAUUACCAGUUCAUCUCGUGCUCUCAUUAAAGGUACACAGUACACACAUUCGUAUUGGUUUUUAAUUAAAAAUCAACCAUUGUUCUCGAAUCUUUGACAAAAAGACAUACUAUAGUUUCAUGAAUAUGUCAGUAAAUUAUGUUGCAGGAGUUAUCCCCAAGUAUCUUAGCUUUGUGUGGUCGUUGGAUCAGUUCCAAUUGAUUGAAGGCUCUCAGUAUAUUGUUGCAUUUGGUCAUCAAAAGAACACAAUGGUGAUUCUUGGCUUAGAUGGAAGGUAUUAAAGUUACUUGACAGAUUUAUAUUCAUUCUAGAAUGAUGAUUACUCUGUUUUUGAUGGAUUAAAAUUGUUGUAACUGUGCAGUUUCUAUAGAUGCCAAUUUGACCCAAAAGUUGGAGGGGAGAUGACUCAACUGGAAUAUCACAACUUUGUGAAGCCUGAUGACUCUUUCUAAUUUUGCUUAACAACAUAUGAACAUAUGUCUUUUCAUGGUAUGUUUGUUGCUCUGUUACACUUUUGCUGAUGCUUGUGAAGGAAUGGGUAUAUAUAUAAUUUUGUAAAUGCCAAUGUAUAUGUAAUGUAAAAAUUGUCAACUUGCUAAAUGAUAACUUUUGAAGAUGUUCGCAAAGAAAUCAGAAACUGAAACUGUGGAUCCCACACAAUUAAGUCAAAUUGAUUUGUGUACAGAAUCACCCCGACGAUCCAGAUUCCGAAUCUUCGAAUAAUCUUAUUCAUUUAUGCAGAUGAUUCAAUGGAUGAUAUUGGUGAAAUUCCAAUUCUAUUGGAAUGGAAUGACGAAUUCCAAUUAUGUUGGAAUCAUAGAAGUUGAUGCUUGAAGAAUGGACCAUAUUACUCUUUUAGAAUGUAUUAGUCGUUGUUAGAUUUUGAUGUUUUCUUCGCCGUUUUGAUUGUUUUUUUUAGUUUUAUUCUUUAACAAGAAAUAUAAUUCUUAACAAUUAUUACUCACAUUCUAUAAGAAAUAAUGUAUUUUUUGUUUUUAUUCUUCAAUUGAUUGUUCAAGAUUUUGUUAUUCUACAAGAAGUUGUUAUUCUUCAAGAAGUUUUUAAAGUCAUCAUCAAGAAAUAUGUUCAAGAAUAUUUUUUUUAAUAUACUCAUAAACAUAUUCUGUCAGAAUGUCCGAAUUAAAAUAAUUAUAAUUCGUAAAAUCGAAUUUUUAAAAUUAAUAGAAUCUACGAUCCCUUAAAAAAUGCAAUUUUCCUUCAUUAAAUCUAUAUUAAUUGACUAAAUUACCCUUGUAAUUAAUUAAGAUGAUUUUUUUUCAAUUAUAUUUAACUAGGAGAAUGCCCACGUGUUGCGUGGGAUAUAAGAAAAUAUUUUAUCUUAAAAAUAACUAAAUCAUUGUUAUUAACAAUUAAAUAAUAAUUUCAUAAAAAAUAUAAAAAAUGAUUUUUAGUAUUGUUACUAUGUUGAACUAUAUUAUAAGAGAUAAGGUUGGAAGUUGAAGUUGUUCUGCAUAUACAAAGUUAUAUGAUUAAAAUCAAGGUUCUAAAUAGCGUGAGGUGUGGCGUGGCGGCAAGGUCAAGCCUCAAGCUUAACGAUCCAUGGCGUUUUUCAAGGCGUGAUGUAAGGCGGCAAUUUUGUAUUAAUUUAAAAUUAUAUUAUCACAUAAAUAUAACUUUAUAUUAAAUAUAACUACUUUUUAGAAGUGUUAGAUCAAUAACUAGUAACAAAAUUUUAACAAAAACCACAAUACUUGUAUAUUCGAUUAGAAAAUACAUAAAAAAGAGCAAAAAACCGUGUCUCAAAUGAAAAAACACACGCCAUAACACGUCAUGGUGCGCCAUAUCACACCUUUCCACGCGCCACACCUAACAGCAACGUUAUGAGGCUUUUCGUAACGGCGGAGCCACACCUCACGCUAUGGCGCGCCUUAGCGCGUGCCAUGACGCGCCUUUUAGAACACUGAUUAAAAUAGAAAAAAUUAAUUUUUAAAAAUAAAUAAAUCGUUAUUGUUAUCUAUUAAAUAAUAAUUUCAUAUUAAAUUAAAACGCUUAUAUUAAAUAUUAUCAUUAUGUAGAAAAUACGAUAAUAGUGACAUCUUCAUAUGAUAAUAUAGACAACUUUUUAUCUUAAAUAGUAAAAAAAAUGUUUUGUAUCAUAAAUAUUACCAUAAUUAUGUAGAACAUAUGAUAAUAGUGAUGUCUUUUAUAAUGUUAAAACUUUAAAUUAUAUUACAUACAGGGUUGUAAAACUUGGCUAACACAACCAAGUACUCGACAUGUUACUUAAACUCGGCCUCCAAUGGAAGCGAGUUUGCCUAACUCAGCCAGAAGACACUCAUAUACUUAUUAAACUCGAUCCAAAUCUAAAAGAUACGUUCCAAAAUCAUUUUCGAAAUUUUGAAAUUUAAUUGGUCACUUGUCGACAAAGACAAUCUCACCAAAGAAUACACUCAACGUCCUACAAAGUUAGAUGCAAAGAAGAUCUCAUUGCUUAGUCUCUUUAAAAUAUUUCACAAUCUUUCCUAUUUAUAGAGGGGAAUGCAUUCUCUUGUUUACUCUCACGAUCAAUGUGGGAUGAAGACAUUUUAAUUAAACUCAUUUCUUUAUUUUCCAAUAAUUUCAUUUCGUUAAAUAAAAUAUUAAAUAAUAAAAAUAAAACGUUAUCCAGAAAAUUUAUUGUUCAAUAGUUCCAUUUUUUAGUAAUUUUGUAAGUUGCUAUAAAAAAUCAAGUUUUUAUUGAAUAACUUUUUGUUAAAUCCUAAAAUCAUAAAUUCAGUUGGGUACUUAAUAUAGAAAGUUUGUUUAUAUGUAUUUUCAUGAUUCAAAAUGUCAUUAUAAAAUGAAUUUAUUUAUAAAAUAUAAUCGAGUAUAUAUUUCGUGCUUUUGAAUCAAAGUGAUUUUCAAAUAAUUAUAAUUUUAUGUUUAGGUAGAUUUUUUAUAUUUAUAUAACAUUAUGUAACUUAUAAUAUUAUUAUAAAAAAUUUGAAUAAUCAUGGGAGUUUCAAAUGUAUGUGGUGAAAGGAAAAUGCUUCAUUUAUCGGUCCAAAUUGAUCAAACUUGGACCGAUUCAACUUAAUAUACCAAACUACAUAACGUUUUUUCUAUUGAAACUCGGUUUGUACAUAUUUUGUGUUUUUUAUUCAAAUUUAUUUCUCAAACAAUUAUAAUUUUAUGUUUAGGUAACUUCUUUUAUAAUAUUAUUAGAAACAAUUUGAAAAAUCAUGAGAGUUUCAAAUGUAUGUGCUGAAAGGAAAAUGCUUCCUUUAUCGGUCCAAAUUGAUCAAACUUAGACCGAUUCAACUCAAUAUACCAAACUACAUAACGGUUUUUCAACUGAAACUCUGUUUGAACCUAAAAAAAUCUUGUUCAAAACCAUUUUCGGGAUUCUAAAACUUAAAUGGACAGUUGCCAAUAAAGACAAUCUCACCAAAGAAUACCCUCAACAUCCUAAACAUGUAGGCAUAAGGAAGUUCUCAUGGUUUGGUCAUUUGAAACAAUUCACAACCUUUACUAUUUAUAAAAGAGGAAACGUUCUCUCGUUUACUCUCACCAUCGAUGUAGGAUGAAGACAUUGUAAUAAAACACAUUUUCUUGUUAAUAAAACAUUAUUAAUCUUAUUUAGUAAAACACCCUUUCUCUUGUUUACCCUUUCUUUAUUGUUCAAUAGUUCCAUUUUUCUAUAAUCUCACAAGUUGCUAUUCAAAAAAGUAAGUUCUUAUUGAAUAACUUUUGUUCAAUUCUAAAAUCAUAAAUUCAGUUAGGUAUUUAAUAUAUAAAGCUUGUUUAUAUGUAUUUUCAAGAUUCAAAAGUUCAUUAUAAAAAUAAUUCAUUUAUAAAAUAUAGUCUGCGUAUAUAUUUCGUGCUUUUGAUCAAAUCGAAUUUUCAAACAAUUAUAAUUUUAUUUUUAGGUAGAUGUUUUUUUAUAUUUAUAUAACAUUAUGUAACUAUUUUAAAAUAUCAUUGUAAACAAUUUGAAAAAUCAUGGGAGUUUCAAAUAUAUGUAGUGAAAGGAAAAUGUUUCUUUUAUGGUCCAAAUAGAUCAAACUCGGACCGAUUCAACUAAAUACACCAAACUACAUAUAUGUUUUUUCUAGUGAAACCCGGUUUGUAUAUAUUUCGUGCUUUUGAAUCAAAGUGAUUUUUCAAACAGUUAUAAUUUUAGGUUUAUGUAGAUGCUUUUUUAUAUUUAUAUAAAAUUAUGUAGCUUAUUUAUAAUAUUAUUAGAAAUAAUUUGAAUAAUCAUGGGAGUUUCAAAUGUUUGUUGUGAAAGGAAAAUGAUUCCUUUAUCGGUCCAGAUUGAUCCAGCUCCGGUUCAACUCAAUAUACCUAACUACAUAAUUUUUUUUUCUUACUGAAACACGGUUUAAACCUGAAAAAAUUCGGUUCAAAACCAGUUUUGGAAUUCUAAAAGUUAACUGGAUACUUGCCAAUAUAGACAAUCUCACCAAAUAAUACCUUCAAAAUCGUACAAAGAUAGGUAUGAGGAAGUUCUCAUGGUUUGGUCCCUUUGAAACAUUUCACAAACUUUCAUAUUUAUAGAAGAGGAAACAUUCUCUUGUUUACUCUCAACAUCGAUGUGGGAUGAAGACAUUGUAAUAAAACACCCUUUCUUGUGUAUAGAACAUUAUUUAACUUAUUUAUAAUAUUAUUGUAAAGAAAUUGAAAAGUCAUGGGAGUUUCAAAUGAAUGUGGUGAAAGGAAGUUAAAAAAUAAGGUUUCAAAUGAAUGAGAUUCAAGAAAAAAUGCUAGCUUUACAAGUAUGUAUGAUUCAAUAAUAUAUAUUAAUCACUUUCUUAAAAUAAGUAAAUUUGAUUGGCCCACAUUUAUGCAUACAAUAACACAAUAAUUACUUUAAACAAAAUAACAUAAGCUUUUAUNUAUAUAUAUAUAUAUAUAUAUAUAUAAGCAAAUAAAACAAGAUCGGACCAUUUUGAAACGGUCCUAACAAGCUAGACCGGUUUAACCGACCCAAUACUGAUUCAAAACCAUUAAUAUGCAUCUCUAGCUAAAAGUAAUUCAAAAUCAAUUAGGCUAUACCAAAAACAGUUAUACAGCUUGACCGGUUUAACCGAUCCAGUACCGAUACAAAAUCGUUAAUAUGCAUCUCUAGCUAAAAGUAAUUCAAAAUCAAUUAGGCUAUACCAAAAACAGUUAUACAGCUUGACCGGUUUAACCGAUCCAGUACCGAUACAAAAUCGUUAAUAUGCAUCUCUAGCUAAAAGUAAUUCAAAAUCAAUUAGGCUAUACCAAAAAACAGUUAUACAGCUAGACCGGUUUAACCGACCCAAUACCAAUAUAAAACCGUUAAUAUGCAUCUCUAGCUAAAAGUAAUUCAAAAUCAAUUAGGCUAUACCAAAAACAGUUAUACAGCUAGACCGGUUUAACCGACCCAAUACCAAUAUAAAACCGUUAAUAUGCAUCUCUAGCUAAAAGUAAUUCAAAAUCAAUUAGGCUAUACCAAAAACAGUUACACAGCUAGACCGGUUUAACCAACCCAAUACCGAUACAAAACAGUUAAUAUGCAUCUCUAGCUAAAAGUAAUUCAAAAUCAAUUAGGCUAUACCAAAAACAGUUAUACAGCUAGACCGGUUUAACCAACCCAAUACCGAUACAAAACCAUUAAUAUGCAUCUCUAGCUAAAAGUAAUUCAAAAUCAAUUAGGCUAUACCAAAAACAGUUAUACAGCUAGACCGGUUUAACCGACCCAAUACCGAUACAAAACCAUUAAUAUGCAUCUCUAGCUAAAAGUAAUUCAAAAUCAACUAGGCUAUACCAAAAACAGUUAUACAGCUAGACCGGUUUAACCAACCCAAUACCGAUACAAAACCGUUAAUAUGCGUCUCUAGCUAAAAGUAAUUCAAAAUCAAUUAGGCUAUACUAAAAAACAAUUAUACAGCUAGACCGGUUUAACCGACCCAAAACCGAUACAAAACCGUUAAUAUGCAUCUCUAGCUAAAAGUAAUUCAAAAUCAAUUAGGCUAUACUAAAAAACAAUUAUACAGCUAGACCGGUUUAACCGACCCAAAACCGAUACAAAACCGUUAAUAUGCAUCUCUAGCUAAAAGUAAUUCAAAAUCAAUUAGGCUAUACUAAAAAACAAUUAUACAGCUAGACCGGUUUAACCGACCCAAAACCGAUACAAAACCGUUAAUAUGCAUCUCUAGCUAAAAGUAAUUCAAAAUCAAUUAGGCUAUACUAAAAAACAAUUAUACAGCUAGACCGGUUUAACCGACCCAAAACCGAUACAAAACCGUUAAUAUGCAUCUCUAGCUAAAAGUAAUUCAAAAUCAAUUAGGCUAUACUAAAAAACAAUUAUACAGCUAGACCGGUUUAACCGACCCAAAACCGAUACAAAACCGUUAAUAUGCAUCUCUAGCUAAAAGUAAUUCAAAAUCAAUUAGGCUAUACUAAAAAACAAUUAUACAGCUAGACCGGUUUAACCGACCCAAAACCGAUACAAAACCGUUAAUAUGCAUCUCUAGCUAAAAGUAAUUCAAAAUCAAUUAGGCUAUAUUAAAAAACAGUUAUACAGCUAGACCGGUUUAACCGACCUAAUACCGAUACAAAACCGUUAAUAUGCAUCUCUAGUUAAAAAUAAUUCAAAAUCAAUUAGGCUAUACCAAAAACAGUUAUACAAGUAACUAUUAAGUAAGUAGGUAACUAACUAAGUGGGCUAUUGGAUUAUUAUUCAAAUGUCAAAGUUAUAUAAAAUAUAAAUGGGCUUGGGGCAUUGUAUGCUUUCUGUAGCUUAGAUAGUCAGAUUCAAGACUUCAAUAUGGUCAUAUGGAUCAGAUAUUCGGCUGGUUUUACGCGGCUCCUUAUCACUUUAGAGUUUGUUCAGAGCAUGUUUGACAAAUUAAAAGCUCUAAACUAUUUGAAUUAGAUUUUGGAUAUUUUUUUUAUUUAAAAUAAAAACAAAAAGCCCGUACUCGAAACAAAACAUUUUUUUCUAGUGCUUUUUUUUUUUUUUAACUUUGAAAAGGUAAAAUCUAAAAACUAAAAGCUGUCAGAAAAUCUAUAUGCCUAACACACACUGUAUAAAGUGAUGCUAAAUGGAUCUCUAAAGGGACAUAUGCUGAAUGGAUCAAAUAUUUAGCCACCAUACGAUAAGUGUUUUCUCGGUCUCUAUAAUCCUUUGCUAACACGUUCAGCGACGAAUUUUUCAUUGGUUAUUUGGUAAGAAGUUUGUUUCGUGGUAAUACUUCUGUUAUGUACGUAAUAUGUGUCACUAAAUGAUUUAUUAUGUCUUUCAUUGCGACUAUUAUAUAUGCAUGGUUGCUAUGUAAAGAUAUAAUAUGCAUUACAUUCAUAAAUCAAAUUAACAGUCAUAUCGAAGCUGGAAAUACAAAAACAAGAAACAAAUGCUCGACAAUAUAAAUGUUACUUGUGUGUUAGGCUAUAGAUUCAAAGUCUUUAUUUAAACGACGUCAUUUAAUCUUUUCAAGAUCCCUUAUUUUGUCUAUAACCAUACCUAACCCUACUUCCCCAAGAUCCCUCCAUACAGUCAGCACGAUGACUCGACCUCUUCUUGAGUUCAACAAUCUGAGCCUCCCACCUCCUCCCCUCUCCUCCAUGAUCUUUGAAUGUACAACCAUGACAGCCGAGUGUACAAUCAUACUCUGCUCGUGAUACUGGAUCCAUGAGUGUCUUGUACGCUGCAUGCAACAUAAUGAACGUUUUGACAGUGUCAUGAUCAUGAGAAACAUCAGGAUGAUACUUGAGAACUAGUGUUCUAUAAGCUCUUUUGAUCUCUUGGCAUCCAGCUUUGCUUGAGCUUAAAGAAAGAAGUUUGUAAAAGUUGGUAGUCGAGCCUGAGCCUGAGCCUGAGCUUGAGCCUGUGUCAUGGGAUGCAGAUGCAGAAACUGAUACUGAUCUGCAUCCCGUGACACAUGGGUUGUAACCAAAACAUAGAGAGAUAUUGGCCAUAUAUGAUCGUUUAUGUAAUCUCGUUUUAGCAUAAAGUUAUUGGGGUUGUGUGUGAUGGUGUUAGAGUUUGCUCUGAAGGAAAUAUAUAUAGUUGAUAGUUUGCUACUAAACACGUUUUGUUUAAUUAAUAUAAGGUGGUGGAAAAAGGAGACGACUGUUUCAAAAGUACAAGUGGAUAUGCAUAGAGUAUAAACUUGUUUAGCUGUGUGUUGAGGGAGAGUAGGACACGAGGAGAAGAUAAGGUAUAGAGACAAAGGCGAGAAGCUCAAAGGGAAAAAAAAGUAUUUAACAACAAAUUGAAGACGAAAGCCCUGUUGACCUCAUGGUUUACAUCGACGGAAGGUUUCAAUUUGUGUAUAAAACAUUCUGUCAACGUUUAGGAUUUUUUUUUUUUAAAAUCCGUGUGGUUUAUCUCAAGAAAUCAGUGGAUUUGAUACAUGUAAUGUUCGUUUAAGUUUUCAUAGUUCUCUAUGACCCUUUGGUACCAACAGUGGAACAUUAUAUGGAUAUGAUAUUUUACACCUUAUUUAUGGAUUAACAAGUUUUUAUUAUUGGGACAAAUAUACAAAACGAUAACGAAACUAAAAUACAAAAUAAAGCUAUAACAUGGCAAAUUACCUUUGCAUUUCUAUACUUAUAUGUAUAGACGUGAGGAAUAAGGACAAUCCCACCCACACUAGAGGCAGCAUGGCACCUGCCUCUCUCAAAAAGUUAAAGAUAUGUAAAAAAAGUCCUAAGAAAACUUUUUUUUAAAAUUCACUUUUAUAUAAUUUUCAAUCACAUCCUUUUAGCAAAAUGGCAACGAUCAUGCUGCCCAAACUACCUUUGUCAUAUGCCCCAUCAAAGAUUUCAAUAAUAUAUUAUAAAUAUUUCAAUAAUAUGUUAAAAUCAGGUAAACUGUUUGCGAGUAUGUAACGAUAAAAUUAUAUAAUGGCCAACAAAUGUCACCCACUUCUAAAAUCUACUCCUUUGUCAAUACCACACAUACAUUUUCACAAUACAUGGUAUCGCUGGAUUAUAAACUUUUUGUUAAUUGGAUGUAACUAACUAAAAGAAUUCAAAUUAAAAAUAUUAGAUUGUAUCAAUAACUACAAAAAAAGAAAGUCUAUCUAACAUAGUACCACACGUUCUCGUAAUUUACAUAUAUCCCACAAAUACCAACCACAUUUUUAAAUGCUACAACGAGAAAAGCUCAUUUUAAUUUAAGACAAAAUUGCAAGAAUGGUCCCUGUGGUAUGUCUAAAAAUGCUAUUUUUGGCCAAACAGAUUUAGACUAGCGCAAAUAGUCCAAAAGUUUUCAUUUUGCUGUGUUUUUGGUCCAAAACAGUUUAAAAUUUUUAAAAAUAACGAAUUUGCCCUUUUCCAUUUGUUUUUUUUUUGUUAUUUAAUUAUUUUCUAACUAAAAAAAUAUAAAAAAUAAAAGAAUCUCUCUCUCUCUCUCUCUCUCUCUCUCUCUCUCUCUCUCCUCCUAAUCACCAGAAAAACCCAGCAACCAUCGAAUUUGUUGCCUUCUUCAGCCCAACCUUUCAUCUUCCUUCCAUUUUAAUGGCAGACCGACCCAAUAACCACCAAACCGCCGCCAUGGCCAACUGAAGCAAGCCUCCGAUCGAUCGCAAACAGGACCGUCGGUACUGUUCAGCGGAGAAGAAGAACCGGCGACAACCACCAUUUUCCCUUUUGUAUUCAUCUCUUUUCGACCCUCAAGCAGCUUCCAUUCGUUCUUCCUUAUUCCUCCAUCGAUCUCAAUAACCAUUUUUCUUUUCUUUUCAGAACACACCAUUUUCAUCUUCUUUGAAUGUGAUCCGGAGUUCCUUUUCAGUGUGUGUAUUUAACCCAGAUCUCAAAGUUUGAUUAUGGAACAGGUUCUGUAGGUGCCACCUCUGAUCCCAGUGAUGGUUAUGAAUCAGCUAUAGGGGCAAGAUCAGUUUUCAACUUAGCUUCUUCCAAGAUCAGUUUGCAACCCAAUUUAACUCCUAAUCGAACAUAUCUAACCUCGUUUACCCCCAAUUUCAUUUAAUUCAUGCUCAAGCAAAGUCGAUUCCUCAACAAUACAAGGUAUCUUAUCAGAUUCAAGCCUUAAUCCUUGCAGGAAAUAAGAUUUUCGAUCUUGGUUGGUGCUAGGGCUUGCUUUAACAGGAAGUUCCAGCAAGGGUUAGAUUGAAAAAACUGAACCUUGAAACACCAACAAGGUUAGAUCGACGACAAGGAUUUCACACUAGAAAUCGGAACCCCCUUCACUUCUCAAAAACCAAUCGCCAAACACAAUCACCCAAAGUCGCACCCUCCUUCUCCUUCUUCUAAACUCGAUUACAGUUCUUCUUUUUCUCCUUUCUGAAUCGAUUGUAGCUCCUUCUUUGAUCUCUCUUUUUUUACAUUUGCAACUGUUAGGAAUGAUGAUAAUUGAGGAAUAAGGGAGGUCUUGGGUGAUUGAAGGUGGCGUUGGGCGGUGGUGUUUGUGUGGGUGGUAUAGGGUGAUGAGAGAGAGAGAGAGAGAGAGAGAGAGAGAGAGAAAGAAGGGGGGAGGGAGAGAGGGAGGGAGGGAGAAAGAGAGAGAGAGAGAGAGAGAGAGAGAGNGGAGAAAGAGAGAGAGAGAGAGAGAGAGAGAGAGAUUUUCUUUUAUUUUUUUUUUUUAUUUUUUAGUUAGAAAAUAAUUAAAUAACAAAAAGAAAAGAAAAAACAAAUGGAAAAGGGCAAAUUCGUCAUUUUUAGAAAUUUUAAAUUGUUUUGGACCAAAAACGCAGCAAAAUGAAAACCUUUGGACUAUUUGUGCUAGUCCAAACCUGUUUGGCCAAAAAUAGCAUUUUUGGAUAUACCACAGGGACCAUUCUUUCAAUUUUGUCUUAAUUUAAUAGUUAAUUAUCAUAUUCUCUUUAAAAGUUAAGUAGAAGAUGUGAAAAAAUCAUGAAUAGACCAUAGAUGAUCGGAUAAUAAGAGUUUUUGAAAGACGCAAUAUUGUCAUAACAAAUAAAUGUCAUUUUNNNNNNNNNNNNNNNNNNNNNNNNNNNNNNNNNNNNNNNNNNNNNNNNNNNNNNNNNNNNNNNNNNNNNNNNNNNNNNNNNNNNNNNNNNNNNNNNNNNNNNNNNNNNNNNNNNNNNNNNNNNNNNNNNNNNNNNNNNNNNNNNNNNNNNNNNNNNNNNNNNNNNNNNNNNNNNNNNNNNNNNNNNNNNNNNNNNNNNNNNNNNNNNNNNNNNNNNNNNNNNNNNNNNNNNNNNNNNNNNNNNNNNNNNNNNNNNNNNNNNNNNNNNNNNNNNNNNNNNNNNNNNNNNNNNNNNNNNNNNNNNNNNNNNNNNNNNNNNNNNNNNNNNNNNNNNNNNNNNNNNNNNNNNNNNNNNNNNNNNNNNNNNNNNNNNNNNNNNNNNNNNNNNNNNNNNNNNNNNNNNNNNNNNNNNNNNNNNNNNNNNNNNNNNNNNNNNNNNNNNNNNNNNNNNNNNNNNNNNNNNNNNNNNNNNNNNNNNNNNNNNNNNNNNNNNNNNNNNNNNNNNNNNNNNNNNNNNNNNNNNNNNNNNNNNNNNNNNNNNNNNNNNNNNNNNNNNNNNNNNNNNNNNNNNNNNNNNNNNNNNNNNNNNNNNNNNNNNNNNNNNNNNNNNNNNNNNNNNNNNNNNNNNNNNNNNNNNNNNNNNNNNNNNNNNNNNNNNNNNNNNNNNNNNNNNNNNNNNNNNNNNNNNNNNNNNNNNNNNNNNNNNNNNNNNNNNNNNNNNNNNNNNNNNNNNNNNNNNNNNNNNNNNNNNNNNNNNNAAAAAAUCCUAAAAAAACCCUAAAAAUCAUAAAAAUGCAUAAAAAAAAUACUUAGAGAUCACAAAAAAAAAAUUGAAUUUUUUUUUAUAAAAAAUCGCAGGUUUUUGUUAAAAUUCAUUGAAAAAAAAAUAAAAAAUCAAUUUUUUUGUAAAAAAAAUUAAAAUUUUUUUCACCGAUUUUGUAUAGAAAGCUGCGAUUUUUUCAAAAAAAAAUUUUGUGAUCUCUAAGUAUUUUUUUUAUGCAUUUUUAUAAUUUUUAGGGUUUUUUUGUUUUCCAAUCAAAUCGAAAAACCAUUCGCAGGUUUUUGUUAAAAUUCAUUGAAAAAAAAAUAAAAAAUCAAUUUUUUUGUAAAAAAAAUUAAAAUUUUUUUCACCGAUUUUGUAUAGAAAGCUGCGAUUUUUUCAAAAAAAAAUUUUGUGAUCUCUAAGUAUUUUUUUUAUGCAUUUUUAUAAUUUUUAGGGUUUUUUUGUUUUCCAAUCAAAUCGAAAAACCAUUGUUCAUAUUGUAUUUUGUUCAAAAUGAUUCUCACAAAUUUGUGUUGAAGUUUUUUGUAGGAACAAUUCUAACGAAUUUAGUAAUAAAAAUGUAUUGUGUAAUCACGAACCAUUACACGGAUUACCCGUAAAAUGCUUAUAGUAUUUAUUUUAGUCAUAUCAUAUUAUCAUUUAUCAAAGUCAAGCAUAAAAAAUGUCAAAUUCCGCCUAAUAGAUAUGUGAAAUUUUGGAUCUAAGACUACAUUCAUUUGGUAAUCAUUGAUGACUUCAGUCUUUGACAUAUAAAAAAAUCAAUAAAAGAGAAAGAAAUUAUAUUCAUGCAAUCUCUUAAGAUCCAACUCAAAUACACAAUCUUGGUUUGCAAACGUUCUCGCCACACGUAGUUCUUACCAUUGGUUUGUUGUUUUCUUUAUUUAGAUUCUAUAAAACAUUAAAAGUUUAUUUUUUUAUAGAAAAAACAAAUAUUUAUUUUUAUUUAUUUAUAAAGAGCCCAAUAUAUUCUGCCAUAAUAAAUAAGAAUGAUUUUACCACAUGUCUUCUUCUCCUUCAUUUUGACACUCGUUAUUUUCUAGAUUUUUUUGAAUUACUUAAUAUCCACUUGUCAUUAUUAUAGUUUUUUAUUCAAAUUCCACCUAUUAAAUGUCACCUCAUGUUAAUUAAUUUUAUAAAUAUAUUAAUUAAUGUACAUAACUUUCUAUUAAUAUAUUAAUUAAUGCAUAUGCAUAUUAAUGUGGGAGAAUUUCAUACACGUUUCUCUUAAACCUCAAAAUAUCAUAUAUUGUCCAGCUUAAUUUCUCAAUAUCAUAUUUAUCCUUUACAAACCUUCAAAAUAUCAUAUUUGCCCAAAUCAUUUUUUAUAAUGUUAUAAACAUUUUAUAAUCAUUUUUAUACCAUAGAAUUAUUAUAAUAAUUAAAAAUUUUAACCAUAUUAUCCUUACAUCUAUAAUAAUGGAAUGUGAACUUCUAAAUUGUUGAAAUGUUGCCCUCUUGACAAACAAAAAGAUUCAUCUUCAACCCUUUUUAUGGAAUGUAUAUUUUGAUUGUUUCGCUUUUGUUGUUGUUGAUUAUUAUCAUGUUGAUAUUUUUGAUAUUACCAUUGACAUUUUUAUGUUUAAAAAGUGAACAUACGAUAUUUUGAUAUUUUAAAAGGGUAUAUAUAAUAUUUUGAUGUUUAAAAAGAACAUAUAUGAUAUUUUGAAAUUUUAUGAAUAGUAUGUAUGAUAUUUAGAAAUUUUAUGAAGGAUAAUUAUGAUAUUUAUAAAUUAAGUUUGAUAAAUAUGAUAUUUUGAUGUUUAAUGUAGAUAGUACAUUCCAUUUGUGAAUUCAUAUUAAUUAAUUUAUUAGUAUAGAUUAAUUAAAACAAAAUUACAUAAAUAGUCCAUGUGGUUUACCAAAGGUCACAAACUCAGUCAUUAUUUAUUUUUUUAUGAACAUGGUCAUUGUGGUUACCAAAACUUACGUGAAUGAUCUUUUUUUUGUUCACAAUGUUACUUUUGAUCCUUUUAAUAAACUCGUAUAAUACACGAAUCUCACACCUAAUUGCUAAUAAAUUAAUAAAAAUGAAAGGAUUGGAUUGCAUAUUUGGAUUAAAAAUAUAUAUUAUUUUUAACAACCAUCACCUAAUGGCUCCGUGUAAGGAAGGUCCCAAGUUCAAAUCAAAUUAAGGGGCUUUAACUUCAACUAGAAGUGGACAUUGAAAGGCUUGCAAUUCGGUUUUCUUCUUCGGGAUGGUUAAUUGGUUUUCAAAACUUUCAUAUCUACUCUAAUAAAUGAAGGUUUUUUUUGACAAUUUUCACUCUUAUUCAAUCUGCCAAAUGUCAUUUUGUGGUUAUUUUGAAUUAAUUUUUUUUUCCACAUUCAACUUUAUGAGCUUUUCUAUUUUAUUAGAUUCAGUAUAAUAUUUUAAUAUAAUAAUUACAAUAAAAUUAGUAAUAAAUUGCUAUUAAUUUCAUUAAUAAACUUACCUUUUAAUUUCAAAAUUCCCAAAAUUAAAGCUCAUGAGUUUUUUUGUUCAUUUAUUUAAAUUAUUUGUUUAAAUUUAAAAGACAAAAAAUAUUUCUAUUAUAAUAAUUCAUUAUUUUUUUAUUUUCUUAAAAAUUCAAAGUACUUAAAUAUUUUGACUUUUAUAUUUAUUUUUUUAAAGAAAAAACAUCAUAGAUGGUCCCUGUGGUUUUUCCAGAUCUGAAGUUUAGUCCUCAUAGUUUAAAAACAUCAUAGAUUGUUCUUGUGCUUUCAAAACUUUUGACGAUUGAUCCUUGCAAUCGUUGAGUGAACUGUAUCUUCUUUGUGUUAGUUAACCUAAGCUUCACUCCUUGGGAUAAGUUAUCCAAUAAAUGUCGUGGAAUAGGAAGAGAUCAUUUGAAUACCGAAACUCUUCUACUUGCUAACUCAGUUAAGUUUUGUCCGUUAACUGAAUGACAUUUUCUUCAUUUCACUACAACAGAGACCAUUUAUGAUGUUUUCACUUAUUUAAAAAAAAUAUACUCUGAUAAAUGAAAGUUUUUUUUGCCACAUAUCAUAUUCUCAUUCAAUUUGCCAAAUGUCAUUUUUUUGUUAUUUUGAAUUAAUUUUUUUCCACAUGUCACAUGCCAUUUCUCAAAUUAAAGCUUAUUAAUUUCUUUUGUUUAUUUAUUUAAAUUUAAAAUAUAAAAAAAUAUUUCAAUUUUAAUAAUUCAUUAUUUUUCUUAUUUUCUUAUAAAUUUAAAGUUCUCAAAUAUUUAAAUUUUUAUAUCUAACUUUUUUUUUUUUAUAAAUUAACUCAUGUAAUACAUGAGUCUCACAACUAGUGAAAUAAUAUUCAAAAGGUCUCUCUCUCUCUCUCUCUCUCUCUCUCUCUCUCUCUCCAAACGCAACUUUGACCUACACAUAAACACACAUGGUCAAUUGCAAAACAAAUCUAGACUAAAUAUCAUCAUCGAUUCACAUGAUCACAAACCAAAUCUCCAAAAUAAAAUACAAAUUAAACUAUUGGUUCAUCAACCAUGCCAUCCUUCUUUGUAAUCUUCUCCAACUCCUGUGCAUCCAAUCGAAUCUCAAAUUGGUCGUCUCCUAAUUUCAUCUUGAUCAAUUAGUUGUGUUUAAUUAUGUAGUGAACCUUCUGGAAGAAGAACUACCAUGGAACAUUUGAUUAAGAAGCACGAAGAGGACCAUCAUGAUGGUCUUUCUUGGAAGCUUUCUUGCUCAUUAAUAAAGAGUUAUUCUGAAGAAUUAAAGAUUCAUCUAAGAAGAAGAAAAGAUCUCUAACAGAGAUUAUCCCUUCACAACCUCUUAUUGAAGUAAAGAAACUCAAUCCCAUUCAAAAUUGAAACUGAUGCUAAAAACCAUGACUCAAAAAUCGAAUCGAUGUUCUUCAUCUGGAUGAACCCACUUAAUAGAAAAACUCCAUCGAUUGAUUACAGAUAAUAAGCACAAACUCUAAUUUUGAGGAAGGCAACGAUUCGGAGAACCCUUUUGAAAUCGAGAUACCCACUACAAAUCUUUCAGUUCAGCUUCGGAGAUGGUGGAUAUUGAGUGUAUCGGUGUGUAAGAUAUGGUCACCGAAGAUUUGAGUUCAUCGCCAUUCCUGGUGGUGCUCGUUGUCGUUUCAGGCAGUGUUCUUCGGAUUAUAAUUUUUUGCAUAGGUUUUCGUAUCAGAUAUGCCCUUCGACUUUUGGAUUAAGGUUUAGUUUCAAAUCGGGGACUAAGAACAAGUCCCCUUCUCCAUAUUUGUUUCAUAUUUGGAACAUUAAGUGUAUGUUUGUGUUGUGUUUUGAUGAAUACGACCACUGUGUGAAAUGUAUGUGUGUUUUAAUUUGACAACACAAAUAAUUGUGUGGGUUUUUUUUUUUUUUUUUUUUUUUGGGGGGGGGGGGGGGGGGGGAGAGGGGGGGGGGGGGGGNAGAGAGAGAGAGAGAGAGAGAGAGAGAGAGACCUUUGAAUAUUAUUUCAUUUUUAAAAAAAAAUAAGUGAAAACAUCAUAAAUGGUCCAUGUGGUAGUGAACAAAAAUGUCCUUUAGUUAACGGACAAAACUUAACGAAGUUAACAAUAAGGACCAAUCGCCAAAAGUUUUGUUUUAGUUUUGAAAACACAUGGACUAUCUAUGAUGUUUUUAAACCACAUGGACUAAACUUCAGAUAUGAGGAAACCACAGAGACCAUUUAUGAUGUUAACUUCACUCACAACUAAUAAUCUUAAUAUAAUCUUAAUAAAGUAUUAAGACUACUUCAAACUUCAUACUUUUAAAAUGGGAGGGAAGUUAAUGAAAGUAUGCCAUAUCGUUCGGCAAAGAAAAUAAAGUUAUUUCCAUAGUUAUAAAAUAAAGAAGAUGACAAAUCACAAUUUACAAAUCUAGAAAACUAUAAUUGGUUUUGAAUAAAAUUCAAAAACUAAUAGUUAACUUUUUUUUUUUUUUUUUUUUAAAGUUUUUAAAACAUUAUAACGAGCCUAAAAAGGAUUAGUACCUUAUUUUGUAUAAAACGUUUAACAAACAAAUAGAAGUGUUUGUUUAAGAUUUUUCAGAAAAACAAGCUAAUUAAACAUAGUUGGACUUUUUUAGGCUUGUUUAACUAAUGGUUUUAAGUUUUAAAAUAUAAAUAUGAAAUUUUAUAUUAAUAGUUUAGUAUCUUAUUCAGUUAACCCGAAUUAAAAAAAAAAAUUAACCAAACCCAAACCGAAUAAUGUUUUCCUUAUUCGGUUAAUUGAACCGAAUAACCCAAAUCUUAUUUGGUUUGGGUGUGCUAUUUAGAUUUGGAUUUUUUUUGACACCCCAAGUUAAAGCUAUAGACUAAGGGAGACCAAUACAUUUUUUAAAUAAAACACAGAAAUUCUUUUUAAUAAAAUAUAGAAUUGGUUUGGAUCAAGAAAAAAAAAAAUAGUCCAAGGCUUGAGCACCAACAUCUCUAUAAAAGUUAAAUACUUAUUAUAGGUUCACUUGCUUUUUGCAAAAUUAAUCCUUAACAUAUCCUUAAAAUCUUCCAAUCGUUUCUAACGUCCACAUGGAAUUAUAAUGUGAGCACUGAGCAGCACGUCAAGUAUGAAGAAGUGCACCUUUUAACAUAGGGGUAAAUGUCAAUUAAUUUUCUAACCACAAAUGUAUUAUUAGACCCAUUGUCAAAUGAUAUUUUCUAAACGAGAACACUCAAUUUUUGUUUAAAAAAAUAUAUAAAGCCCUACCUAACUCGUGAAGUAAACAAUUAAAAAAAAAUAGCACAUUUCACCAAUUGCCAACUGGUUGCAUAUAUCCAAUGGUCUGUUAAGCAAAUAUAGGAAUGGGGUAAAUUUUAUACACAUGCAAUUACAAAUACCUAGACAAUACAUGUGAUCUAUAGACACACACGUGGAUCAAAAUAAAUGAUAAGAGAUAGCAGAAGAGUGUGUACCUUAGCUGUAUCUAUGAAGUGGAUAUUUUUUCAACCAAAGACACAAUCACCGCCACAUUGUCCGGCUUGCCGCCACUAUAUCCGGUGUAUCCGGCCGCCUGAGCAGCAUCUGAGAACGGACUUCUUACAAAUGCAGACACCCCUACCUCUUGUGCUCGUGUCGCCAAUACUUUAGCAACUUCCUAAAAUUGCAAUUAAUUGAUAGCAAUCAAGUAUUGAAGAGGAAAAAAAAAGGAGAUUAAUAUUUAUAUUUUAUAUUCACCUCUGGUUUCAUCCCAGCUUGUAGUGACUUUGAGACCACCAUAGCUAUUUCUUGCUCGUAUAGAUUGUCAAAAAGUCCAUCUGUUGCAGAUACAACUAUGUCACCUUCAUCUAAUUCAAUUAUGUGUUCCUGAGAUAUAUAUAUAAUAUAAAGUAUCAAAAAUUAAUUACGUUACUAUUUGUUAUAUUAAUAAAAUUAAUAAAAUAAAAAUAUUUGAAAACAUGCAUACCUCCACAAGGUGCAAGGGAUCAUCGAGAUUUUCAACUUGCAAUGCGAAGUGGAACUCGUGAAGCAAUGGAGAAGAUUUCUUGUAAACAGCACCAUGUCUGAUUAUCAAGAAUCCCGUGUCUCCGAUGUUGGCCACAUGAAGAGCCUGUUGGAAAUUAAAUUUAUCAGAAAAUAUAUAUAUAUUUCAUUUUUUUUUAAUGGUUGGGUUAUAAUUAAAUUAAUUAGAAAUACACACCUGACCAUUGAAGUUUGCUAUCAUAAUAUUUGAGGAACCUGACAUAUUUGUUUCUUUGACACCUCUACAAAGAAGUUCAACAGGGCUGGUCAUUGGAACAUUGCUGGUGGCAUCUGAGACUGAGACAAUCUCUUCACAGGUUCUCAUGAGCUCUUGGGCAUAAACUCCUGGAUCCGUGCCUGUAUUUCAGAAAAUAGAAAUUAAACAAAAGGGUGAUACUAAAAAUAAGAACUAUUAUUUUUUUUACAGAAUAAAAACAAUCAAAAUUAUGGAUGGGUCCCAUUCAGCUACAAUGAAGUACCUUGGAAUGACCAUUGGCUAACCCCACUAGCUACUCCUAGCCAUUUACUGCUAGACAGAAAGUACGCAUCAUCUCCACCUGUCAAUGCCUGGAAUUAUUAUUUCUAUUACUAAUCCAGAUGGUUACCUCUUAUGCCAAAAAUUAUAUUUCUCUGUUACAAUCCAAUACAACUGAAUGUAGGAUGACAUAAAUAUGUGUAACUGAUUAGUCAAAGACACAAAUGACAAAACUAAUGAAAAACAUACUAUAUGUAAUGACUGUCUGAAACCAUGCAUAAAAGAAAUUAUACCUUAAAUGGAUGCUCCAACAAAGCUGCACCAGAAGACAGGAUAUAGCCUGUCAGAUAAAUCUCCUCAACUCUUUCUGCUUCCACUUGUGAGACAUUGGCAACUUGUUCAACCUACAAAUCAUAAACAAAUCAAAUAUAACCCAUUGGGUCCAAAAAUUACAGGUAACAAUUUCUGUAGAAGAAAUUAUUUAAAUUAAAUACAGAUAAGUAUAAUAUUAUAAACUGUUUGACCAAUUAGUAUAGUUACAAAGAUGGGACAAAUAUAUUAUAACUACAUUUUAAUAGAAUGAAUCUACUGCCUUAUAUAUUAUUAAGUAUUUGUAUUAAUGGUAAAGUAAUUAAGUAGUAUUGGUAUGUUCAAAAUAUUAAGUUAGGCCAGAAUGUAUCUAAAUAGAUAUUAUUAGAUUGGGUGAAAUCUAGGCAAUUGAACAAGUAUUUAAGGUUAUAUGUAUGAGUAGACAAACUUAUGUGGGAUAAAAAAUCAAAAGGUGCUUAUACAAGAAUAUAGGACUUAAGAAUUUGACCUUUUGACUAUUUGAAAACGGUCAAGACUUGACAUAACUUUUUUGUAUAUAUUGUAUUCAUUGUUUAUUGGCAUAUUUUUUAAUGUAUUUUUAAGGUCAUUUAAUCUAAUAUUGUUACUAAUCAUGUUCUAAAUUAGUAAUCGUAAUAAAAUCAUAAUCAAAGAACUCAAGCAACAAACUUUGAACACAAGUUUUUUUUUUCGUUUACCAUUAAUUUUCGCAAACUCAUAGUGAUAUAUUUUUUUAUAGAAUCACUAGUAAGCACUUUUAGUAUAACUUGCAAGUCAAAUUGUUUGUUAGUACAUAUAUUUUUCAACAAUUUUUAAAAUUAUUUUAAUCAACUAUUGUUCAAAUCAGCUUCUAUUAUAAAAAGUUGACUAUACUAUAGAAAAAUGUACCCAUAGGCAGGUAUCCGACUACUUAGAUUUGCUUCUUACAAAAUGUAAGCUAUUGUGCUAUCACUUCAUAUGAAAUGGCACAAAUAGUACUUUCCUAACAUCCAAAUAUCCAAUUAAACACUUCAUCACAUUUAUGUAAAAGGAAAAGGAACAAGAGUCUAACCAGCAUUGAGCUUUCAAGUGCAUCAACUUCAGCACAUUGUUCCAACAUGCUGUGAUUUACUCCCUCAUCUUGAACUAGUAGAGCCUCUAAUUGAUGCAAUGAUCGCUCAACAUCCUUGAUGUAAUUGUCACCUGCAUCCUCUUCAAUGAUUUGUAAAAUCACAUCAUCUAGACUUUGACCUUUAGUAUCCUGAACUUCAAUAUCUGAAACUUGGAUGCUAUGCUUAAGCUCAACAGGGGUUGAACAUGGCUGCUUUUCCUCCUCUUCUAGAACUGGUUCUGCAUGCAUAACAUUGGAAACAUCAUUCUCAUCGCUAUUACCUGUGUUCACUUCUUGCAACCCUUCUACCAAAUUCCCAUUUGCAGCUUCCGUAAGUUCAAUAUCUGAAGUAUGCAUGGUUUCUGGACACAUUGAAUCUUUUGCAUCACUCUCUGUAGUAUCUUUGGUUUCCACCUCAAGCAACUCAUCCAUGGCUUCAAUAUGUGAAGCUUGCAUAGUUUCAAGCUUGAAAGAUUCAAAUGGAUCCUCAGUUUCAUCAAUGACUUGUAAAAUUCCAUCAUCCGAGUUUAGACCCAUAGUAUCCUGAAGUUCAAUAUCUGAAACUUGCAUGGUGGGAUUGAACUCAAGAGGGGCUGAUUGGGGCUGGCUUACCUCCUCUUCUAUAAUUGGUUCUGACUCUUCUAUAAAGGUAACAGGCAUCACAAAGCUCACUUGUUGCAACUCAUCUUCCACAGGCCGAUCCUUAACAUCCAUGCCUUUAGCAGUUGAAACUUCCAUGGUUGCCUCAAGAUUGACAUCAGCAAGUUGAAUCUGGCUUACCUCAUCUAAAGUUGGUUCAGCUACUGAUGGAUCCGAUGGUGGCAUCUCAUCUAUGAAAGUACCCUCAUUCAUGUUCCUAUCUUGCAACCCUUCCUCCAUAUCCUCAUUUGCAGCAUCCAUAAGUUCAGCAUCUGAAGUAUUUGAGAUUGUGGGAGACAGUAAACCCUUUGUAUUGCUUGUGGUAGUAUCUUCAGGUUCCACCUUGUGCAACUCAUCUAUUUGUGUAAUAUCCAUGAGCUCAACUUGCAACUCAAUUUCAUUGUGGGUUUGUAAAAGCACAUCAUCUGGAUUCUGAUCCAUUGAAUCAUGAAGUUCAAUAUCUGAAACUUGCAUGACAGGCUUGAGGGGGGCAGGGGUUGAUUGGGGUUGGCUGACAUCCUCUUCUAGAAUUGGGCCUGACUCUCCUACACUGGAUACAGGCAUCACAUAUGCAACAUCAUUCUCAUUCCUCUUAUUGGUGCUCACUUCUUGCAACUCAUUUUCCAUAGCUUGAUCCUUAACAUCUAUGCCUUCAGUACUUGAAAUUUCCAUGGUUGCCUCAACCUUGACAUCAACAGAUUGGAGCUGGCUUGCCUCAUCUAAAGGUUCAGCUCCUAAUGAAUCAGAUGCUGGCAUCUCAUCUACGAGAGUAAUCCCAUUGAUGUUCAUAUCUUGUAACUCUUCAUUGACAUCCUCAUUUGCAGCACCCAUCAGUUCAACGUCUGUAAUAUGUAUAGUUGCAGGAGGGAUUAUAUCUUCUGUAUCACUCUCGCUAGCAUCUUCAGUUUCCACCUUGUCCAACUCAUCCUCAGCAUAUGGUUGUUUAACAUCCAUGACUUCAACAUCUGAAGCUUGUAUACUUUCAGGCUUAACAGAAACUAAUUGAACCUCAGUUUCAUCAUCAGGUUGAGCAGUGCAUUCUGUUGUAUCAAGCGUGCUCUCUACAUCUUUAAGAGAUUCGUUCAUUUUAGCAUCAAAUUGCAAUGAAAUAACUUCUUCCUCAGAUAUAUAUGACACUCUUUCGAUCAAUUCUGCAUGAGUAUCUCUCAAAUCACUAGUGACAUUAGUUUCCCUUUCAGCAAUGUCACUGUCAAUGUCUACAUUUGUAAUCUCAUUAGCAACCUCAGUAAGUCUGUCAACAUCACUUACAGAUUCUCCUUCAGUUGUCUUUUCAACUAUCUGUCUAUCCUGAUCUCCAUCUAAUACGUUCACAUCAUUACUUUCCACUUCAGCUUUUCUCUCUAUUUCUUCCACUUCAUCAUUUUUCACUACCUCAGAAGCAUCGCCAAACUGGAAUAUUAAACUGCCAUCAUGAUGUUCUGCCAAUACAAAAUAUCAAAUAACACUUAAGAUAGCGUAAUAGACACUGGAUUUAUUUUUACAACAGUUAUUUCAUCUAUGUAGGCUAACAAUAUAGCUGGAAGGUAAUUCACUAUUUGUGUUUUAAUCAAAAAAAUUCCACGCACCAAAAAAGGACAUCUAAUAGCUUUCUUGCAAGCUCAGAGCACUAGAGAUUUAACGAAAGAUCAAACAAUGGUGAUUAGAGCUUUUCAGGACCAAGUAUCCAUCCAAAAGAUACAUUCUAUUUUAGGACUAAAAAUAUUCAUCGUAUAUCUAAUAUAUCACUACUUCACGGCAAAUAUCACUUAUAGGCUUACAGCAUCAGAAUCGAAAUCUUACUACUUAAUUCUUGGAAUUGUUAACCGACAAUUUGGAAACAUAAUACUAAACGGAUCAAUGGAACUGUGAAGCGGAUAAGAAUGUACCUGUGGUUGCAACGAGAACUACAUCCGAUGAAGAUUGAGCGACUAUAGGCGGAUGAAGUGAUAACUUUCUGUUUCCUAAUCUCCUAUCGAUUAGUAUGAGAUUGCCAUGAAAUGGAAAAACAGGGCGGAGAGUGGUAGCGUAGGGUUUUAGAGGUUUGUUGAAAGAGGGAAAGAGAUUGAAAGAUCGAUAAUUAAAUAUAUUAGAACAUUGAUUAGACAUUGUUAGUAAUCUAAAGAAUCUGACUUCAUCUGUUGUUGUUUAGGGUUUUGAUUCAAAGAAGAUUGAGAUCAGGAGUGGCUUCAGUGAAGUCCGUUUGCGCUUGUGGAUGUUUUGGCGCUUAGAUUAGUUGGGACCCAUAUAACAAGAGCCAACCGAGUACGAACAGUCGAUAUUAAAAACUUUUGAUUCUUAUUUAUCCAAGAAAAGGGAUUUCAUAAUAUGGCGGAGAAUAUACGAUGGACAGUAGUAUACCUCUUCGAUUUCGGGUGUAUUUCGUUAACAAAAAAAUAUAUUAAAUGAAAUAUAUUUUUUUCCUUUUUUAAUCCAUUCUUUUUACUUAUUUAUUAGAUCAAGAAAACCAUCAAAAUUAAAAGAAAAAAGAAUAAUGAAUUGAAAAAAUAAUAUAUUUUUUCGAUUUGUAUAAAUUGGUAACUGAGUUUUUUCAUUUAUAUUUGUCUUUUUCAUUCAUAUUUUUCUGUCAAUCAUUUUAUCUGUAAACAUUGAAUCAUUAUGGCUAACUGCUUCAAGUAAAUAAAAAAAUGUUUUAAUAGAUAAUAUAUUUUUCACUUUAUACGUAUUUAGUCUUUAAUAUUUUUUGCACGUUUAGUCAUUAAUUUUUUUUUAUACAUUUAGUUCUUAAUAUUUUUUUCUUGCAAAAUAAGUUAUUAUUGGUUUUUUUACACAUUCAAUACUUCUGACAUAUAUCUUUAGGUUCUCUUAAAACAUCAUACAUGAGACAACUAUUAAUGUGUUGUUCAUGACUGUUGAUGUUUAUGACCACCGUGACCUCAGUUGCUUGUUUACUUAGGUCUUAUGCUCUAAACGUCAUAACUUAUUCAUACGAUCAUGGAUUUUAACGAUUUUUAUAUCAACACGUCCAUAUUUGUUAUAUAUCAACGUUUUUUUUAUAAAAUCAUAAGUAAAAAACUAAAAAUAUAUUACAUUUUAACGGAAGUAAUCUAAAAGAAAAUUAUAGUAGACUUAAAUAUGAACGCAUACAUAUAAAGAUCGUCAAAAUCUGAGAUCGUAUGAAAAAGUUACGACGUUUAAAACACAAGACCUAAGCACCACACAAUGGAGGCCGUAGUGGUCAUAAACAUAAAUAGCCCCGAACGUCUUAUUAAUGAUUGUCAUAUGCUGGGUUCCAUGAGAGAAACCUAAAAAAAUUGUUUAUAAGUAUUGAAUGUGUACAAAAACGACUUAUUUUGCAACAAAAAAAUUAUUAAGGACUAAAUGUGCAAAAAUAUAGUAAGAACUAAAUGUGUACAUAGUGAGAAAUAUAUUACCCUAUUAAGUCAUUUUUCCGGCUUACGUAGAGUAGUCGGUCAAAAGGACUGAAUGUGUACAGUUAAAUAAGUUGAAGAUGCAAAUGUGAACGAAAAAAACUCAGUGACCAAAUGUAUACAUGUAACGCCCAUGUUUCUGGGCUAAGCCUUAGUAUGAUAAUGUAAUAGUUAGGGUCAACAAUUGUAACCUAUUUUGAAGUAAUAAAGAGGAAUUGCUUGAAUAUUAUGAGAAUUAUGUGAUUCUAUGUGCAUUAUACUUAUUUAUAAGAUAUAAUAAAUUAAGAAUGAAAAUAAGGGUCAAAAUAAAAUAAUAGAUAAACCCAAUAUCUGUGAAGAAAGUUGUAGUGAUCGUGACAAGGAUUCCAGAGAUAUAAAAAAACGUCGAAAUCCGAGUUAUAAUGAAUAAGUUAUGAUCUGUCGAAGUUUCGCGACAAUACAGGCACGACGUUGAGUGACGUAAAAAGCGAGUUUACAAUAAAAUACUUUUUAGCCUUAACAAUCUAAAUGAAAUUCGUAGUAUACGUUAAACCAAGAACGUGCAUAAAAAGAACAUCCAAAUCCGACUUCGUUUGAGGAUGUUAUGAAUUUUAUAAAAUUAGGCAUAACAGUGUGCAGUCCAGAGUUCGAAUUUUAGAUAGAACAAUUUUUAGCCGACGCAACCUAAACGAGAAUCGAAGAUCUCAUUAAUAGGAGAUCAACGAUAAAACGACAGACGAAAACGGACGUUGGAUGACAAAGAUAUGGAUUUUUAACGGACUUUUCUUGCCCCGACUUGUUAAAAAUAUAACUUUAAAAAUAAAGUCAAAAUUAGUCGACGGGGUCUAAACGAAAGUUAUAGAGUACGUCUCCACCUACGCAUGGAUAUAAAGAACAUUGAAAGCGGAGCUCGUAUGCGGAGGUUAUGAAUUUUAGAAGUCGGGAAUGGAAAAUGUGAGACUGCUCAGGGAACUCCCCGCGUACUCGCACACUAGGUCCGGAAUCAGCCACGUCGUUCCAUCUGAUGGUUGACACCUGCCCUCUCGUACUCACCGCGUAAGUGGGUACGCCCUACGCACCGAGGUACGCACAACGUACAUGCGAGGGUAUGCCCAACGUAACCGAGGUUUCAGGCCUAUAAAUAGAGGUGCGAGGCAGCCUCAUUCUUCACACCAAAAACUCUUUCUUUCUCUCUCCACUCUCUCUCUAAACCUCCAAAAACACCCCUAAUCCCCUAGGAAACUUCCCUAGUGCUAGAAGAAAGCCCCGGAGCGUCCGAAAUCUCCGAGAAAAAAGCUUUUCGGCUCGGAAAGUUCCUCCCCCGCAGAGCUCGGUUUCUAGCAAACCUCCCGGUUUCGUUGAAGGAAAUCAUAUUGUUAAGAAGUGAAGCGCUGUCCAAGUUGGAAUCACCACUUUAUCAGGUGAGUGCAUAGUUACUUUCAUCUUACACAUAGAUAUGAAGUAUUUUUAUAUAAAUUACAUGCUAUGUGUGCAUAUUAUCUGUUUACCUGAGAUCUAUGUUGGAUGAACGAUUUAAACAUUUUUUUUAUGAUUCACACUAUAUAUGUAUUUUAUAUCUACAAAUAUGUUGGGUAAAACAUGGGUAGAUGAAAUAGUUGAUGUGUGAUGAAAUAAAAUGAUGAGAGACCUCGAUGUUUACGAUGAUCUAGUCAUCUAGCAGAGUAUAGAUGACGACCACAGACUAUUCUAGACAGUCCAGUGGAAUGCUAGAAGACUCACAACCUGUAGGUAUUUAUUUGAACUACGUGUUCACCAGGUGUACUCCAUCCCCCUCAUGGUUGCCUUAUUUAACAUGUAUUGUUGAGGAAUCCCCAAAAUAAUCUUGUCCACCCUGAUGAAAAAUCCUAAGGCUAUGUCCCUUAUAAUAGAUGCUUUAGGGACGUAAAGUGAGGAUAACGAAAACGGGUAAUCGGGCUGAAUGAUUUGAUGAAAAUAAUAAACUUACUUAUUAUGGGUUGAAAACCUUAUAUGCUCACCAGGCUCCAAAGCCUGGCCCACUCAGUUUCUUGUAUUACAGGUAGUGACACAAAAGCAUAAAUGUGAUGAUCUGAUGAGCAAUUAUGGAUUAUAAGUCAGUAGAAAUAAAUAGAAUGUUUUAAGGCCUAUGAUGUUUUUGUGGCCAAUGUUGUUUUUGUUUAUGCUUUGGAUCUGUAAUGACAAUGACAUCCCGAGGUUUGUAAUAUAAUGAAAAUACAUUUCUUCGGAAAUGCUUUGAUAAAUUCUUUAUCAUAUUUUUGGGAACAAAUUCCGCAACAUAUUUCUUUAAAAGUAUACUCUGAUUUUUAAAUAAAGUAUAAAUAAAUCGGUCUUUUAUGGCUGUGAAAUUGGGGAUGUCACAGUUGGUAUCAGAGCAUUAGUUUAAGUGAACUCUGAAUUUGUAGGAUUCCUAGACUUAAACUUAGAAUGCUAAACGAUGAUUGUGAGAUGAGUGUCUACUAUAAUUUAGACACGAGCACUAGUUUAUUUUAGGAAAUAUGCCUAAAAUGUUUUUUUGUGCUAAAUGCUUUAUUUUAUAUCUAUAAAGAUGCCUUAUAUGCUAUUAUUUGUUAGGAUUAUGGUCUAUUGCCGACCAGAUCUGGAAACCUUAUGUCUUCAGGAUUCUAAGCGUUCGACUACGAUAUUAGAACUAGCAUGUAACGUUUCGGAGUAAUAAGGAGGAUUUAAACGUAUAUCGUAAAUAAAGAUCUAAAUUCACCUACUUUGGUGUAUAGAUCGACAUGGCGAGAACCCAAAGUGGACUCGGAAAUGCAAAUGGAAACAUGAAUCAUUAGCCUCAAUCCCAAGUGAAUGAGCCAGUACCGGUGGUAGCAACUGCACCUCAUCCAUCACACAAUGGCUAGAGUACAAGCCAUGAUUUGGGCUAUGAUGGUCGAACAGAGGGAAAAGAUGAGACAUAUGUUGCUGAAUAAUAGGGAUGAACCUUCGAUGCUUAUUGAACAACCAAAAUUGAAUGACAGACAGUCAAAAGAAGAGGACUACAGUAGGACUGUUGGUUAAGCUGAACCGCCAGUGGUUGGGAGGAACAACUAGGAUGAAGGAGUCGAGAGCAACGGAUGCAAGUAUAAGGACUUCACAACUUGCAAGCCGUCGAUUUUCAUUGGGAAAGAAUAUCAAAUUGGAGUUAUGGACUGGAUCUUGGAGAUGGAGUUGGCCUUCGAAACAUGUGGUUGCAAGGGCAAGCUACAAACCACAUAUGUAGUACGUCAGUUCAAAGGUGGCGUUGUUCGCUGGUGGAACACUCUAGGGAAGACCAUAAGCCCUAAUGAGCCACUACAGCUGACAUGGGAAAAGUUUUUGGUGCACUUUAAAUGCAAGUACUGCUUGGCUCAAAAUCUGCUUGAACUAGAGAACCAAUUCCUGACAUUGAUGAAUACACCAAUGCCUUCACUGACAAAAUGGAGUUUGCUUUGCGCAUCGUCCCAGAUGAGCUGACGAAAAUCAACAAGUACGUAAAGGGACUUCCAUGGGAGUACGUGGUGCCAGUACACCAGUCAUCUACUCUGGAGACAGCUAUCUGGGUUGCCAAGUCUGUUGAAGAAAUGAUUAAGGGAAGAGCUGUCAACAAGGUUGAGGUUGGCGAAAAGAGGAAGUUUAAGGGAUCUACAAGUUCCAACAAGAAGAGCAAGUAUGGUUCAAGGAAAUUUGCAGGAUGAGGAAAUGAAGCGAAGUGGUGUGAGAAGUGUAAAAAGAAAUAGAUCGGGAAAUGUAGCAAGGAGGUGACUUGCUACAAAUGUGGAAAGGUAGGACAUUAGGCCAACGAGUGCACAUCCAACAAGGUGUGCUAUAGAUGUAACGAAGAAGGGCCCAUAUUCAACAUAUUGCUUUAAUGUUACAUAUUGACUCAUUAAGACCAAUAAUGGAUGUUUAUUCCCAUGAGCACUCAGAAAAUGUACAAGCAACCACUAAUACGAAUCCACAUCCUCCAUACUUAAAAAACUAGCUUCAACCAUAAAAAAUGAUUUAUGAUGAUUAAUGACAGUGAAUGAAACAAAAACUAAUACAUACAUGUUUCAUACAAAAGACAUGAUCACAUAUGAUUAACCAUUUAUAAAAUUUAGAUAUAGCUUUUACCUAAUGUUAUUAAUCAUAUGUGAUUUACAAAAGUAAAACUCACUUUUCAUUCGAAUGGUUGCAUAAAAGAAUAUAACAUCUCCAAAUUUGUUUUUAGUAUUUUUUUUUCUCUAUCUCGUCCGCCCAAAACAUUGCAUUCAAAGCUUUAUUGUCACCACAUCUAUAACAAAAAGAAUAAUUCAGGUAGUUGUCUUUCCGAUCUGUCAUAUUGUUCACAAUAAGUUUAGCAUCUGUGUAACCAAUAAUGGACCAUAUAUCCCUCUUGAAUUUUAUAUAGUCUAUUAUACAUGCUAAAAUCUGCCUUUCAAAGUUGAUUUCAAUUUACAUGCCUUUGUAGCACCAAUUGUUUAUAUAGAAGCCCCAACUAUGAAUUCCUUGUCUAAAUAUGAUGGUUUCCAUUUUUAUUAAUAUAUCAUCGAUCUCAUUGUUAUGUGUUUCUUCAAACUUGUAAAACUUGAAACCACCCGUUCCAUUGAUACAUUUCACAACAAUCUUCGCUCUAAAAUUUGUCACCUUUUAGCUUGUGUUAUGUUUGUUCCUUAUAUCCAACGACUUCUUUGGUGGUCAGCCAUCCUGCUGCAAACUAUAUACUUGUGCUUUAACAUACCACCAAAAUUUCUUUUGGUGUUCAUACAAUCAUCAAAACCAACAUUCUCUACAAAACUUAAAUACAUCCCACUUGCAGCAUCAUAAAUCAUUAAGUAAUUUGGUUUAAACUCUUCUAGAUUCUACGGUUUGACAUCAUAAUGAAUCUUUGACUCAUAAUUUUGUUGAAACAAAACUUGUGUUCAUCAUACAAUUGGAAUUUGACUCGUUGCAAGAAAUACAACAUUCACUUGUAUAAUCAAAUAUGGAAAAGGUGCUCAUUGUACAUUUCCAUAUGAAUAAAACAUUAAACACCUUUUCCAUAUUUUAUUAUACAAGUGAAUGCUCUAAUUCUUGCAACGAUUCAAAUACUAGUAGUAUAAUGAUCACAAGUGUGUAAAACAUAAUUAUGAGUCAGAGUUUUCGCCUGAUAUCAAACUGGAGAUUCUAAACCGAAUUACUUAAUGAGGUUCAAAUUUUCGAUGCUGCAAUUGAGAUGUAUAGAAUCCAUGCAAAGAAGGAAAGUUUUGAUGUUCGUAUGAACAUAAAAAGAAAAGUUGGUGGUAUGGUAAAUCAUAAGUAUAUAGUUUGCAGCAGGAUAGGUAUACCACCAAAGAAGUCGUUGGAUAUGAGAAAGAAACAUAACGCAAACGAUAAGGUGACAUAUUGUAGAGCAAAGAUUGUUUUGAAAUAUAUAAAUAGAACAUGUGAUUACAAGUUUGAGAAAUUUGAAGAAAUGCAUAGCCAUAAGCUUGGGGACAUAUAUAAUUUAAUAAAAACAAGGAAACUAUCGCAUUCGGACAAGGAAUUCAUAGUUCGGGCUUCGACAGAAAAAAUCGGUGAUACAAAGGCCUACAAACUAAAAUCAAAUUUAAAAGGCGACUUUCAACAGGUAAAUGUCAAGGUAGUAGAAUACAGAAACUUCAAGAGGGAUAUGGGUCCAUUAUCUGUUACAAAGAUGCUCAACUUAUUGUGAGCAAGAUGACAAAUCGAAAAGACAGAUACCUAAAGUUUUCAUUUUAUUAAAAAUAUGAUUCCAAUAAAGCUUUGAUUGUAAUGUUUCUAGCGACGAGACAGAGAAAGCAAAGUACAAAGAAUUUAGAGACUUAUGCCCUUUCAUGCAAACUUUCGAACGAAUAAGUAAGUUUUACUUUUUAGAUCACAUGUGAUUAAUAGCAUUAGAUAAAAGCUAUAGUUCAGUUGUAUAUAUGGUUAAUCAUAUAUGAUUAUGUCUUUUGUAUGAAACAUGUAUGUACUUGUUUUUAUUCCAUUCACUGUCAUUGAUCAUCAUAAAUCAUUUUUUAUGGUCGAAGUUGGUUUGUUAAGUACCGAUGAUGUGGAUUCAUAUAUGUGGUUGCUUGUACAUUUUCCAAGGGCUCGUAGGAAUAAGCAUCCGUUAUUGGUCUUAACAAAUCAAGAUCUAGCAUUAAAGGAGGUUGUUGAAAUCAUGUUUUCUCAUUCAAAAAACAGAUUGUACAUGUGACAUAUCAUGAAGAAACUACCAACAAAUGUAAGUUUUUGUGAAGAUAUUCUUUUAUUUUUUCCAUAUGUGAUUAUGUAUAUUAACAUGUAUAUGUUGAGAUGUGUAUAAUCACAUGUGAUUAUACACAAACGUUUUAAUUGAUUAUAUGUUAUUAUUGCUUAUGUAUGUUAAAUAUCAACUUGUAAACUUUGAAUCACAUGUGAUUACUACAGCUAUUAGUGGAAUUUAUUAAAAACACAUACUUUAAGAAAAUAUUUAAGAAGCUUGUUUAGGACUUGUGAUUAUUAUAGUUAUUAUUGGAAUUGUGAUCUAUUGAUCAAAAAACUGAGUGUACAUGUUGCGUAUCAUGAAUAAACUGCUAAAAAUGUAUUUUUUUUUUAUAUGUUCUUUUAUUUAUUCAUAUCUGAUUAUGUAUAUUAACAUGCAUAUGUUGAGUUGUGUAUUAUAUACAAAUAUUUUAACUGAUUAUAUGUUAUUAUUGCUUAUGUAUGUUGGAUAUCAACUUCUAGACAUGAAAUCACAUGUGAUUAUUAUAGUUAUAUGUGGAAUUUCUUAAAAGCACAAAUUUUAAGAAAAGGUUCAAAAAGCUUUCUUUAGACUUUUAUAUAAGCCUUAUAUUUUUUUAGAAGAAUUAGGAUAUGUUGAUCAUGACAACAAAUUUUUACAUUUGAAUAAGGUAAAUACUGUAAAAUUUUCACUUGCAAUUAGAAAUAGUAUUUACCUAUUAUGCAUUGCACAUUAGUCUUUUUUAGCAAGAUUUUUAUUUGUAUCGGCACAAAAGUAUCAUUUUUCUGCCUUUUCCUUUUAACAAGACCAAUGUCCUCAAAAUCUGAAUCAUAAUCUAUGGAUCAUAAUCUAUGAGUUGGCAUUUUUUUCUCUUUAUAUGUAAGAUUUUUUUUAAAAGAUAUAUAACUUCUUUUAUGAAUAUAAAGUUAAAAAGAUUUAAAAAAAAUACAUUUGGAGCUUGAACCAUCAAAUGCUUCCCCUUUCUUUUUUGUUUUUGAUUGUGUAGUCGGUGACAUUGAUGAUGCUUUUGCAAUUGGCAAUUUUUUUUGUUUCUUNNNNNNNNNNNNNNNNNNNNNNNNNNNNNNNNNNNNNNNNNNNNNNNNNNNNNNNNNNNNNNNNNNNNNNNNNNNNNNNNNNNNNNNNNNNNNNNNNNNNNNNNNNNNNNNNNNNNNNNNNNNNNNNNNNNNNNNUAACAAGUUUUACGAUAUAUUAGAAUACAUACAUGAAUAAUCUAAAUAAGACACAAAAAUAAUUAUAAUGCUUAACAAAUAUUCGCAUAUAAUUAAAAUAUAUGGUUUAAUCACAGGUGAUUAAUCAUAUAUGAAUAUCUAUUGAGAAUUAUAGUUAUAACUAUUUAUAUGUUAAUCAUAUGUUAAUCACAAAUGAUUAAAUCAUAGUUUAUUUAAAUUCUUCGGUUACAUCUUUGCUUUUUUUGAAUUUACUUUUUUCUAAAACUUUUAUUAAUUUACAUUUAUUAAGUUAUAUAAUCACAUAAAUAAAAAUAUAGUUGUAAUUAAAGGUGAUUAAUCGUAUGUGAAUAUCUUUUAAACAUUAUAGUUAACUUGUGUGGUAAUCAUAUGUGAAUAGUAGGUUGUAUGGUUUUUUGUCUUUGUUAAUCACAAAUGAUUAAAACGUAAUGUAUUCAAAUAUAUAAAAGCUUUACCUUGGUUGUUCUUUUUCUUUGAUAUUCUUUCUCGUUUCUCUUCUAAUUCUCCAGUGACAUCUUUGCUUUUUGAAUUUGUUUUUUUCCUAAAUGUUUUAGAAAUUUACAUUUUCAUAAAUUUAUAUAAUUACAUGAAAAAGAAUAUAAUUGUAAUUAUAAGUGAUUAAUUAUAUGUGAAUAUCUUUUAGUCAUUAUAGUUACUCAUGUGCUAAUUAUAAGUGAAUAUCAUUGUGUAUAGUUUUUUUUGUCUUUGUUAAUCACAAAAGAUUAAAACGUAUUUAAAAUACGUUUUACCCUUAAUGUUAUUUUUCUCGAUCUUCAUUCUCAUUUCUCUUCUUAUUUUUCAGUCACAUUUUUCAUUUUUUUAUUUUUUACGUUUAAAAAUUUACAUUUUAUUAAGUUAUAUAAUCACAUAAAUAAGAAUAUAGUUGUGUAAUCACAUAUGAUUAAUCAUAUGUGUAACGCCCCAAAUUUCAAAUACCAAAAUAACUUAACAUAGUCCCAAAACUUCCAAAAUUCAAGAUUUAAAUACUAACGUAAUUAUUAAUAAUAAUAGCGGAAACAAAUAUAAAUUUAUUUAAACACUUGGUGCGCUACGUCUUCCUCAAAACUUGUCGCCUUCUUCAAGUCUAAACUUUAUCAUUUCCAUUCCCGCUGCCACUUGCUACGUUAUUUCCUGGGUUGCGUGCAUUUAAAGAUUCUAAUGGGUAAGCCUAAGGCCUAGUGAGUUCGUGGUUUUCAUGCAUAUUGACGUCAAUAAAAUAAAAAUAAUGCAACAAUUUAUCAAUAUAAUUCUUUUCAUUUCUUUCCACCCUUGAUGACACAUUAGGGAACUACUGUCAUUUCCAGGGAACGAGUCCCUCCGCCGGGCACAACAAAUAUGCUUACGGCUAGAUAAACAGAGCGUAAGCUCUCCGCCGCGUACAAACACCCUGUACGACGACUAAUAAUAAGACCGUGUAAAUACACCUGUUCCCUAUAUGUCACCCACCAUUUUCACCAUUUUAUAUGAAAUAAUUCACAAAAUUUCACACAAAUAUUCAUAGCAAUAACAACGGUAACAUAUAAUUGCAAAUAAUUUAGAAUCAACUUUUCAUGCAAGCAACCACAAAAUUCACACGAAACUCACCUUGUUGGCGUUAGGUCUUAACCAACGUGUGUCACGCUACACGCACCCUACAUUUAACCAAUAUAUUUUCUGAGGACAUAAUCCUAAAAGCAUCUUAUGAUUUCAUGGUGUGGGGUUCGAUUAUUCGUACGCCUUGUUUGGCCAGCUAGUACAUUAGUUAUCAUGCAAAAAAAAUUAUAUAUAUUAAAACGUAAAAUUUUUAAAGGAAAUAAUAAACUAAUUAUUUAUAAAAUAAUUUGAGUAGAAUAUUUAAUUACCAAAAUUUCAAGGGCUAGAAUGCAACUCUUUAUAACAAUAAUAAAAGUAACUGGCAAGACGUCGAAAGUGUAACUAUUUAACAUAUAAUAGUUCAAAAAGAUGACAAGUGAUUUAAACCAUGAGGGCCUUUUCUGUAACUGUUUGUUGGAUUUGAAAAAAAAAAUGAAUGUAAAUGCGUAUAAGCCCACCCAUAGUAAUUUACCCGAUUUGUCCUCCUUCUUAACCCGCUAUUUUUUUUUUCUAUUUCUGCCAUUCUUAUCUUUUUCUUUUUACAGCUUUGAUUUUGUCCCAAUAAUCGUCAAAUUAUUGAGUGAAACCCAUAAAUAGUUAUCUCCGCUGCUAACUAAGACAAAUCCAUUUUAAUCUAAAAUAAAAUCAUAUAAUCAAAGAUUAUUUAUAUCAGUUUAUGCCAAAUUUUACUCUUUCAAUAACCAUCAAAUUCAACAUCUUCAUAGCCAAACCAAGGACAUACGAUCGAUCUAGACCGCACCAUAUAUAAUCUAAAGCGAUAUUUCAACUAAUUUAAACUAAGAUUAGAAGAACUUACCUUAAUUUCGAAAGAAACCACGAAUAUCUUCACAACCUUCAAUCUCCGAAUUCUCCCUCGAAUCACAGUUGUUUCUUGCAAUUCCAGUGGGGUUUCACAUGAUUUCUCAAGCUUUAUAUAGUGCCUAACUCAAAAACUGAAGGAGUCCUCUCGUUUGCUCGAAUUUACAACCAUAUUGAAGAAUGACGGUUUUUUGCCAUUAAUCUCCAUAAUUCUCCCCUAAUUACCUCAUUAUUCCUUGAAUUAAUCAUUUUAUUAUAAUGAUAUAAUCUAAUUACAUAUAUAUUUCUAUAUCNUUACAAUAUGUGAAUAUCUUUUAGCAUUGUAACUAUUUAUGUGCUAAUUUAUAUGUGAAUGUUCGGGUGUAUGGUUUUUUUGGUUUUGUUAUUCACAUAUGAUUAUCAGAUAAAUAACUAUAAUACUUAAAAGAUAUUUAUAUAUAAUUAAUCCUAAAUGAUUAAAAUGUAAUGCAUUCAAAUAUAUAAACGUUUCACAUGUUUCGUUCUUAUUCUUUGAUACUCUUUCUCUUUUUUGUGCCUCUUCUAAAAUUAAAAUAUGAAUAAAUUAUAUAAUAACUUACAAGUUAAUAACAAAUUCUAUUCAUAUGUGAUUACAAAUAAAUAAUUAUUAAAUAUAAUCAUAUGUGUUAUUUUUUCUGAUUUUUAAACAAAACUUUAAUGUUAAUCGCAUAUGAAUAUAAUUUUGUAUACGCUAAUCACAUAUAAAUAUCAUAAAUAUAUUUAACUUUUAAACUAAAAUAUACGUAUUUUUAGUUAAAAAAAUGUUAAAUUUUUACCUUUUAACUCAAACAAAAUAGAAAGAGUUUCUGCUAAGCCAUGUUUUGAACACGUUGUUGUUGUUUUGGGAGGUUUUCAUUGUUCGAUUUUAGAAAAAAAAAUGAUUAAAACAAAGGAUUUUUCUUUGAAAUGACGAUCGAGAAUGGUAAAAUGAUGAUUUUUCAUCUGAAAUGAUGAGAGAGAGAGAGAGUGAGUGAUGCAAAGAACGAUAAUUGUGUAAAUAGAAAUGCUUUUUGCAUUUGCAAGAUACGAUCAUGUGUAAACGGUUACUAUUAAAUCAAUGCCAAUUUACUAAUAUACCGCGUAUUAUUAAUUAGUUUAAUUUCUUAUUUAAAAAAAUUGUGGCUAAGAUUUGUUUUGCAUUCUCAAAUUCAAUAAUUGUUAUAAGUUUAUGAACAUCUCUCUCUCUCUCUCUCUCUCUCUCUAUAUAUAUAUAUAUAUAUANNNNNNNNNNNNNNNNNNNNNNNNNNNNNNNNNNNNNNNNNNNNNNNNNNNNNNNNNNNNNNNNNNNNNNNNNNNNNNNNNNNNNNNNNNNNNNNNNNNNNNNNNNNNNNNNNNNNNNNNNNNNNNNNNNNNNNNNNNNNNNNNNNNNNNNNNNNNNNNNNNNNNNNNNNNNNNNNNNNNNNNNNNNNNNNNNNNNNNNNNNNNNNNNNNNNNNNNNNNNNNNNNNNNNNNNNNNNNNNNNNNNNNNNNNNNNNNNNNNNNNNNNNNNNNNNNNNNNNNNNNNNNNNNNNNNNNNNNNNNNNNNNNNNNNNNNNNNNNNNNNNNNNNNNNNNNNNNNNNNNNNNNNNNNNNNNNNNNNNNNNNNNNNNNNNNNNNNNNNNNNNNNNNNNNNNNNNNNNNNNNNNNNNNNNNNNNNNNNNNNNNNNNNNNNNNNNNNNNNNNNNNNNNNNNNNNNNNNNNNNNNNNNNNNNNNNNNNNNNNNNNNNNNNNNNNNNNNNNNNNNNNNNNNNNNNNNNNNNNNNNNNNNNNNNNNNNNNNNNNNNNNNNNNNNNNNNNNNNNNNNNNNNNNNNNNNNNNNNNNNNNNNNNNNNNNNNNNNNNNNNNNNNNNNNNNNNNNNNNNNNNNNNNNNNNNNNNNNNNNNNNNNNNNNNNNNNNNNNNNNNNNNNNNNNNNNNNNNNNNNNNNNNNNNNNNNNNNNNNNNNNNNNNNNUAUAUAUAUAUAUGUGUGUGUGUGUGUGUGUGUGUAGGUUCAAACAUGGAUUGACAUCUAUUGUGCGGACGUGUGGACAAUGUUAUUCUCUAAGAAUGACAAAGAAAAUAUGUUGUUUGAUAAUGUGAAUACGUUCAAUUUUACAUAACUAUUUAUCACACAUUCUCACCAAUUAAAUCGUCUAUAAGGUUAUUAUAGACUUUUUUAUUAUUAUUAUUCACAUUCUAUCAGAAUGUUGUCAGGAUUUUAUUGAGUCGUAUUUUGCAAGAAUGAAAAUGAGUGAAAAACGAUGCGUGAGAACAAAAAUCAAUAAGAAUUAGUGAGAAUGAAUGAAAAUGACAAUAAUUGUGUGAGGUUGAAUGUAUUCACAUUACUAAACAACUUAUUCUUUUAGUAAUUUUCAUAGAAUAGCACUGUCUACACGUCCGCACAAUAGUUGUCCGUCCACAUUAUAACCUAGCCUUAUAUAUAUAUAUAGGGUUUUGUUCUGGUGAGUACUCAAAAAAUGGUGAGGAUUGUGAGGACAAUUCUCCACGACGCAUUUCGUCAAGGGCACAAACAUCAAACUAUAAUGCCCAGAUCUUGAGGUACUUUAUGUUUUAAUUUUUUUUUGGCAUUUUAAGGGGUCCACAAUGUGGUGGAAGGACCACCAUGACGUGGCGAAGCAAGCUUGUAACACGUGUUUCAUUUAAGCCGCCAAGGUAUCGCAAUAUAUCGCAUAGCGUGGUAGUUGUCUGAUAGAAAACCAUAUUUUUCCCAGUUUACUCCCACUUUAUAGGUGUGAGGAGAUUAAUUUUUUCUCAUCCUCAACCUACAUUAGCCUCCUAAAGCUAUGAAGAAACCCUAAUCGCUUUCCAACAUUGUUGAAAGUCUUUUUUUGUGUUCUUGGAAGUUGUUUAAGGAAGAAGAAAGAAGAAGUGAGCUAAGAUUCAGCAAGCAAGUCUCUAUUCUUCGACUUAACACUCUUCUGGACCGUUGUAAGUGUCCAUGACUUUAUAUUUAUCAUAUUUGGUUGCUAGAUAUUGAAUUUUGUCCCUUACUCUUCAUGUUAUUGUUAGUUGGAGUGGUGAGAUCUCUUAAAAUUUGCAACUUUAUGAAUUUAUGGGACAUUUGGUGUGAUUGAUGGUUUGGAUCUGAUGUAUAGUUGAGUUUUUGAGCCAUGCAUGAUAUUUUUAUCAAAAACCCUUAUUUAGAGUCAUUAUGACUUGAAGACAUGCAUUGGACAUGCAUGUCUAUAAAUCAAUAACUUUUUUGUUAUAUUUGAUGAUAGAAACCCUUCUGGAGUUAAUGGCCAAGGAGUUUUUAGAUUUUGAUCCAUGUCUUGUCUAGCCUUUUUGGAACCUAGGGUUUGAGAUUUUGAUCUUUUGGAUGGUGUUAUUGGAUAAAGUUAAAAACUUUAUCCUUUUAGACAAUGUUUCAGACUAUAGUUAAGCUUUGAAGCUCUUAAGGAUGAAGGAAACAACUUAAUCCAUUAAGUUGUUUGUAACUUAGUUGCCACGACAUGGCAUCUGGUUGCCACGUCAUGGUGACUGGGGUUGGGUCGAUUGCUUUGUUCUGAUUCGGUGCCACGAUGUGGUGAUGGAUGGCCACAGCAUGACGAUUCGCUGAAGUGAGAAGAUUGAUUGUUGACCUUGAUCUUUGACACAUUGACUUUUAACUUGAAUUGAAUUUUGGUCAAACUCCUAGUUUUAGAAUAAGAUUUAAGGGCUUACCUGGUAUAACUAUAUAGGCGGUGCAUGGCAUUGGUAUUUCUAGUAGUGAGAGGAGUAGCAACCGAGUAUCGAUUGAGUGGGAGUCUUGUUGAUGUACUUGUGGGUCAAACGUGUUGGAUUAGAUGUCUAAGCCCAUAACUCUUAUUGGUAUGCACUCGACCCGAGAGUAGCAUGGUCCAUUUGGGUUACAUGGCAUCAGAACAAUUGGAUAGAAAAGUGAGAAAAGGUUAUUUAUGAUUUAUGUUAAUAUAUUAUAAGUUNAUUAUUGGUGUCUCAUUUAUAUUUAUGCCCAAAUUUAUAGAGAUUAGAAGUUAUCAGAUAGAAUAGUAACCAUGUCCCAUCGUAUACGAGCUCUUUUUUGUAUUAUACAUGUCAACAAUAUAAUAUUCAUUAUGUUACUGCUUGAAAUUUUGUUUAGGUGUUUAUAGAUUUAAAUCAAUAUUCAAAAUCAAAUCAUACACAAGCUUUGGAUAAAUGAAAAAUAAAUCGUACCUUGCAGUCUGUGACUCUAACACAUGAGUUGUGGUAUGCGAUACAUCCAAAUAACAUGAUGUAUAGAAGAUAUACAACUGCAAUAGAUGAAAUAGUUAACUAAAAUUAGAAGAUAUAAAAUGUAUGUGAAAAAUAAACAUACAAAUGGUAUCUAAAUGGUUUGUAAAUCACACGUAUUUUAUCACUUAAGUAGGACAAAAUCCCUAAUGAUUUACUUCUACUUAACUGCAUAAUCAUUAGCAUUAUUUCAUUUCAAGAACUAGUUUAUAGAAGUUGGUUAAAGUCCUAAAAUAGGACAAUGAUGGGUAAGUGUGUUUUGAAUAUUUUCACCAAUUUGCAUAAUUCUAGUUAACUCAUAUUCGGGUAAAAUGAUCAACACACAUUUACAUAUCAUUGUCAUAUUUUAGGAAUUUAAACAACCAUUGUAAAAGCAUGUCUUGAAUGUAAAAAUAUGAUGUUCAGACAUUUAAGUAGAAGUAAACGUAUGCAAUUGGAGCAUACUUAUUAAGUCAUAAAUCAGACAUGAUUACAGACAAGUCAAGUGCCACAUAUAUCUUUUUUUACAUGUAUGCUUUUCUACUUUCUAAUUUUAACUAAUUAAUGCAUCUGAUGUUGUUACUACCGCAUGUUAUUAGGAUAGAAUUGGGUAUGACGAACUAUCGAGUUGGAGUAAUGGUGGAAAUGCGUGAUUUAUUUUUCAAUUGUUCAAUGUUGUGAAUUUUUUAAUUUUAAAUACUGAUUUAAAUAUGUUAACUGCAAAAUUUGUUAAGAAUGCUACAUAAUGUUGAUUGUGACUUUUAACUUGAAAAUAGGAGUUAUUAUUAGACACCCAUACUAAAAGUCAAGAAGACACUAACAUAAUUGGCCUUCUAAUCAAAUAUCUUCAAUAUGGAAACAUUAAAAGUUCCACGACCAAUAUCCAUAACUAUAAUGAGAUCAUCAUCCUUGUUGUUUACUCUAUAAGUGAUUGUUGCAGCUGAGCAUCAUUAGUAACUUGCCUUUGUGCAUCAAGCAGUAAGAAAAUAGUGUAAUGAUAUUGUUAUUAGUUAUCUUCCUAAUACAAGUUUUGGUUAUUUCUUUCAUUUUAGUAAGAUCAAUUAAUAUACCAAUAUGACUUGGAGAAUAUUCUACAUUGGCCUCCACCUAAACAUAUCUGAUUCAAGACCUCAUAACUCUAUAUAAGACCAUUCUCAUUUCUUUAUGUGUUUUGGAAUCUUCUAGUGGCUUCCAAGACAUUCUAGAUUUUUUCAUAAUAUUCUUGAAUAUUUUUAACAUCUUAUGUAUAAUAGACUUCUACUCAAAUUUGUUCGACUAAAUCCAUUGGGUUGAUGAUGAUCUUUUAACAUGUUUUUUUGGUAACAACUAAUGUUAUAUAAAUACCCUAACUCUAAGUGAAUAAAAUUGAACCUAAAGAUGAGCGUGGUAUAAUUUUAUUUGAAGAACAAAAUCAAAACCUCCUAAAAUAUCAUAGUUUUUCAUCGUAGUUAAUCUAGUAAAGAUGCCCCAAUGCAUUGAGUUUUAUAGUGGGUAAAACAAGUAAAAAAGACCCUAUAAGGCAUCAUGGUUAGAGCUGACAAUGAGUCGAUUUGGGUUGGGUUCGAAUUCAUUCCAUUUAUUAAUUGGAUUGGAAAUUUCAACCCAAUCCAACCUAUUUAUUUAAAUGAGUUGAUAUUUCCAAUCCAACCCAACUUUUUAGAUAAAUGGGUUGUCACUGGAUUGAUCCAUUUAAGUAGUUAUUGCCCCAACCUAGUAAAUAAAUUGGUUAAACUUGGGUUAACCCAUUUAAAAUCACAUAAAUACAUUAUUUAACUAAAGAUUAUACAACUUAAAUUAGUUCCAAAUGUAAAUAAAAUUUCAAAGUAUGACAAAAGUACAAUAAGGAUUGAUAAAUACAAAUAUAUUGUUCAAAUAACAUUAAAAAUAUUUAAUUUCAAAAUGAUUUUGAAGAGCGACUAGUAUUAUCGGUGCUAAGAAAAAUUAUGAGAAUCAAGAUUAUAUGUUUUUUAAAACAUAAAUAAUAAUACAACAUUAUAGUUUAUAAAUUAAUAUUUUGGUUAAUACAUGAUAAUAUUUAAACAAUUAUUAAAUUCAAUAUGUAUAUUAAACUAAAAUGGGUUGGCGGGUUGAAAACUGGUUGAUAAUAUCACCAAGCCUAACCUAUUUAAUUAAAUGGAUUAACCCAUUUAACUUAAAUGGGUUGAAAAUCUCAACCCAAUACGCUAUUUUUGGGUUGGGUUGAUAGGUUAGAUCGAUUUUUGCCGGCUCUAAUUAUGAUAUACAUACAACGAUAUACAUACAAAACAAGUAAAGAUGAGCAUAGGCGGGUAUCUGCCUCAUUUGGCGAAAACCGAAACCGGAACCGCGAUUCCUAGAAAGUUAGAACCGGAACCGGAACCGCUUUAGGCAGUUCUUAAAUUCUUGGAACCAGUCCCGGAACCGGCGGUUCCAGUUCCGGGAACGGGUAACUCGGUUAUAUUAAUUUCCUUAACUUUUGUCGAUAAAAUUGUAACUUAAUUCGAUCCAAAUCAAAUCAAUUCGGACAAAAGAGGGACAAAAUCGGACCGAUAUAUUCUAAACUAGUCUAAGUAACACACACAUAUUUAUAUGGUAUACUAAUAUGUGUGUGUGUGUGUGUGUGUGUGUGUAUAUAUAUAUAUAUAUAUAUAUAUAUAUAUAUAUAUAUANNNNNNNNNNNNNNNNNNNNNNNNNNNNNNNNNNNNNNNNNNNNNNNNNNNNNNNNNNNNNNNNNNNNNNNNNNNNNNNNNNNNNNNNNNNNNNNNNNNNNNNNNNNNNNNNNNNNNNNNNNNNNNNNNNNNNNNNNNNNNNNNNNNNNNNNNNNNNNNNNNNNNNNNNNNNNNNNNNNNNNNNNNNNNNNNNNNNNNNNNNNNNNNNNNNNNNNNNNNNNNNNNNNNNNNNNNNNNNNNNNNNNNNNNNNNNNNNNNNNNNNNNNNNNNNNNNNNNNNNNNNNNNNNNNNNNNNNNNNNNNNNNNNNNNNNNNNNNNNNNNNNNNNNNNNNNNNNNNNNNNNNNNNNNNNNNNNNNNNNNNNNNNNNNNNNNNNNNNNNNNNNNNNNNNNNNNNNNNNNNNNNNNNNNNNNNNNNNNNNNNNNNNNNNNNNNNNNNNNNNNNNNNNNNNNNNNNNNNNNNNNNNNNNNNNNNNNNNNNNNNNNNNNNNNNNNNNNNNNNNNNNNNNNNNNNNNNNNNNNNNNNNNNNNNNNNNNNNNNNNNNNNNNNNNNNNNNNNNNNNNNNNNNNNNNNNNNNNNNNNNNNNNNNNNNNNNNNNNNNNNNNNNNNNNNNNNNNNNNNNNNNNNNNNNNNNNNNNNNNNNNNNNNNNNNNNNNNNNNNNNNNNNNNNNNNNNNNNNNNNNNNNNNNNNNNNNNNNNNNNNNNNNNNNNNNNNNNNNNNNNNNNNNNNNNNNNNNNNNNNNNNNNNNNNNNNNNNNNNNNNNNNNNNNNNNNNNNNNNNNNNNNNNNNNNNNNNNNNNNNNNNNNNNNNNNNNNNNNNNNNNNNNNNNNNNNNNNNNNNNNNNNNNNNNNNNUAUAUCAAAUUUUUUGAGCCCUUGUUUUAUGUUUGAAUAGUCCAAUAUUUUUAGGGUAUGAUCCAAUAUGCAUAUAUAGCCCAAUAAAUUUUAAAUUAAAAAGGAAAUUAAUGUGAAUGAAGAAUACUAUCACAGCAGCGCAUGUUCAUUGUUCAACAAUACCAAUUGCCCACUUGCCCAUGCAGGUAUCUUAAUUAAUAAUUUUUGUUAAUUUUAUUAACCUUAAGUAUUUGAUUGUUAAUCGUUGGCAAAUGACAACUAUUUUAUUAAUAUCGAAUCUGUGAUUUUUUUUUUUGUUGUUUUGAUUGUUUUAUUCAUGAUUUUUAAUAAGCUUUUUUUAUUGUUUAUAAUUUCAAUUUGAAUUGAUUAUUUGAUUGUUGUUCAUUUGUUUGGGUAUUUGAUUGUUGUUUAUGAAUUGUUGUUUGUUUUAGAAAUUAAAAUCAAGAAUGUUUUUAUUCAAGUUUUUUGGAAAGAGUGAUAAAAAAAGUAAUAGAAUAAGAUAAUGAGCAACAUAAUCAUAUGAGAGUUGACUUAAGUUUACUACCCGUUGACCCGGCAGAACGUCCGCCUGUGGAAUAUUAUCAUGUGAAUAAAAAAUAUAAAAUUAAAAGAGCAUGCUUACAAAAAGGACCUUUCUAACCUCAAAACUAUAAGUUUCCACAACGUGUUUUUGGAGGUAAACAACGAAGAUUUAAUAUAUUUUGGUUUGAUGGCAAUAAAUAUUGGUUAGAAUAUAGUAUAAAACAAAAUCUUGCAUUUUGUUUAUGUUGUUAUCUAUUUAAAUCCGACAUACCAAACCAAGGUGGAUCGGAUCAUUUUGUGAAAUCUGGUUUCAAAGCUUGGAAUAGGAAAUCAAGACUAGAUGAUCAUAAAGCUGGAACUCCACACAAUAUUGCUGUCCAAAAGUGUCAAAAAUUUGAUGAACCAAAGACAAUCCAUAACUACUUUUGAGAAACAAACCACUUUGCAAGAAAAAGAAUAUCGUAUUCGUUUGAAUGCUUCAAUUGAUUGUGUUAGAUUCUUAUUGCGUCAAGGAUUGACAUUUCGUGGUCAUGACGAGACUGAUGGUUCAGAUAAUAAAAGUAACUUUCUUGAACUUUUACAAUGGUUAGAUGAUCGAUGUGAUGUGGUAGAUCGUGUUGUGUUAAAGAGUGCUCCAAAAAAAAUACACAAUUGAAAUGCAGUGAUAUCCAGAAAGAUAUCGUGCAGGCAUGUUCAGAUGUAGUUAUAAAUGUUAUUAUGGAAGACCUUGGAAAAGAUUUUUUGCAAUUUUAGUAGAUGAGUCACAUGAUGUUUCUUGUAAAGAACAAUUGGCAUUAGUAUCGAGGUUUGUAAAUAAAAAAGGAGAAGUUGUAGAAAUGUUUGUUGGCCUUAGACAUGUCAGUGGCACUUCAACUUUGACAAUAAAGGAAACCAUUUAUGAUAUGCUGUCAAAGUGGAAUUUGAAUAAUACUAGCAUUAGGGGCAAUGCUAUGAUGGUGCUAGUAACAUGAGUGGUGCAUUUAAUGGAUUGAAGACUUUGAUUAUGAAAGAAACAAAAUCUGCAUAUUUUAUUCAUUGUUUUGAUCACCAAUUACAGUUAGUCCUAGUGUUUGUUGCAAAAAAUCACACGAAGGUUAAUGAUUUCUUUGAUGCGGUUUCUCGGCUAUUAAACAUUAAUGGAUCUUCCUACAAGCGACGAGAUAAUUUAAGAAUAAAACAAGAAAAUAAAGUUAUGGAAGCCUUGGUUGAAGGUUUGCUUUUAUAAUUAUACUAGAUUUAUUAUUAAAAUAUUUUGUAGUUGUAUUAUUCUAAUUAAACUUUAUAUGUUAAAUUUUAAGUAAGCUUGAGAGUGGUACCGGUUUGAACCAAGAAAUGGAUAUCAAACGACCAUCUGAUACUCAAUGGGGUUCUCAUUUUUCAUCUCUAUUGAAUAUCAAGAACAUAUAUUCUUCCAUUUGUGAAGUACUUGAAGACCUUGGUAAAGAUAAUAGUGAUCGUGAUCGUAAAGCUGAAGCAAUUUGCAUCUUAAGGUUAUUAAAGUCCUUUGAUUUUGUGUUUUGUCUACACUUGAUGGUUGAUAUCUUGUGAGUCACAAAUCAUUUGAAUACAACAUUACAAAGAAAAGACCAAGAUAUCGUAAAUGCCAUGAAUCAAGUAAGCAGCUCUAAAAAGCGAUUCAAGAAAUUAGAGAUGUAGGAUGGGAACCACUUUUAGGGAAUGUUACUUUGUUUUGCAAUAAACAUGAUGUUAGAAUCGUGGAUAUGGAAGAUGAAUAUUAUGAUGGAUUCAGUCGUCGAAGAGGUUCACAGGUAGGUAACGUUUGAUAUUAUCAACUUGAUUUAUUUAUUGUGUUUUGUAAUCAGCUUAUUAAAGAUUCAUUUUCUUAGGUAAUCAUCGCUUUAAUGAAGCCAAUACGAAAUUACUUCUUUGCAUGGCUUGUUUGUGCCCGCGUGAGUCUUUUAAAGCCUUUGAUUUGGAUAAACUAAUGGAAAUGGCUACACUUUAUAAGGAAGAAUUUCGAACAGAAUAUGAUCUUCAAGUUCUUGAAGUUGAAUUUAAAAAUUACAUUAAGGAUGUACGAGAAGGUGAACGAUUUAAUCAAUUGAAGAGCAUUGGAGAAUUUGCCAAAAAGAUGGUUGAUGGAAAAAAGCAUAUAAUAUAUCUUAAGGUUUACCUUCUCUUGAAACUUGCAUUGAUUUUACCCGUUGCAACAACGAGUGUGGAACGUGCAUUUUCAGUAAUGAAGUUGGUAAAGACUGAUGUACGCAACAAAAUGGGUGAUCAAUUUUUAAGUGAUAGUUUGGUGUCAUAUAUUGAAAAAAAUGUUUUAGAUAGUAUUAGUAAUGAUACAACUGUGAAAUUAUAUCAAGCUAUAAGACCUCGUCGGGUACAAUUGUAAAAACUUUUUUUUUUUUUUUUUUUUUUUUUUUUUUUUUUUUUUUUUUUNUUUACGACUCAAUCCGAUUCGAACCCACAAUAAUAUUUUUUUUAGUAUUUUUCUUCUUUUAUUGGUUUCUUUAAAAAGGGAACCAUAUGUUUUUACGUUCUAAACUCGCUACUGCCGGUUCCGAUGCUCAUCCUUAAAAACAAGUGACAUUUUGAUGAAGUGGUAAUGUGGUGGUGGUGUGCACACCACCUUUGUCUUGAUGCGAGAUGUGGGGUGCAACACAUGAGGCCAUACAUUUUUUUUGCCAAAUCAUGUCUUUUUUUUUAUCUUUCUCUCUCUCUUAACAUUUAAUUAAUUAAAAAAAUAUCUUUUUGAUUAUGUAAUUAUUAAAUAAGAGGUUAGAAUGAUAUGGAGUGGCUGAUAUUUUAUAAUGGUAUGAUGAUGGUAUGGCACUAAUAUGACAAUAUUAUUGUUGUGGUGGUAUUGUCAAUUGUGAGUUUUUAAAUUUCGACCGUUACAAGAAGGGAAUAUGACUUAUUAAGGUAAUUAACUUUUCGGUAUGUUUACAUAUGGGUAACUAUCUUUUUUUUGUACACAUGUAGGUAACAAACUUGUUGGAAAUGUUUACAUAUGACCAUUAUGAUAUGCUAUAGCAGGUUAAAUCCUAGAUGUGAACGCUUUCAACAAGUUCGUUAUCUAGAUGUGUACAAAAAAAUAGUUACUCAAAUAUGAACAAAACCAAAAGUAAAAAUUAAAUUACACGAAUGGUCUCUGUGGUUUGGGGGAAUUUGUGUUUUUGGUCCCUAACUUAUUUUUUUAACUUGGAUGGUCCCUACUGUUUAUUUUUGAUGCGCGUUUGGUCCCUGCAUUACCUAAAAAGACUAUUGUUCCCUUAUUAAUUUAUUUUUUAAUUAAUUUUCUUAUUUAUGUAUUUAUUUUUUACAUAUUUAAAAAAAUUAAUAGACCACACAUAUUUAUAUCUCCUCGGAUGAUCGCUACUGUUUGUUUUUUAAUUAAUUUAAUUUUUAAACUCGGAUGGUCUCUACUGUUUAAUUUUGUUACGAACUUGGUCUCUGUCUUACCUAAAAAGACUAUUGUGUCCUUAUUAAUUUUUUUAAUUAAUUUUCUUGUUUAUGUACUUAUAAAAAAUAAAUACAUAAAUAAGAAAAUUAAUUAAAAAAAUUAGUAAGGGAAAAAUAGUAUUUUUAGGUAAGACAGAGACCAAACGCGUAACAAAAAUAAACAGUAGGAAUCAUCCGAGUUAAAAAAAUAAAUUAAUUAAAAAUAAACAGUAGGGAUCAUCCGAGGAGAUACAAAUAUGUGUGGUUUAUUAAUUUUUUUAAAUAUGUAAAAAAAUAAAUACAUAAAUAAGAAAAUUAAUUAAAAAAAUAAAUUAAUAAGGGCACAAUAGUCUUUUUAGGUAAGACAGGGACCAAACGUGCAACAAAAAUAAACAGUAGGGACCAUCAAAGCUAAAAAAAAAGUUAGCGACCAAAAACACAAAUUCCCCCAAACCACAGGGACCAUUCGUGUAAUUUAAUUUUUACUUUUCAUUUUGUUCAUAUUUGGGUAAUUUUUUUUUUUUUUUGUAUAUAUCUAGGUAACAAACUUGUUGAAAACAUUCACAUCUAGAAUUUAACCUGCUAUAACAUGUCAUAAUGGUUAUAUAUGAACACUUACAACACGUUUGUUACCUAGAUAUGUACAAAAAAAAGAUAGUUACCCUGAUGUGAACACAGGGCCGUUCCAAACAUAUUUUAGGCCCAGGGCGAGAGAAAAAAAUGGGCCCUUAAAAAAUACAAAUGUCAUCAAAUUUUUUUAUAAUAAAUCAAUAAUUAAAAGAAAAUUAUUUGUAUUAUCUUCUAAAUAUAACAAUUCCAUAAAAAAUUUGGGCCCCUUUAAAAGAUGGGCCCUGGACGGUCGCCCCUAUCGCCCACCCUCUGGGACGGGCCUGUGUGAACAUACCGAAAAGUUAAUUACCUUAAUAAGUCAUGUUCCUUUACAAGAAAAGAAAAGAUCUUUAACAUAUUGGUUCAUGCCUUCAUGGUCGCCCAUCCAAGGGCCGACGGUUGACCGUGCAAUCUAUUUUUUUUUCCAACAUUUUCCAGUUAUUCUAAUUUUCCAUAUCAUUUUCUAAAGACAUGUUUUGUCCGAUAAAAAACACUUUUGGCACUUAAAGACCCAAUAGCAAAUGAGAUCACUUGAAAUUGAGUUUCAACCAUUUCGAUUAAAAAAACCAACCAUUUUCACCCUUUACAGAAAAAAAAUAAAAAAAUUAAUGCGUUUUUUGUUGUAACAAGAAUUAGGUUUGGAGUUUUGUAUGGAAUUGAGAUUCAACCAUUUCAAUGAAAAUCUUUGAUAAAGGAAUUCAUUGGUUUUUGCUAUUGAUCAGCAAAUACGUCCGUAUGGUUAUAUUGAAAUCAAAGGAAGUACUUAUACAACCAUUAUAUGUCGAAAUAUGAAAAUCUUCCAUAAAUUGAAAAUUUAUGGAAGACUGUAAAUUUUCAACUUUGGUUGUAAUUGAUAUUAAUAAACAAAGACUGUAAUUUUUCAAUUUCUGUAUAUAGUGAAUAAAGAGUCGUACAAAGACAAUUUUACAAUGAGUGAUUUUGUUGAGAAUUUUACUAGCAAUAAAACUAGAGGCUAUGAGUCCAACGAUUCAAGACCACAAGGACUUACAGUGGGCACCACCUGAACCCUAAUCAAUGGAGUCAGCCACAUGGUUUUAAAGAUGGAUUCCACAAUCUCAUUGGUCAGAAUCCUAUCCAACAUUUCCAUCUUCAGAUUUCACUUAUCCUACCUGGCUCCAUUCACAUCUCCCUUUUGAUUUCACUCCCACCCAUAUAACACGCCUUUCAUUCUCCUCUUCUUCCAUAUUCAAAACCAACAAAAACACCAAAACCUUGAUUACAGACUAACAAUGGCAGCCGCUACAUCCGCCGCAGUCUUAAACGGCCUCGGAUCACCCUUCUUGACCGGCGGCAAGAGGAGCCACACCUUGUCAGCACCACUAAAUGCCGCCACCAGUGCCACCUCCGCCCCUAGGCGCCUUGUCAUUGCUGCCGCCGUCGCUCCCAAGAAAUCUUGGAUCCCCGCCGUAAAGGGUGGCGGCAAUUUACUCGAUCCCGAGUGGCUCGAUGGCUCGUAAGUCUUUUUCUUAUGUAUUUUUUUUUUAAAUAAAUUAAAAAACCCACUUGAUUUUCUCUCCGAGUAUACUAAGAUUUGUCCUUUGUGUAUAACCGGUUCAAAACAGGCUCCCAGGUGACUUCGGGUUUGACCCGUUAGGUCUAGGCAAGGACCCGGCAUUUCUAAAAUGGUACAGAGAAGCUGAACUCAUCCAUGGCCGGUGGGCCAUGGCUGCAGUCCUGGGCAU